rnacentral:lncRNA from 1 species
UUUAGAAACGGAAGGAGUAGUAACUAGUACUCCCUCCGUAAAGAAAUAUAAGUGCUCUUACAUUUCUUUACGGAGGGAGUACCAGUUGCAGUCGUACUGGGUGUGACUUUGCAACGCGGAUCUCCUUGCCACUAUGCAUGAAGCAAGUUCAGCGCUAGUAGCUGUAUUAAUCUAUCGUCUAGUUGUGAGUUGUCACGGGCAAGGGUUGUAAUAACUAGUUUAAGCUGUGUUAUCACAUCAUUAUACUAGCCCUGUCAUCAGCAAGGACGUUUGUUUCGCUUCUUGGACAACAAGUGAGCUGAGCGCAGUUGGCAAGCUCCUACAUCUCAUAGCUGAGCUCGAGAGUUCGAGCCACCCCACACCCGAAAAAGACCAUCGUUGUGAUGAAACGCUCCGUGGCAACUUGGGUCGCCGCAUGUACACCUGAAUCUUCAGGUGAUAUUGAGCAAAUCUGAACCUUGGUCUCUUCCUUUUUUUGUUUUUUUGUUUUGAAGGUCGUUGGUAGCUCCACUCCUGAAGUGGACUGGGGAAGUCUAAAUUAUCCUUUUUGUACCUCUGUCAUCAGUUCCCACCUGCUCGUCCUGCCCCAGGCACUGAUUUAUUUUGGAUUCAGAAAUGCUAUUCUCCUGCGUAUACUUUUACAAAAACUUUUACGUAUUCAAAGAGGGAUAGUAAUUAACCACCCUGGAGCUAGACAUGGCAAUAACCGUCAUUCGAUUGUACUGGUGCGUACGAUUUUUGCAGAUGGGUUACAAAAAAUAGGAUUGCUCUUUUUGAUCUACGCCUGUAAAUUUGGGUGUUGAAGAAAUGGGAGUACCUUCAUUUGUCCUUACACCAGUAUGAACCACUCGGAUAGAGCUGGGUACUCUAUUCUUCAUCUUUAAGAAUCCACUAAUAUAAGAUGUAAGAGCAUUCACAACCGGACUCCCCAUACCCGCCUCAAAUGUCCGGAUGGGCUGUUUGGUCAGUGUCCGGGCGCAAAAACGCCACCCAUUCAGGCUCCCCACAACCGGCCCCAAAGCCGGGACUGACCGCCACUCCUCAUAUUCAGCCCAAAUCUAAGCCGGAUAUGGGAACGCCCAGACGCGUUUGGGCACCUCCGUCACGUCGGAUUGACCUGGAGGGCCCGUGCCAAUUCGCCUGUAUUUGUCCUCCCCUCCUUGAUACUAAAGGUCAGCGCCACCGGACUUAAAAGAAUUAUGUGGUCAUCAAUGUACACUUUCAGAUGAAGAUGAAGAUGUCGAAAAUGAUUAAUAAACUUUUAUAAAAGCAAGGCCAUCUAUGCUUGCUUUGUAAGGAACAUGGACAGUCAUGAUGUAUCUUCUCAGUUUAUGAAUAAAGAAGAUUCAUAGUGACAGUCUACAACCUUCAGAAAAGAUAUGUUGACGACCGAAGCUAACUGCUUUGGGAGGACUCGGCUAUUUAAGCCGGCCGCGUCACUCCUCACCGCUCUGCGAGGUGGGACUAAAUCCCCAAUCAAGCCGGCCCAACACUGUUCCUGCAGGAGCAUAUAAGCUUGCGAGUAAAUACCCCGAGUCCCUAAAAGUCCCUUUCUCAGCUCGAGCUCAAAUGCUCCUGGUGUGAACACUAAAAUAUCAAACAAUUCUACUAUUUGUACCAUUUCCGUUAUCUGUCUUUCGUCGUCCAUUGGUCCCUGUCGUGCCAAAUCUAUAGCGCUCUUGCUGUGCGUACCCUGCCUGCCAACCGUGCUGAUUAUACCUGACGCCCAACGUCCACAGUUGCUUAUUCCGGGAGCCAGGUUGGUCGCGGUCGGACUCGUUUGACAGUGCGUGUUGCCUACCAAUCUCCGGCGAAUUUGCAACAGGAAUCUGUAAUGUCCAAAUUCCAAUGCAAGGUGGCAAGUAGCUAGUGACCCAUGAACCAUGAUGAUGCAAUAUAUAUACUGGACUGCCCUCUGCCUGGAUACACAUCCAAAUAAUUGGCUCUCUUACGAUCAGAGAGCGCUACACAUCUACAAGCAUUAGCAAUGGCAACCAUCAGCGCCACGGCCGUCUUCGUCGCCGCCGGACCGCCGUGGUCUCCAGGUAAGCAAAAAGCUUGUCAUCCCCGCAAAAAUGCCGGCCAUGUGCAACAUGUUAAGUUGCUACUAACUGACAAUGAGACGCUGCUGCGCACAGGGCUGCCUCGGCUGAGAGUGGCCAAGACCGCGAGCAGGCUGAGGUGCAGCUGCUCCAAGGACCUCAAGAAUAAGGCUUCUUCGGCUCUGGCUAUGGCCGUGGUCAAGGGCGCGCCGCUGCUCGCUGAGGCGAAAGCCAUGGCGGUGGCGGCGGCCCCGGUGCUGGCCCUGGCGCUGGUUCUGGCGCUGGUGGACGAGCGGAUGUCGACCGACGGCACCGGGCUGAGCCACGACCUGCUGGGGUGGAUCCUGAUGGUUGCCUUCGGCCUCGCCUUGUCCUACACCUACUACUCCUCCAUCCUCAAAGACGACAACGACGACGACCACUCAGCGCCGGCGGCAUCACGAUCUGAACACCGCACCGCCAUCUUCUUCUUCCGCCUGCAUGGUUACCAGUGAUAUACGUAUGAAGCAUGGACGAAUAUUGAAUCCUAAGCUACUGAUUACGGUGGCCUGCCAUGGGCAUGUCAUUGGAUCUCUGUCCGAUCUCGUCGCCGCUAUGAAGCAAGCUAAGUUGUAUUAAUCUGUCCUCUCGUUGCCACAUGCCCCGGGUUGUACUAAUAAUCAGUUUAUGUUGUGCUUGUUAAAUCAUUAUUACUGGCCCCGUUCAGCACAGCGCAGUAAUGUACUGCCCAUGAUUUAUAUGGCCCUGUCACUUGUUUCUAUGUUAGGUUGUUUGUGUGACAUCAAAGUUUAAACAGCACAAUUCUAGUGCUGUGUUGGCUUGAACCAUCGUUGAAUUCAUGUGAGAUUAUAAGAGUAUCUACAGCCGGGCGCCCCAAACUGGCCUCAAACGUCCGGACGGCCCGUUCGGUCACUGACGGGUCAUGAUUUUUUGACCCAGACGGAUGCGUCAAACGGGCCUCAAACACCAGGUCUGAACGACACCCCUCGUAUCCAGCCUAUAUAUAGGGCGGACAUGGGGUUGUUCGGGCACGCCCGACCCAUCACCGACCCAGGGUUGUCCUACAAAAAAACCCAUCCGAACUCAUCGCACCGAAACCCUAGCUCACUCACACUCUCCUCUCUCGAUCUGCCCUCUCCUCUCCUCGUACCAAUUACGAUCGAAUCCGGCGCAAUGUCAAGCUCCGGCAGCCGCUCUGACUCCAAGCUGGAUCCGGACUAUGAGCUUGCCCUCCGCAUCGCCUUGGAACAGUCCAAGGNNNNNNNNNNNNNNNNNNNNNNNNNNNNNNNNNNNNNNNNNNNNNNNNNNNNNNNNNNNNNNNNNNNNNNNNNNNNNNNNNNNNNNNNNNNNNNNNNNNNNNNNNNNNNNNNNNNNNNNNNNNNNNNNNNNNNNNNNNNNNNNNNNNNNNNNNNNNNNNNNNNNNNNNNNNNNNNNNNNNNNNNNNNNNNNNNNNNNNNNNNNNNNNNNNNNNNNNNNNNNNNNNNNNNNNNNNNNNNNNNNNNNNNNNNNNNNNNNNNNNNNNNNNNNNNNNNNNNNNNNNNNNNNNNNNNNNNNNNNNNNNNNNNNNNNNNNNNNNNNNNNNNNNNNNNNNNNNNNNNNNNNNNNNNNNNNNNNNNNNNNNNNNNNCCCCUACGCCGUCCCCUGCCCCCGCCUACUGCUGCUCCCCGAUGCGGGCAGCAGUGGGUGCUUGUGCCCGCCCCGCCGGCAUGGACGCGCACGCCGGAAUCAGAGGCACGCGCCGCCCGCCGCGGGCGGCAGUGGAAAAGGAAGAGGAGGGAGGCGGAGCAGUCCGUGCGCCACCGCCGUGGGAUGCAGGCGGAGCCCGACGAGGACGCACGGUCCUCGAAUGGGUCUACCACCGAUCGCUUACAAGCGAAGACGGGCGCACGGCGGCUCCGCCGGAAGAACGCCAAGGCGCUCCGGAUUGCCAUUGAGCAAUCCGAGUGUGAGGCGGCGGAGGUGGCUCGGCUCACGAAGCUUAGGCGUAAGCGGGACAAGAGGAUCUGGCGGCUGUAAGGGCUCAUCAUCCUCUCCUACACCUCCGCCGACGACCACCACCAUGGCUCCUUGUCCGACGACUCGGACGAUUCGCCACCAGCAGUCGACACCUACAGCUGCGCCGGCGACCGGAAGGGCAAAGGGCUGGCGAGGAAGUGGUGAAUCUACGUUGUCUCCGUCUUCAGUUUCAAGUUUUUAGUAAUCUAGUUUGAACUUGUCCGCUGUUCGUGUGAAUUAUGUGAACUUUGAUGAUCUUUUGCACAUCCACUGGUGAUCUUUUGGUGAUCAAAAUGUGCAUUUCUCUGUCCGAUUCUAUGUUUGUGUGAUGACCUAUAUUAUUUUUUUCUAUGUUGCAUGCUAGUAUGGAUAUGAGGGACCGGAUAUAAGAUACACGGAUGUGAACGACAGAAUUUGAGAAGUGCCCAGUCGCGCCCGCGGGUGUUUGAGGGCCCGGGUUUGCAGAUCAAGGCUGUAGAUGCAUGUAACAUCUGAAGCUCGGGCAUGCGUUGUACAGAAAAUGAGGCACCGGCCGGCCUACAUACGGUGAGGCAGCCAAACUGCAGUCCACAAUAUUAGCACGGAAGGCCGGUAUGGAUCGGUGUUACGUACGCGCCUAUGCAUUUCCACACUCGUGUAGGUCUGUUUGGUCUGAGGUGCAACUUGUCUAGUGGAAUGGGAGAUAAAUAGCAGCCUGUGUCCCUACGUGUGCAUGGAAAUGGAGAGCAAAGCAUGCAUGAUGUGCUUUUCCGUCUAGUUAAAUUGGCCGUUCCCUUUAAUCUUUCUGCAUCCGUCGGUCCCCUGUCGUGCCAAACCUGCCUGCCAACCGCGUUAACUGUUCCUAUACGUCGUGGUGCCAAACCUCGUUUCUUUCUUUUUUUUAGCAUCAGUACAGACACAAGCGCUCAUAUACACGCGCAUACACUCAUCCCUAUGAACGCACACACGCACACCCCUACCCCUAUGAGCACCUCCGAGAGACUGAGCCGGCAUAUCAUCUUGAGAUUUACGAAGCCAUCGUAGGCGCCUCGUCGUCGACGGGAACGUCUCCUCCCACUGAAAGCGCAUCGCCGGAAAUCCUGAAAUAAAUCCAGGAAUAAUGCGAGCACCAGAAUUUGAACCCUGGUGGGUUGGGGAUACCACUGUCCACCUAACCAACUCAACCACAGGUUGAUUCGCAACCUCGUUUCUUUCUUUUGAUGAGCCCGCCCUCUAACUCAAUGUGGUUCGCUUAUUUACUCUUUUUUCGAUUUGGUUCAGUUGUUCAGAUUUACUCAUCAUACCCUUUUGUACGCUUUUCUCCUCUUAUUAAUGAAUGAAAACGGCGAUGCUUUCUUUCGUCAAAAUAUGAAAAUGAAAAGUGCGUGACUUUUCCAACGGGUACCUAUGACAAAAAAGUAGCUUGGAUGCAAAUUUUGGUUCGUUUGGUUGCCUGAGUUACAACAACCUCUUGGCCCGCACGAACCUUGAAACAUAUCUAAGCCUGAAUCUGGAGAAAUGAUCGAAUCGAUCAUUUUUCCAGAGCCAGGCCCGGGCGACGCAACUCGAGACAUUUGAGUGGAGGCGGCUGCACACGCGGGAACAUGCGAGAGACGUCGGGUUGUUUCUCGAGGCGACACCGCAAAUCCCCUCACGGCAAACUCUCCAUGCUCUUCUCUCUCACAUUGGCACCGGCGAGCGCAAGAUUUGAACAACGAGCAGCGGAGCCAAGAUCUAGACGACGAGCAUCGGCUUCAUCAUUGCUCAGGCGGGCAUUUGUCAAUGGCGGUAAGCCCUCUGUCCCUGAUGGCAUUGAUUUACGCAUCGAUUACCAUGGUCGCAUUCAAUUUACGCAUCGAUUAUAUCGUUCAUGAACUCGAUUUAGGCAUCAAAUCAACUUCUAGGCUCUGAUUUGGGACCAAACAUAGCAUAUCCACUACGGAUUUGAGCGGUUUGAAUGAGAUUGCAUAGGAUUUUUACUAACGGGGGUGGGGGGAGGGGGUUAAAUCGAGUAGAAUGCACUUACAUCCAUUCAAAUCCAACCCAACAAGCAAGUAGAGCCUAGCCACAGUGAACCUGCUGGCUUUUUGAUUGUGCCUCGAGAAAACAUGAAAGGCUUUCUUUGUGACUAAAACCAAGAUAUGCAAUGAAGUGUUGAACAUUGCUGAGAAAGACACUUCAGUUGACUUGUGGCACAAGAGGCUUGAGCAUAUGAGUGAGAAGGGCAUGCAUGCCCUUGCUCGCAUCGAGUACCUCCCUGAGUUGAAAGAUACAUCCUUAAAAUCCUGUGCACAUUGUUUUGCUGGCGAACAACAUAGGGUUGCAUUUUGUACACUCUCUUAACACCGUGCAGAAAAUACUCUUUAUAUUGUUCACACUGAUGUUUGCUCCAUGAUUGAAAUGUGGUCUGGUCGACCUCACCUGCCGGAACGCGGUCUCCGGCUCCUCCUGCACCAUGUCUGUGUAGUGGGUACAUGCCUCGCCCAUGGUGAUGCUGGCAUAUGCACCUGCGAGGAGGGUAGCGCCCGUUUGUCCUCGGCUGCAUCCUCCAUUGGGACAUCUGCAGCGCUGGCCUCCAUCUACCAGCCGGCUGCAAUAGCAGGAAUCUCCUUUUUCUGCUUAGAUGAGAGGUCGUCACAGACGGCUUUGGAGCUCGAGGAGGUCAUGAUAGGCGUGGUGCAGACUGUAGAGAGGAGGAAGGGAGCGGCUAUGGUCGGGCCUACGGUUUAUAUAGCAAGGGGAUGGCGAUGACUUGACUAAUGGUGGGUGGUAUACGGACAGGUGGCUCGCCGUUCCUCGGCAACCGCACACAUGCUUAAUGUAGGCAGGCGGACAAGCAGGUUGUCGUUUGAAUGCGGGGCACCCGCAUGCACUGGGAAGUGGUGAGUGCGGCGCUCUCGGCGACGCACGGUGAGAGGUCGUGCCACUCUAAGCCAGCACGAAUGCGACACUAGUGCUUUAGAGCGGCGCUGAUCUUUUAGGGCAGAAAACCGCACGGUAGCAGGAGAGGGAUUCGUGUAGUCAGGAAUGGGCGUGGCAACGGUCCGAAACGCGGGUUGAAAAUGCUCUUAUUUAACAAUGAUGUUUGUUUCCCAUCUAAAACACAAAGGGAUGGUGACUCAAUUGGCUAGGGAUAGCUAAGAGCAUCUCCAACAGCCGCGUCAAAAGACGCGCGCGCGCGGUAAAUUGGCUUUAUAGCGCGCGAGACGUUUACGCGCGCUCCAGCGGUGGCGCGGAACUACCGCGCGCGGGAAACGAUUGCACGCGUGCGGAAAAAGGCGGCCGCUCGCGCGCUACAUUUGGCGCGCCGCAUCCAGCGCGCCUAUAAAUUGCAGCGCCUCCGCCGCUCUCUCCAUCGCCCUUUGCCGCUCUCUCCGUCUCUCCAUCACCCCCUGCCGCGCUCUGCCGCCGACACGCCACCACCGCGCCACGAUGCCGCCUCGGCGCCGGGGAGGUACGGGCUACCGCGGCGUCCGCGUGCUUCCGUCCGGCACCUACUCCGCCGAGAUUCGGUCGGGCGACGGCAUGCGGCUCCGUCUCGGAACUAUCUACGAAACUAAAUAUGUAGUAGAAGAACUAUCUACGAAACCAAAUAUGUAGUAGAAAAAACUGAAAUAUAGCGCGCCUGCUGAAGCGGCGUGGGCGCGCUUUAAUUUGCGGCGGCCGCUGGAGCCAGCGCAUCGCUGCGCGUAAAAGCUGGCUAACCCGGCGCUGUAUCGCGACUUUUAGCGUGCGACGUGUUGCACGGCUAUUGGAGAUGCUCUAAGCUUGCGAUCCUGAACUCGAGAGUUCGAGCCUCUCUCGCCCCACCACAAAAAAAUGGCCAUCUGAUGAUGAAACGCUCAGCGACAACUUGGGUCGUCGCAUCUCCACCUGAAUCAUCAGGUGUGAAUCGAGCAAAUCUGAACCUGGUCUAUCUUUUUUUUCUCCCCCUACACCGGGGUUCAGCCGCCGCCGGCGUAGCAGCCAUGCCUCCGCCGUCACUGAUGCGCCCUCCUUUCUCCCUACUCCUCCGCCGCUCCCAAACUCCAUCCCCUCUCUGACGAAUCCCCAGAUUCAGCCCGUCCCCUCUGCCCAAGCGGCGGCACCUCUCCCUCUCCGCCGCGCAGCUCGCGAACCCGCUCGUCGCCGCAGGUUCGUAUUAUCUAUUUAUUUUCCCCUUAAAUGACGCGUGCCCGCCGUGCGAUGUCGUGACCGGGAUUGGUUUGCAGGGGUGGAGGAGGCGGUGGCGGGCUUCGUCGCCGGCAAGCGCAAGGCCACCGAGGUAGCCCACGCGUAGGUACUCGCUACUCCCCGCCUAACUUAACCCCGCUUCCGCUCCAUUGCUGAAAUUAGGCCAACUCCACCGCGCGACCCUAAGCGGACGUCCGUUUUGUCCUGUUUUUGUCCCUUUGGGUAGGGAUUUGGGGUCGUGUCCGGGCCUGUCCUGGGAUGCGGUGGACGUGCGCCCACCGCGCCGACGCAUCCUUUUGCCCCAUCCUGUCCACGUCUAUUUUAAAAAAAGGGACGUUUCAAAUGCCAAGCCCCAGUUCACGACCCCAGUUCAUCACGCCGGCAACAAAGCCAGCGCCCUACACGACCAUCGCCGGCAACACAGCCAGCGGCCGGCAACAUAGCCAGCCUCCAAAAUGAAUAGUUGUCCUCGCCGGCAACACAGCCAGCGGCCGGCAACACAGUCGGCCUCCAAAGUGAAUGUUUUUUCGCCGGCACACUGCCAGCGGCCCAGCGGGCGGGCGGCACCCAUGCCAGCCUCCAAAAAGAACGGCCACGCCGAUCGAACGACCUAGUUCAGGCCUUCGGCGUCGAGCAUCUCCUUCUGCUUGGCCUCGAACCAGGCCCUCGUCUUGUCGCUCAUCUUCGACAAGUCCACGCUCAUGAUCGCAAGGGUCACCUCCUUCGCUUUGGUGGCGGCAUUGGUGGCCUCGAUGUCGAGCUGCCUCUGCCUGGCCUUGACGUUGUCGGCCUCGAUGUCGAGCUGCCUUUGCCGGGUGGCCUCUUCCAUGUCGAGCUGCCUUUGCCGGGCCGCCUCCUCCAUGUCUAUCUUCCUCUUCUUGGCCGCCUCCUCCAUCUCAAGCUUCUGUCUUUGGAGGUCUAAGCAUUGCUUCAUUUUCUCGUCCUUGCUUUGCCGCUUCUUCUAGUCCCUCAAAUCCUUAUGUGACAUCAUGCCAUGCAAAGUCUCAUGCAAGGCCAUAGUUGAGGCGUCACGUAUGUCGUCCACCUUGGAGUUGGUCUUGCCCCUCGGCCUCUUCAACGCCUCGCCAUCCCCACCUCCGGUGAACUUGGCCGUUUUCUUGCCUCUCUUCCUUUGAAGUUCACGGUAUUGAUCCUUGAACUUAGGGCAAUUGUUGAUGAGCGUCCAACAAUGUGUAAGAGUGAAUGGCUUGUCAUUGUGCCGGGCCUUGAAUGCCUCCAAAGAUUGAAAUGCCUACACCACAUGAUCAACAACAAGUGAACAUGCAAACAUAUACACGGCCGAAGUAUCAUGGCCGUAGCAAGGAAAGGGCUAGAAAGAGAAGAGCAUACCAUGUCCCCAACGCCGAGACCACUCAUGGGUCGUGCUUCAACGCUCUCAAAUGCGGCACAAUACUUGUUGCUCUCUUGUUGGAUGAACAACCAUCUUUUUUGAAUCGAACCGAUGCCACGGUUGCUUGCAAUUUGGUAGGGCUCAAACAUCUUCCUUUCAUGGAAUGUUUUGUGGACUCUCGUCCAAAAAGUAAUGCCCUUUUGUUGCGUGCCGGUCCUUGGAUCUUGGCUAAUCUCCAUCCAACAUUGACAAAUCAACUUGUCCUCAUCUUGUGUAUAUGAACCGGUGUGAAUGCUCUUCCGCUUCUUUUGUGCUUCCGCUCUUUGGGUGAGCUCGUCUAUGAACAAUGGAACGCCACUAAUAUCAACAUCAUUGGCUUCAUCUUCAUCUUCACCUUCGACAUAGAUGUCGUCGUCUUCAUGCCACGAAUCACCAUGGUCGUAGUCAGCACGGUCGUCGGCCUCCUCAUCGGGCACGUACUGGGCGCGGCCAUCCUGACUUUGGGUCUCCUCGGGGUCGUAGGCACGGCCAUGCCCACCCUGGAAGAUCACGUCCUCCAUGUACUGGUUGUAGAAGGGGUCGUCCACCGUCGACGUUGAGGAUGGCAUUCUGUCAAACAACACGCGGGGGGCCGGCAUGGUGCCCGUGAACGGUGCACGCGCCUGCUUUCUUUGCAUCUAGACGGACGGCCGCCCGCCGCUGCUGGACCCAGGCGUGACGUUGAGGUCGAUGACGGCCGCGAGGCGUGGUGUGGACGGCGCGAACAAGCCCACGUCCGGCGACGCCGAGAAACGGGUCUGGCCGUCGUGCCUGGGCGGAGGAAAGUCGGGCGACAUGGGCGCGGCGCGCGACGUCGGCGACUGGCAGUGCGUAGGCCGGGCGACCGACGAGCCUGUGCUCGCCGGGCCGACGGCCGCUGCAUGGAACCCCGCCGGACGGCCCAUGCCAAGCAUGAGGAUGGCGUGCGCUUUGUUGACGAGGUCCUCCUUCUCGUCGGCAGCGGCCUUGCGCCACGCGGCCUCCAGCUCCUCGUGCUGGGCGGUGAACUUGGCCGCGGCGGCAUUGAUCUUGACGGCCGCUCUCGUUCCCUCCUCUUCGCCGAUUCCGCGUCCAACUUGGCGAUCUCCUCCGGCGUGCACUCCGACCGCGGCUUCCUUGGCGCCUUCUUGUUCACCUUUGCGGUCGGGUCGACGGCCAGGCCGCCGGAACUCGGCGGGGCGUCGGCCAUGGACGGGGGAGAGAGGGGGUGGCGGGAGGGACGUGGGAGGGUUUGGGGGAAAUUGCGNNNNNNNNNNNNNNNNNNNNNNNNNNNNNNNNNNNNNNNNNNNNNNNNNNNNNNNNNNNNNNNNNNNNNNNNNNNNNNNNNNNNNNNNNNNNNNNNNNNNNNNNNNNNNNNNNNNNNNNNNNNNNNNNNNNNNNNNNNNNNNNNNNNNNNNNNNNNNNNNNNNNNNNNNNNNNNNNNNNNNNNNNNNNNNNNNNNNNNNNNNNNNNNNNNNNNNNNNNNNNNNNNNNNNNNNNNNNNNNNNNNNNNNNNNNNNNNNNNNNNNNNNNNNNNNNNNNNNNNNNNNNNNNNNNNNNNNNNNNNNNNNNNNNNNNNNNNNGCGCGCGCGUCCCGCCCGUCCGCGCGCUGUCCGUUUCACCCCAAAACCGGCGCAACUUUGGACCGGGGAUGGGUCGAAAGCGGACACAAAGCGGACAAAAGUCCGUUUGCGCCCGCGCACUGGACCGUCUCGUUUGUCUCUUUUACCCCAAACGGACGGGGGCGGACAGGAUAGGGUCGCGCGGUGGAGUUGGCCUUAAACGCGUGACCUUUUCAACCUGAAUCACCUUCUAGCAGGGCAGCAUUCUCAAAUGAUGUGUUAGUGCUAUGUACGUAUGUCCCAGUUUACAGCCCUUGGAAGUUGAAAAAUCAUGUGGAUUCCUUUGCAGAAUUCGUUCAAGCAAGAUGUGUUUUAAGCUAUUUUUUGGGCGGUCUUGAGGUUACUAAUUCUAGCGUUCUUGUCUGAGUAGGGUGUGGAGAAGUAUCAUUGGGAAAGGAGAUGCAGUGGUUGAUGCCACCUGCGGGAAUGGCAACGAUACGCUCGCUCUGCUCAAGAUGGUGGCUGAUGAAAGCGGGCGAGGGCGUGUUUAUGGACUGGACAUCCAAGAGUCCGCGAUAGAUAGCACUUCCUCUUUUCUGAAAAUGGCCGUCGACAGCCAUGAGGUAUGCAACUGCAGAAAACGGUACAAAUUGUUGCUGGUUUGAGUGGGGAUUACCAUAUGUGGUUUCUCUUAUUAGUUUCCUUUGGGAACGAUUAUUAUGUUGUAGAAAUACUCACAUAAGAUCACCGAUAUCACUUCUGCAUUGUCAUGUGGAGCUAUUUUACAGUACUCUGGUACUCCAAAACCAUACACCGGAGUACUAAGCAUAUCUGGCCGUCCAUGGUCAAGGGCUGUUUAGUCAUUUCUUCAAGGGUAAUUUGUUUUUUUUUCAUCCUCUGGUGGCUACCGUCCCGAUCAUUCAGCUACCAGAAGAAGAAAAUCCUGGAAGAGUGGCGGUGCCGCCUUCUUUUUUUUUUUUGCGAAGGGAACAAAAUCAUUAUUUAAAUAGAGUUAUUACACUCAAGUUGACAUAGAGUCUCAACUUCCUCAGGCGCACAACGCAACCAGACAGCUGUUUUAGGGAGAGAGCGACCCAUGCGAGCUAGUACAUGACUAGCUUUGUUCUGGGCACGUCCUACGAGCUUUAUUUCAUGUGUUCUAGAGCUCAGUAAUUGCUUAAUGUCAUUCACCAUAGCAGCAGCCGGGGAUCUAUCAGGAGCUUGGGAAGUAAUCAUGCGUGCUGCCGCCAUGCAGUCCGUCUCGAUCAACAGUCGGUCUGUGCUCCUAUCCAGUGCGAUAGACACCCCUUCCAUGAUAGCUGCAAUCUCAGCUUCAAGCCCACUUGCACAACGAGGGAUGAAACGACAUGAGGCAAAGAUGAUGGCCCCUGUACAGUCUCGAAGAAUCAUGCCAGCUCCACCUGUACUCUCCUCCUCCAACCAUGACCCAUCAGUGUUAAGUUUCACCGAGCCCAGUGGCGGUGGUGUCCAUCGCUCAGGGGGUUUGUCUCGCAAAAGCAUUCCAUGUGAUUUUUGCUUUCUGUCCCGUCCAGCAUAGGAGAUCACUGUCUUCCCUUUCUCCAUAUCAGCACUUGGGUGCUGCCAUAUGUGCAAUAAUGUAUCGAUGUAGCCACAAAGGAAUCGGCAGGACGCAUCAACCGACGGUGCUGGUUUACCAUGGUACACCUCAUUCCGAACGUACCAGUUUCGCCAUAGCGUCAUGAUGAUAGGAAGCCGAACUGCAUCCUGACAGCCAUCAAGCAAAUGAAUGAUCCAUUCUUUGCCUGUGUUGGCAAUAGUGUCCACCUUAGGCAUUCUCCAUAUGCCGGCCAUAGCCUUCCAUAGUCGCUGCGCCAAAGGGCAUCUGCAUAGGGCAUGAAACGAGUCCUCGCAUUCCAUACCGCAAAGAGCACAUGUAUCAGAAACCUCAAGUUUUCUUUUCCGUUUGUUUUCAAGGGUGGCCAAAGAAUUCGUCGCGACUCGCCAGGCAAAAACGCGUACCUUUGGGGGAGCAGGGCACCCCCACACUGCCUUCCAGACGGCACGGGUGCCGUCCGGUGCCCUGCUCGUGGCGCACGCGGUGGUGCGAGUAUGGUCCUCCAACGCUAGCUUGUACGCGCUGCGGACACUGAAAACACCUCUCCUGUCGGGUGCCCAAGAGAGGACGUCCUCCAAUCGACGCGGGCUGGCUUUGAUCGCCAAGAUGCAUUAGACAUCCGGGGCCAAGAAGUGUUGUUGCAGAAGAUCCGUGCGCCACCGGCCAUUUAUGUCCAGGAGUUCAGACACCCGCCUAAGCCGGCAUGUGCCCCUUGGUGUGAUCGGCCGGUACGAAGCUGGCCGUGGUAGCCAAGGGUCCCGCCAUAUGCGGAUGUGCUCGCCAUUCCCCACUCGCUAGAUGAGCCCUUUUUUAAGGAGCUCCAGGCCAUGUUGUAUGGCAUGCCAUGUCGGAGAUGCGUUCCCUGAAAAAACAGUGUCCUCAAGGGAACCAUUAGGGUAGUAUUUUGCUUUUAGCACUUGGGAGCAUAGCGAGACUGGGUUGAUAAGUAGACACCAAGCUUGCCUCGCUAGGAGGGCUUGGUUGAAUAAGCGGAAGUCACGGAAGCCCAAUCCACCCUUUCCUUUUGGCUCAAUAAUUUUAUCCCAUGCCAACCAGUGAGUUUUCCUCUGUCCUUCCUUUGAUCCCCACCAGAAGUUCCUCACAAGUUGCGUGAGAUCAUCACAAAUAGAGCAAGGUAAUUUAAACACCCCCAUCAUAUAGGUAGGUAUAGCUUGUAGGACAGAUUUUACCAAAGUUUCCUUCCCUGCCUGGGACAAAGUGUCUCCCCAAAGCAUGAUCCACUUAGUCAGACUAGCCUGCAACAUUUGAAAUUUCCCUUUGUUCAUGCGACCAUCUGGUGUGGGUAAUCCGAGAUAUUUACCUUCAAAAUCUGCAGUUUGAACUUGCAACACUUGUUUGACCUCGGACUGUGCCACCGUAGGACAAUUAUCACCAAACUGGAUGGAACACUUUUGUGGGUUUAUAAGUUGGCCCGUAGCCGCCCGUGCGUAUCUAUGGAUAACGUCCUUCACAUAAUUGGCUUGCUCAACAUUAGCUUUGAAGAACAGUAGGGUAUCAUCAGCAAAUAACAAGUGAGAUAUCCCCGGCGCUCUGCUGCAAAUCUUGACCGGUUGGACAGCCUGUGAUUCCACUCCCUGUCUCAGCAGUGCAGAUAAACCAUCAGCCACAAAUAGAAAUAAGAAAGGCGAUAGGGGGUCACCUUGCCGAAGCCCUCGCGUCGGUGCAAACGAAUCCAAGAUGGCUCCAUUGAAUUUAACGGAAUAUCUCACAGUGGUGACACAUGACAUUAUCCAUUGUACCCACUGGUGAGAGAAGCCCAACUUGAUCAUCGCUUGCUCCAAGAACCCCCAAUCCACCCUGUCAUAUGCCUUUGAAAGGUCCAGUUUGUACGCAUAAAAACUAUUUUCAGGGUUUUUCUCAUGCUGAAUAAAGUGCAUGCACUCAAAGGCUAGGAGCGCAUUAUCAGUAAUCAGGCGCCCGGGGACAAAGGCACUUUGGUAUGGUGAUAUGAUCUCAUCAAGCACGGGACGCAAUCUGUUUACUAAACACUUAGCAACAAUUUUGUAAAUGACAUUACAGAGGCUUAUAGGCCUGAAGUCAGUGAGGCGAACUGGGUCGUCGACCUUUGGAAUUAGAACAAUUACUGUAUCAUUUACUCCUUGAGGCAUGUUACUUCUUCGGAAAAACUCUCUGACAGCCAUUACAAUUUCCUCCUUCAUCACUGCCCAGUUUUUCUGAAAAAACCUUGCUGGAAAUCCAUCCUUCCCCGGGGCUUUCAGUGGCCCCAUUUGAAACAAGCUGUCAGAUAUUUCUUUUUCUGUGAACUCAGCACAUAAAUGAUUAUUCAUUUCUUGUGACACUUUCUCUUCAAAUAAAGACAAAAGCGGCUGCGGGUCAAGACUGUCAUCACGAGUAAACAAGUUUUCAAAAAAAGAAGUGGCCAUACCCCCCAUUACCUUACUAUCACCAUGGCUGCAGCCCGCUGCAUCAAUCAGGCGUUUGACCUUGUUCCUGCGUGCACGCCAUUUGGCUCAGUUCUGAAAAAACUUGGUAUUCCGGUCACCAUUUCUUAGCCAGUCAAUACGGCUCCGUUGCAUCCACAACAUCUCUUCACGAUAUAAAAGUUCCUGCAUAUGAUCAGAGACCUCUCGGAUUUCAUUACGGUCAGCAUUCAUAUUCAUCAAUUCUUCCAACCGGCAUCUACAACGUUCAAGCUCCUGUGUGAUGUUACCAAAUUUCUUUUUGCCCCAGGCAUGCAGCUCAACCAUGAGCUUUGUUAGUCCUGCCCGUACAUCACCUAAACUGAAUUUACGGCCAGCUUGCUCCCAGACUGCCGCAACUUUCUCAGGUAAUGUAGGAUCACGUUCCCAAAAUGCCUCAUACCUACGGAAUUUGCAUCGGAUGUCAGGGGUAUCUUCCUUUAUACAUUCCAGUAUGAGCGGUGUAUGAUCAGAGCACGGCGAUACAUUGUGCACCACCCGCGCUUCAGAAAAGAUGUCACGCCACUUGUUGUCCGCCACUGCACGAUCAAGCCUUACACGCACAUUUUUCCUUCCAUGUUGUUUAUUAUCAUAUGUAAACGGUAAGCCAGAGAAACCAAGAUCAACAAGCUCACGGACCUCCAGCAUAUCACGGAAUGCCAGCAUCUGCCCUUCAUUGCGUGGUGUAAGCGAGAAAUGUUCAAACGACCACAUAGCUUCGUUGAAGUCACCUAUAACACACCAUGGCAAAUCAGAUGAUUGUUUCAGAGUUCUCAUUUGUGUCCACAUGCGGUGUCUAUUUUCCACACGUGGUUCCCCAUACACACAAGUCAGCCGCCACAGAGGGUCAUGCUCGGAGAGUCGCACAUGCGCAUCAAUAUAUCUUUCACUAGCAGAUUGAACUUCCACAUGCAAACUUUUGCACCAAAAGAGGGCCAGCCCUCCACUCAAACCAUCACUGCUAACUCCAGAAAAACCUCUUAAUCCUAACCUACCACACAGACGUUUAACUUUUUCCGAACUCUGUUUGGUCUCACACAAGAAAACUAACUUUGAUUUUGUAGCUUUUACCAUGCCAACAAGUUCGCGAACUGUCGGUUUGUUGGCCACCCCCCGACAGUUCCAGCUUAUACAAUUCAUUGCUCCUGACGGGGCGUCUCUUGCGACCCCGUCAGUUUACCGGCGGCCCCUGAGCCGGUUGCCUCCAUGUUGUUCGAUCCCAUCUCCUCCGUCACCAUAGGUACCGCAUCUGCAUCGCUUGUACCCUUGAGCUUUGGCUUCUUCGGCGUCCCCUCGACCCUCCUGUCUUCCUUGUUCACAUUGGUGUGCAGCACCAUGGCCGUGCCCUGUGUAUCCUUCCACUCCGUAACUGAAAGAUCAGGAGCUUUCCUUUUGUCAUGUGCUCCUGGAUUUAUCUGCAUGCCCAGGCAUACAUCAUAUGCAUCAUCGGCCACCUCCGUGGUCUUUUCUUCUCCCUGUGUAGCAAAGACGAUCGCCGGGGCAUUAGGGCUCGCCGCUGGCAUGGCCGCAGUUUCCCCCUUAGAAGGCUUCAGGCGGGCGGCGGCCGCUAUGGGAGCCCCUUUUUCGCCCCCACCAACUUCCGGGUUCACCUUGGCAUUCUCUAGCACGCUAGCAGACGGCAGCGCGGGCGACGUCAUCGCGGCCAGGCUUGUCUCAAGGGGAGAUCGUCGACUGGUAGAACGACCUCGAUCAGGUGGCUCUCGGGAUUUGACGUGGAUUGCAGCAGCGGGCCUCCAUCCCUUUAGGUAUGGGCAGGACGGGGCCUCCAACUCCAAGUGCUUGACGGAGGGGUUGGGGUUCGUAGCUCCAUCAGACUCCUUCCUCCAUAUGAAAGAUGCAGUCUCAAUCUUUGUCUCUCCAAUCUGGUGAGUAACUAGUCCGCCACGAGCACGCAGCCCCGGCAGAGAACAGGCGGACAUGGCCGCAGCAGGUCCAUAGCCCUCCCCUAGGGAGGACAUGGAAACGGCGCCGGCGGCCUCGAGGACCGAUCCGGCGAGUGGUGGCGGCGGCGCCAGGGUGCCGCCUUCAGCCGGAUACACUUCUCCGCCGCACGCUGCUCUGCCCUCCAGCACCGAUCGCUCAACUCCGCGGCUCGUAUGGCAUAUCGUGUUGCCCUGGGCGUGCUGAUUGAUUUGUCUUCGUGACGCUUGCUUGAGAUUGAUUUCUCAUGUGCUGACGUCUGGAUCAGGAAAACUAGGAGUACAGAUGAAACCAGGGGCAGCAGAUUCGUCCUCAAUUGAUUGCUCCCGAAUACUACUGAAGUUGUUAAUUCAUGUGUAGAUGAACUAGAUAGAAUAAUUUGUAGAACGAGUAUGGCUGUGAUGAAAUAGCAGGCGAGACAUUUUUCUACUAAUUCGUUCAUACAUCCAACUUAAAUUUCUCCCAGGAAACGAUCAGCCAUGGGGACCUGAACGGCGUCGAUUAUUUUCAGGUUCAUCCCCGGCUCCUCGCCCACUACGGACAUGCAGAAGCUGCCUUGGGACAGCAUGCAAGUCGCUCCAACCCCAGGGUGGUGGUGCCGUGGUGGUGGCCGGCAAUCCAAGCUCCGGCCGCCAUGAAUAAAAUGGGGUUUGGUAAAAACGAAUGACUUGUUUAGAUGCUGAAUACUCGGAGGUUACCGGUGGGAGAAAAAAGAUCCAAAAAAGGUUUGUUAUGAUUACAGUUUUGCCCCUUGGAUCAAGGUACUCCGUGACUUUUUUAGUUAGUACUCCGUCUGACUAGUGGUGGAGUACCAAAUCACGAUCACCAUUGGAUCGGGAGAAAUUGACGGCCCAUAUUAGUUUCAGGGUACCUCACUUUGUGUCAUGUGCUGUCUGACUUUUCUUGUUGCAGAGGGAGCUAGUCAAAUUGUUUUGCAUAUGUCACAGUAGAAUGGAGGAUAUUAUUCCGAAAGAUUCUACUGUCAGGUGAUGAAUUUCUUUUACUACUUCAUUGGUUUUAAUUAUGGACCGUGAUAUUUGGCACACGUGUGCCACAUAGCUAAAACUACCACACACCUCCUCUUUCCUCUUUAAUUACAUGCAUAAUUGCAUUACUAGAAUGAAUCACCUUUUUUCACGUGCAUUCAUUACUCUAAUUACAUGCAUGCACUAGAAGACAAAAAAGUUGAUCUCAUCCUAGAUUCUCCUUAUUCCGAAAACUCAAAAUGUUUUGUAGCUCAAACCAUCAGUCUGAUGGAAAGAUUGUUUUGACAUAAAAGACUCGUCGCGACGAGAUCUUCAAAACUAGAUCCCAUGUUGGUAUGUUCCGACGAUUUUUUUUUCAGAUCAAAAGUUACCACGCCUCGGCUACAUAAGUUAUCACACAUGUAGUAUGCAACUUACCGUGGUAUUUUCACAUAAAUUACCAAAGGAAUAAACAUUGUUCUUUUCACAUAAAUUACCAAAGGAAUAAACAUUGUUCUCACACCUUCUCCACAUGCAUAUGUAUGUAUGCACUAGAGCACAAAAAAAGUUGAUGUCAUCUUAGAUUCUUCUUAUUCCCAAAUUCAAAAUGUUUUGUAGCUUAAACCAUCGAUCUGAUGCAAAAUCAUUAUGACAUAAAUGAUUCGUCGCCACGAGAUCUUCAGACCUAUAUCCCAUGUUGGUACGCAUGUUUCGACGACUUCUUUUUUUGGGUCAAAAGUUAACAUGCCUCGGGUACAUAAAUUACCACCCCUGUAGUAUGUAAUUCCCCGUGGUAUUUAUACAUAAGUUACUCGGGUUAUAUUUUUCAGCAAUUUUUCCCACUUGGUCAAAAGUUACAUCGGUGUUUGUACUUAAGUUAUCAGGAAUGUAAUUCGUGUAUUACCGUGCUAUAAUCACAUAAGUUAUCAGGGGGAGGGGGUUAUGUUUUCAACAACUUUUUCUCUCCUUGGUCAAAGUUACCGCAAUAUUUGUACGUAAGUUAUCAGGUACACGGUUCUUUAAUUACUAAAUUCUUCUUAUUUUGAAAAUUUAAAAUAUUUUGUAGCUCAAACCGUUGGUCUGAUGAAAAAUCCGUUUUGACAUAAAAGAUUUGCCGCGACGAGAUCUUCGAAAUUAGAUCCUAUGUUGGUAUGUUCCGAUAACUUUUUUUUCAGGUCAAAAGUUACCACGCAUCGGUGACAUAAGUUACCAUGGCUGUGGAUGCAACUUAUCGUGCUAUUUUCAUAUAAGUUACCGGAGGGUAGUUCUCCCACCUUCUCCACAUGCACAUGCGUGUAUGCAAUAGAGGACAAAAAAGUUGAUGUCAUCCUAAAUUCUUUUUAUUCUAAAAAUUCAAAAUGUUUGUAGCCCAAACCCUUUGUCCGACGCAAAAACCAUUUUCAUAUAAAAGAUUCAUCGUGCCGAGAUCUUUGAAACUAGAUCUCAUGUUGGUAUGGUUUGAUGAUUUUUUUUCGAAUCAAAAGUUACCACGCCUGGGCUACAUAAGUUAUUGGGGGGUCAUGUUUUUCAACAACUUUUUCUCCCCUUGGUAAAAAGUUACUGCGGUGUUUGUACGUAAGUUGUUGGGUAUGCGAUUCUUAUAUUACCAUGUUAUUUUCACAUAAGUUAUGAGUGGUGUUUUUCCAUAAUUAUUUUUCCUUGUUGAUUAAAGUUGCCAUAAUGUUUUUAUGUAAGUUAUCAGGUAUGCGGUCCAUAAAUUAUCAAGUUAUUUUCACAUAACUUAUGGGGGGCGGGGGGUGUUUUCAACAACUUCUUUAUCUCAUUGGUCAAAGUUAUCGUGUUGUUUGUAUGUAACUUCUCAAGUAUGUGGUUGGUUUGUUACCAUGCUAUUUUCAUAUAAGUUAUAAGGGUAUGUUUUUAGCAACUUUUCCCCCUCCUUGGUCAAAUUUUUGACGAUGUUUGUACGUAAAUUAUCAGGUUCACGAUGCUUAAAAUAUCAUGUUAUUUACACGGAAGUUAUCGGGUAUGUUUCAUCAACUUUUUUCCCAUGGGUAAGUUACUGCGGUAUUUUUGACGUAAGUUAUCAGGUCCGUGGUGUGUAUAUGACCAUUCUACUUACAUAGAAGUUACCAGGGGUAUGUUUCAAAAAAUUUGUUGCUCGACUCCAAGUUACCAUGGUGUUUUCACCUAAGUUAUCAGGUCUGCGGUGUGUAUUUAUCAUCCUAUUUACACAGAAGUUACCGAGGGUAUUUUUUCAACAAUUAGUUUCCACAUGGUCAAAGCUACUGCAAUGCUUGUACCUAAGCUAUCAGGUAUGUGGUGUGCAUAUUACCGUAUUAUUUACAUAGAAAUUACCUGGGGAUCUUUUCAACAAUUUUCUUUCCCAUUUUUCAAAGUUACCAUGGUGUUUUCACCUAAGUUAUCAGGUCUGUAGUGCAUAUAUUGUCAUGCUACUUACAUAGAAUUUAUCGUGGGUAUGUUUUCAGGAACUUUUUUCUUGGGUCCAAAAUACCAAGAAAUCAUCGGAGGUAUUUUCAACAUCUUUUCCCUCCGACUUAAAUUUACCGCGGUGUUUGUACGUAAGUUAUGUAGUUUGUGGUGCGUAUAUUACCAAUGCUAUGUACACAAAAAAACCAAGGUUAUGUUUUUCAACAACCUUUGAUGCGCAUAUUCAAGAGAGAAACAUAUAAACCCAGAUUUGUGGAUGCCAUUGAUCUUGUUAAUAUAUCUGUGCUAAGCAUGCAAAUACAAUAUAACAAGAAAAGCAUAAUGAAUUCCCUCAUCUGAUAUACAUAUAGCUGUACUCUUACUUGUUUCCUUCGGAUCAAUAUUAUAUGAAGAAGUGAUCUUCUUCAGCGCCUCUAGAGGGGAAGCACAAAAACUUGCGUUGUCCAAAUUUGGAAGAAAACUACCUGCAUCUGAAAUAAGAGUAAAAGGGUCAUACUAAGAAAUAUCAAGAGGUUAAAAAUACGGCAGGCAUUCAGCUUCAUGAUGAAGCAUGCAUCAUUAAUAAAACACCAUGCAGAACAAAAUAAGACACAGAAAGCGCAGUGUAGAAGUGCAUCUGUUAAAUAAUACCAUUGUUGAGUUUACAUUUAUGAUUUAGCCAAAGAGCAGCUCGCUAGUUCUAAUGCAUAGCUAGAUGAGCAUUGUUCUCAAGUUUCUUCUAUUCCUGAAGGAAACCAGAUCCAUUGUUGUUGGGUUCAUGUACUUGAAAUUUUCUAUCUGACUAGAGUGACAUUGGUCAGCCUACUCGACCAGAUUCUCUGGCAUUGUGCUAGAAGAGCAGCAGGAUCAACCACAGAAAAAAAUCAUGUGUAGUAAGUUCACUUCGAAGACUGCAAAACAUGUAUAGCAACUCACUUUCAGGGCCAUUGCGGUGACCGACUGGAGCUGCCGAAUUGUUCAGGCUUAGGAUGUCAAGCGAUCGAGGUGCCUGAUCACCAACAGCUUGGCCGCCUGCGCCAUCUGUGCCAUCCUGGUUCUGCAGCCCUGCCGUCUGCUGCUGCCGCUUCUUUUGUUCAAAGUACUACCUCUGCCUGCCCACCAUGCUUGUUCCGAUAGUCAGUCACAGCGACAUGAGAACACUAACUGUGCCGAAGCAACUUUCACAGCUUGAAAUCGGUGAGCCUAACAAGGUUACCUGCUCUGUGUCGAUUUCCUGGACUGCGCUCAUUUCAAGCACCAACACGCCCAACGCAAAGCCGUCAGGUCCCCAAAAAUGAAUCAAAUGUUAGCAAUUCGUUACGAAAUACACUGCUGCAUGCUAUGAUUAUUAGGUCAGCCAGCAGCCGCCGUUGCAAUUGCGGCGCAGAAACUACCCAAAUACAGAUUUCAAACAAAAACAACCCGAAUCAUGCUAAAUCCCCAAAUUAAGCGCGGCGUAAACGGGGGGUGGGGGAUCCGAGAACUCACGGCAUACACCUGCCUCCUGGAGCCUCCCGUCCACUGCAGCAUCGCGGGAAAGCGGCCGAGCUACCUCCCCGGGUGGCACGAGGAGGGAGGGAGGCGGAGAGAGGGGCGCGCAGGCGGCUGGCGCGGAGGGAGAGUGGCGGCGCCGCGGCGGGGAGUAGUCGGUUGGGGAUGCGGCGUCGAGGCCGCGGCGCCGCAGGCGAGCGGCGACGGGGAGGCGGCGUCGGGUUUUGGGAGCAGGAGCAGCGCGAGCACGGCAAGAGGAGGAGCACGCGGAAGAGAAAUGGGAAGAGUCGGGGAGCGUGGCGCCUUGGCACUCCCACUCGGCAUCGGGUGGGAGACGGUUCGAGCGAAGCGGGCGACAGAGCGAUGGCCCACACACCAGCGACAGACAAACAAAACUGCUCGCUGGAACGUUUCUCGUGCGUCGGAUUUGAAAUGGACGUCAUCCAGGUGGUGUGGCGAAUUUGCAAUAGGGCACAGGGUUGCCAAAAACAUUUUUCGUUUAAUUAUAUGAUUCCAUUAUCCUGAAAUUGGCAGUUCAAGUAACUAUGAUCUUGAACAUGUACUUUUAGGCUUGUAGCAUUCAAUCUGGGCUACCUUCCAGGAGGAGAUAAAAAAAUAAUCACAGUACCUGAGACAACUGAGCUGGCACUACAAGCUGCCAGCAGAAUUGUUGGCUCAGGGGGGCUCAUAAGUGUCCUUGUCUACACUGGGCAUCGGGGUGGAAGGUAAAUAUCAGUUGGCAACUGCUAAUAUUGUGUCGAAGUGAUCGCUAGCUGUUAGCUUUUUCAGUGAUUGCUGAUUGCCAGUGUGUCUAUCUAUUAUAGACUCUUUUUUUGAGGAAUCGCCGGGGAAAUAGAUGGCCAAGGCCAGUUAGUUACAUCAUCAGAAGUAGACGAACAAAGAUAUAACCUGGAAGAGUCGGUGGCUACCUUGUGAGCCGGCUUAGUAAACAGAUGCGACCACAGAGUAAAGUUGUUUAGCAAAUUCCGGACAGUAGUGGAGCUGAUCAAUGCCGCGGAAGAUGCACACAUUCUUUGCAUCCCAAAUCUUCCAUAUGGCGUUGAGAAGUGCGGUAUGCCAUACUGUUGGUGGUAGAGGUAUAGGCGGUUGCACCCAUAGUUGCCAUGUUUCCGGUACGGUGGGAACGAGGAACGGAAACGGGGGACGAGAGUCGGAGGCUGAAAAAAAUAGGGUACAGCGGGGGUAUACAUCUCUAGAACGAUUUUUGUCAAGCGGAAACGCGAUCCAAUCAAUUCCGGUACGAUGAAUCCGGUACGGUACCAUGGAACGAGGAACGUGAAUCUUUACUAGUUGGGAUGAUGAACCCGGUACAAUGGUGGAUCAACCAUACGAACGAUGAUAAGACAUGAUAUAUUUAAUUAAAAUUUCAGCACGAGUACUUAACAAAAUACUUGACUUAACCAAAGUAGCAAACAAGAAAACAGAUUGACUAAGGUAACAGACACAAUCACUUCAAUAGCAGCAUCCAAGUGACUCAUCUUCCAGGUUUCCAACCAAUAAAGUUUCACCAACAGAUUAACUCACCAUGUACCUUCAAUUAAAAGAGAACUAUUAGUGACCAUAGAAUGUAAAGAUUGGAUUCAAUAUACUGAAGAGUUCAGAUUUAGUACCGGACACUUCCUAGUGUUUCAAGUCCUCUGAAUUUUGCGUGGUGGUUCAGCAUCAGCUGCUUCAUCCUCCAAGCUAUCCCAACGCAGCUGCUCAAGCUUCAAGCUUGAAUCCUCCAGCAAAUCAUUCUCAGGCUCAACAUCCCACACUUGCACCUCCCAAGUAGUAUUGAUAUCCUGUUGGUGUAGAUCGAUACCUAGGCGUUGCCAAAUCCAUGUGGCAAAAGGGCAGUGGAGGAAUAAGUGUGCAGUUGGCAUCUCAGGCAGGAGCUUGAGAGUCAUGAAGAAUAGGUUUAGCUUGGUGUUGAGGCGAUUGCUGAAUAGUAGCCAGCCAAACACCUUAACUUUGUUUGGCACCUUGCUUUGCCAGAUUGAGGCGGCGUUUGGAUCUAUGGCCUCCUCGUGCAUGAGGAGGUUGUAGGCAUGCUUGAUGGAGAAGGGCGCCUUUUUUGAGGAAGCGUCCGUCGUUACCAAGCUCAAACUAAAGUCCUGCAACAAAGACAAGAGAGACUGCAAUUCGAGGGAGGCCAUAUGGAUUAGGCGAUUCCUCUGAUUAGAUACUGUCAGACAUGAUUGAGGAUACCCGAAUAGGCUUAGUGGAGUGAGAGAAAAUAUUUGGAAAAGCAGUAGUUGAUGAAGCCAAGUAUGUAGCCAGAAGAAGGUGGAUCGGCCAUCCUUCAUCAUGACGAAGGAAAUUUUCGUAGUGUAGGUAUUUGGCAAUUAAUAAUAUUUGAUUAUAGACUUGCUUUUAACUUGACAUCAGAAUCUUGUUGUUUAAUAUCAAACUCCAAUCAACUAUCAUUUAAGACUGAAUCCAUUUAUCUUCUUCGCUUUUUUAUCUGUAGGGAUGAACUCGAUAUUGUUGAAUCAUUUGCGUCAAGCUUGCCUGCUGAUACAUGGGUGAGCUGCAAGUUUGAAAUGAUUAACAGGCCAGUUGCUCCAGUACUAGUUCUCCUGCACAAGAAAUGAUUGCAGUCCCACUGAAGCUCCACAAGUUUGGGACUCCCUAUUCUGGAUUUCGGGUCGAUGAAUGAAAUGCCGCAAUGCAUACUGUGAUGCUGAAUUUCUGAUUAUGGUUAAUGAGUUAGAGAAAGAAAUUCAUAUUGUUAAUGAGUUAGCUGUAACCGGAUGAUUACGAUGUUCUGGUGAUUGCUGACAAGAAUUUUACUCCACCAAAUAUCGUUUUGUUAAGGUGUUCCGUGUCUUGCUUUUUAUGUACAAUUUCUGGCCUGCUAUGUUCACUGAAAUGUUGUGUAAGUAUAUGUCUGUAUCUUGAAUAUUGAUAUGUCAUAAACCUGUGCUCCUUUUAAACAGUACCCGCGGUCCGUUGGUGUGACUGAUAAAACAGAUUGUUGGUUUGGAUCGUUUCUGAAUUGCCGAACCAAGGGCUGGCACGACCAAGUUGGUAGAAUGACACUUCUCUUGUGUUCUUCUUGCAUCUACCAAUGGAAGCAUUGAUCUGUCCAUUACUCCCUCCGUCCUGAAUAAUUCGUCUUAGAUUUGUUAGACAUUUUAGGACGGAGGUAAUAGGAGUACUACCUUAGAUUUGAACAAAUCCGGGAGGUAUUUGCGUAUAGAAUUUUGCAGAACUUGAUUGGUUAAAUUGAACGUUGACUCCAAUAAGAAGAAGUCCAUCUCGAAUUCACCAUGGACGCCCAACAUAAUUGAAAAAAUAUGCAUCUUGCCUUUUCAAGUGCAUGAUCGGAAGAAAUGUUCAACUGAUGUAGGUCCCUGCCUUGGAAUGGAAGUGAUGUAUCUUAGGAUAAAUAUAAUGAGGAAACAAGAGUUAUUAAGAAAUAAAUCAUCAAUAAUAAUCAGGAAACAAGAGCAAAUGUAUGAUUUGCAUGGCGCAUUGCACAAACAAAAGGGUGCUGGCGCAGUUGGCUAGCAUAGCUAAAACAGAUGCCAUAGGUUGAGAGUUCGAGCCUCUCGUCACCCGAAGGCCAGCGUAGUGAUGAAACGCUCAGUGGCAACUUGGGUCGCCGCAUAUGCAUCUGAAUCAUCAGGUGAAAUUGAGCAAGUCUGAACCUGGUCUCUAUUUUUUUUUCUUUUGGUUUUUGUUUUGAGAUAAAGGUGGCUCAUAGCUCCACUCUGAACUGGACUGGGGGAAGUCUGAAUUAUCAGAACUACACUUUAGCUUUACGAUGAUUCCUCCAUGUUGUUUCAGUUCUCAUGGCACUGUCUACGCUAAGUGCAGAAUUAUGCUCCGAUUUUAUAUGUUCUCUGACGGGUUGGCAACCGACGGCGGAGGAUUCUCACACUUGUAUGUAGUUCCUUUAACAGAGAUUUGCUGUCCCCGCAAAAAAAAGAGAUUUGCUGCUGUUCGGUUCGUGGUAAGUGAGCUGCCACAAUGCAUACUGUGAUUCUGAAAAUUGCAGAUUAUGGAGUCGCAAAAAAAAGGAAAAAAAUGACUACGGUUAUGAGUUACAAGACAGAGAAAAUGUGUAAAGGCUACACAUAGAACUGUUGUCAAUUGUACAAUUUUCUUAACUUCAAGCAAAUUGGUUUUUACGGCAUGGCAUAUAGUCUCGUUUUCACCUCCAUGUUCUACAGAGUUGUUUUAUUUCCCAACAUGUCUCUGAUACAGAUUACCUCGAACCGGAACGAAACCCUUUAUAACACGCCACCCAAAUGUGUGUACAUUGGGUUCUUCCAUAAUUUAUUUCUUCAGCAUUUGAGCAUAAAUCAAUAUCUUUUCGGUGGUAAUCAUUAGUGAUCAGCAAUACUGGAAUGUCUAACCAAUAAUCCAUAAUUUAUUUUCUUCAUCAUUUGAGCAUAAAUCAAUAUCUUUUCGGUGGUAAUCAUUAGUGAUCAGCAAUACUGGAAUGUCUAACCAAUAAUCCAUAAUUUAUUUUCUUCAUCAUUUGAGCAUAAAUCAAUAUCUUUUCGGUGGUAAUCAUUAGUGAUCAGCAAUACUGGAAUGUCUAACCAAUAAUCCAUAAUUUAUUUUCUUCAUCAUUUGAGCAUAAAUCAAUAUCUUUUCGGUGGUAAUCAUUAGUAAUCGGCAGUACUGGAAUGUCUAACCAAUAAUGUGUAGGCUGAUCUUACCGUGUGCAGCCCAUGUGUUUUCCCUUGCCAAGCCCACAGAUCAGCACUCAAUUUCCCAAGUCGAAUUUUUAAAACUUAAUUGGCAUUCACAUGCAAUAAGUUACCCCGCAAUGUCUUUGGAGUACUAUUUAAUUCUGGAACUUAAUUGGUAUCCAGAGACAAGCAAGAGUUUGUUGACAUUGCAGAGACUAUCUACAGAGGAGCUUGCAAGGGUCCUGGUGUGGCGGUUGCUGAGACUAUGUUCAGUGAAAUUGCCGCUACUCGGGCACGGUGACCCUUGAUGCAACAUCCGUCAAGUUUCAAAGCGUUGCGUAACUAUAUGCCGCCAUGUUGAAUAUUGACUAGUAGAAUGUUUGUGCGUUACCACGGGCUUUUGAAAUAUUUUGCCCAUCGCCCCCUACCCGAGUUGCCGCCUCCCUCGCCGGCCAACCCUCUAAACCGUGCCACAAUCUCUAGCGCCGGUGACCUUCCGCACCACAAUCUCAAUGGUUGGCAAUAUUAUGAAGAAAAAAGAAGGAUCAAGAUGGUUCUCUGAAGAAGUCAUACCAUCUCUUGUUGCACAUCAUGUUCAUGGAUCAUACACAUGCUCUCUUCACUCGGCGUCAUUAUCAUAUUUUCAGACUACAAAAUCUAACACUUGUGUUUUGAAUAAUCAGUAGUACAAAUCAAUUUCAAGAGCAUGUCAUGGGUGAAUCAUUUGGGUGCUAUACUUUGAAAAAUCAUUUAUGCAUGGGAGAGAUUUGGCAGGUUACACCGAAUGCCAUUUAGAAAGCCAUACCCAAUAGAGAGAUCCAAUUUUACUAUAAAAGAACUAUGUUACACACAAAAAAUGUAACUUGUAAGCUCAAUAAAACUACCUUCUUCUUCAAGUCUUCGCAUUGAUACUGCGGUUCUUGCUCACGCAUACCAGUCCAAAGGAACAUUUUUAAAAUAAGGAGCAUGCAAUCUAGGCCGAGGAUUAUAUGAAGUUCAUGAUUCAUCAUUAUCUUUCUUCCAAUGUCAAUCUAGCCAAGACUGAUGGUGGUUUUUGCAUUGUUGAACCUUUAGAUGCACUUGUAAGUACAUAUAUAAUGAAGCUGCAACAAUACAAAGUUAAAUUGAUUCUUAUAAAAUGAUUAAAUAAUCUACUCAAGGCAUGUCUGAAGAUGAAAAUUAUUUGCAGAAGACCCGUCCGAAUUAGCUUUUCACAUGUUUUGGUCCACAAAAUCUUGUGCACCUAGCCUACAGCAACCCAAUGCAUCAUAAACCAGCGAGAACAGCUCUGAUGGAAAAUCAACCUAACACCAAAACAGGACGGUACAGACCAGACAUGGACCACAUCAAUUCCUAAGCAUACUAAGCAAACAUCCAAGCUAAGCAUCAAAGUCAUUUUCCCCCAUUGCACAGCCAACUCUACAGUGCCUAAUUAAGUUUUGCAUACCCUUUGACCCCAGCGACAAGGAAAAGGAAAGAACGAAUGAAAGGAGACGACAGAAGAUCUCGGGGCAAAAAAUUAAAAUCUGCUCCAUGUGCCAUUAUGCAACACUUUUUAGUCCUGUUUUUGCAAACGCCAGAAAUAAGAUUACACUGAGUUUUUUUUUUGGACCAUGAAAUUUGGAUGUACCCUAACAAUGUUCAUCAUACCUAUUUCAGUUCUGCACUUUCAUUUUCAUCAGAUGAAAGUAUUUUCUGGUUGUUCUGAAAGCAUGAAUAUUUUUUAUUUUGAGGUGUUUUUUUAAAUAAAAAUUCAAGAAUAUUUUUUAAAAGGUUAUCAUUUUUAUGGUGAUGAACAUUUUUUUGAAAUAUUAUAUUUCAUUUGUAAUUUUUUUUGCACUGUUUUUUGUGCUUAUACAUCCCACAAGAAGUUAAGCAGGCAACAAUCUGAAGGCCAAAUUGGCAGAGCACUAAGAGCAGCCCACCCGUACGAACCCGAUUCCCAAUUCUUUAACUUAGCUGAUGCCUUACUACGGCGCCGGCCGACGACUCCAACCCUCAACUGGCCGGUGGGAGGAGCAGAAUCCAGACUUCAGUAUGCUUUUCCCCUGCUCGGUUACUCCCGACCUAGCUGCUGCAACGACGGUGGCGGCAGCGCCGCGGCCGACGGCACCACCAGGUCCAUGCAGGGCACCAGCCACCAGCAAGCAAGUCUCCAGCCAAAACAAUUAAAAAAUCAGUAUAUAAAAUAAUUGGUUAGAAAGGUGAUUAAAAAUUUAGAAUAUAGAAAAAAAGUAUAUAAUGAAUAUAAAAACAUACCCAAUAUUUCAUGUCCAGAUAAUGUAUUUCUAUCAAUUGUUUUGUUUUUUGUGCGGUUUGGAUGUCAUCAAACAUAAUCUUCCGUACGACCAAAUUAAAGCAAUCUCGGUCCAUGCCUCCAUGGGUAAAUCAUCCUUUAGCAUUCCUUGUAUAUUUUUGAGAGACAAACUAAUUGGAUAUGGCUUUGAACUUGGGAUCCAUACUUUUCUUAUAGUGAUAAAAUGAAGAAAAUAAGUAAGAAAUACAUAUGCCACCUUAUACCUGUCUAUGUGUUUACUGGACAUUCUACUGCAAAUUAUCACAUAUCAGUCGGCAUCAACAAGGCAAUUGUCCCGUAGGUAACUACUAACUACAUUUUGGUAGAUGGUAUUAGGCUACCAGCACACAAGUAGAGACAAUACUAAAACCUAUAUGCUCAGAAUUGGAUGAUGAUAUUCUAGAAUUGUUGUUGUCUAUGUAUGAGAAACCAGUAAUAAUAAUAAAUCAACAGCAGCAGCAGAUUUGGCGGUUGCUAAGGUGAUAUCUAAAUUACACAACCAACUAUCUUCAGCUUAGAUAUUCGCCUAAGAGGGAAAAUCAGGGAUAACCCAUGAACUACUACUUCGUCCUUAUUCAUACAAACCUGAAAAUGUUGGCAAAAUGUGGUACUCUUGUUACCCCAGAAGUCAUGGGCAUUGACAGAAAACUGACUAAAAGAUCAGUGCCACCUGUUUUGUUCAUUUACUGACUGAAGUGUAGCAUCCAUGAAUAUUUCAAGCUUGAAUCAAAUAGGGAGAAACAGAACUUACAAUCUGCACGUCGGUAUCAUCGAGUGUUACUGGUGGCAUGUCCGAGAGCCAAACCUCCUUGGCCUUCACCUGAGUUCUAUCAGACGCCUUUGGCACCUGCACGUGCACACACAACAGAGACAUGACAUCAAAAGGAAUUAUCCUACACUUGAACAACAACAUUAUAGUUUGCACGAAAUUCUAUCCAUCGAUGCCAAAAUUCAGAACCAACAUGCCCACAAAAACAUAAUACAAAAUAUAUGAUGCAGGCAAGACGCUGCUGCAGCUGAAGCUGGCAAGAGAAAACAAUUCUUAUUAAUUAGUGAAGUAAACACAUAUGACUCAGCCAUGCUAAACAAUUAGCAGAAAACGAACUCUUAGCUAGACUGAUAAACUGAAGCAAUCAACCAGUUACGACUGAACCAAUUUCAGUCAGCAGCAACAUCAGUAGCGGACGGGAUUCAUGCAUGGUCCCUGAUCGACUGGUUCACACUGAAGCAGUAGGAGCAGCCACCGAGAGGAUCUGAGCUGAAUCACCAGAACAGUAAGGAUCAGCCGCCGAGAGGAUCUGAGCUGAACUCAACCAGAGCGCACGGGCACGAGCAGGAGCAACAAGGCCACGCACGGGCGUGCGAGCGACAGUAAUGGCCGCGCAUGGGCUCUCGAACGGCGGCAGCGGCAGUGCACGAGCGCGGCGGCAGCAGCAGCAGGGUUCAGAGAAAUCUACUUGUCAGAUCUAACUUCAGUGUUCAGAGUUCAGUACAUCUCAGGAUAAAUAACGAGGAAACAAGAGUCAUAUAAGGAAAUAAAUCAUCCAUGAUUUGUAUUCGUGUCAAUAUAAAAAUCAGGAAACAAGACCAAAUCCAUGAUUUGCAUGGUGCUGCAGCCUACAAGGGCGUCAGUUUCGCACAGCACACAACAAAGAGGUGGUGGUGCAGUUGGCUAGCAUCGCUAGAAAACGCUCGAGGUUGAGAGUUCGAGCCUCACAUCACCCAAAGGCCAUCGUUGUGAUGACACGCUCAGUGGCAACUUGGGUCACCACAUUUACACCUGAAUCAUCAGGUGAAAUUGAGCAAGUCUGAACCUGGUGGUUGGUAGCUCCACUCUGAACUGGAUCGCAGUUCUAGUGAAGCUCUACAAGUCUGUGACUCCCUGUUUGGUUCAUGAUGAAUGAACCACCAAAGUGCAUACUGUGAUUCUGUACAAUUCAUAUCAAGAAAAUUGUACAAUUGACAAGAGUUCUAUGUGUAGCCUUUACAUAUAUUUUUGCCAAAGUGCAUACUGUGAUUCUGAGUUGCAGAUUAUGGUUAUGAGUCACGAGAAAGAAAAAUAUAUGUAAAGGCUACAGAUAGAACUGUUGUCAAUUGCACAGUUUUCUUGACAUGAAUUUUACAGACUUGUUUUGUUUCUCAACAUGUCACUUAGGCAGAUAUGUUUUGUGUAGUCUCGUUUUCAGCUCCACCUUGUACAGAGUUGUUUUGUUUCCCAACAUGUCUCUUUUACAGAUUAUCUCGAACUGGAAUGAAACCCUUUAUAACACGCCACCCAAGUGUGCGCACACUGGGUUUUUCGAUAAUUUAUUUUCUUCAGCAUUUGAGCAUAAACCAAUGUCUUUUCGGUGAUAAUCAUUAGUAGUAAUCGUCAGGAUGCCAGUGUGUUGAAUAUUGAUAUGUCAUAAACCUGUGGUCUUUGAAACAUGACCUGCUGUCUGUUGGUGUGACUGAUAGAACAGGUUGUUGGUCUGGAUCAUAUGUGAAUUGCUGAAGCAAGGGUUUGAACAAAUCCAGGCCUGAGAGCUUGCUUUGUACUAUUACACUUUUCAGUUACAGCGUUCAUUUUGCUCCUAACUAAUCCUGUGUCUCGUAGUACUUGUCGAGAAUAUUUUUUUUGAAAAGACAGGAGCCAUCCAUGAUUUGCAUGGUCCAGUUGCUUAAUUAACAUCGUUUGUAUCGCUUGCAAAACAACAAGUGGGGUGGUGGCGCAUCUCAUAGCUGAGAGUGAUCCUGAGGUCGAGAGUUCGAGCCUCUCUCACCCCACCUACAAACGGCCACCGUAGUGAUGAAAAGCUCUGUGGCAACUUGGGUCGUCACAUGGUCAUCUGAUUCAUCGGAUUGAUUUGAGUAACUCUGAACAUGGUCUAUUCUUUUUUCUCUUUAUUUAUCACCGUAAAUUUAACACUGAUUUCAAGUUUUCUCGUCUAGUUUCGACGGCUGGUGGUUUGUUAACGCUGAACGUGAGUGGUCUGAUCACGAGGGUUCAAGCAUCCCAUCCAAGAGCAAAUGAUGAAACUCGUGAGAGCUUCUUGGGUCAGCACGUCCCCAUUUCAAAAGAAGUUGUGGACUUACGUAUAUAUGAGCGCUUGCAUCUAUACUGUGUUAAAAAAAGUUUUCCAAGUUAAUUAAACCACCUUCCAGUUUGGUCGACCCCGACCCCCCAUCUUGUGUUAAUGCAACUCGAAAAUAUCCCGUAAACUUAACUUCCAAAUUCCAAAUAAUUGGUUAUUAGGAGCGUCCCAACAAGAAUCUAGGCAUUGAAGAGGAGCUUUGCGGCAUGGCGGCUGGCUGCUGGUGCUGGAACAAUUUUAACAACACCGGCGACAAAAGGAAAGGAGAUGGUGUAGGUAGCGGUUAUUAGCGUGGAAGUUUCAUCCACAAAACAAAUCAUUUUGCGAGGUAUAUUGAGGGUGAGCACUUUAUCGCAAGUUUGCGAGUCCUUUUUUUGAACUCCCUUUUCUUGGGGGUUUUAAGUACCUUUUGGGAAUUUGCUAGAGUGAUCUAACUCUCAAUAGUAACAAUAGUAUUUUCUGAGAGUUGAGGGCAGAUUCCCAGGCAUCGGCUAAUAGGACUACAAUUAGGAACUAGAGGUGCCCUUAAUUUGACAACUAACAGACGAAAUGUUCAGUGCGAUGGUGACAAUUUGUCCUAACACAUGCGAGAGAAAAACACUGAAAGGAUACGAACAGAGAAACUGAUAUUGACAAGGAAGGACACUAAUUGGUAGCCAUUCUAGAAGAGGAUGGCUCUAACACUCGAAGUGACUGUGGGGUACGCUGGCUUUGCCAUGAUGCCAUUACCGAUCAUGCACUCAGUUCUUCGUCAACUAGCUAAAAAUGUGAGGGUUUUUACGGUACCCUAUACUGCUACUGGGAAGCGAGCAGUAUAUGUGUGAUCCCAUCGUGAUUUUUAAGGAUAGUACUACAUACAUCUCUGAUUCAUAAGAAAACUUACGUUGAAAACUAUUCUUGUUCAUAAAGGGAAUUGCUCUGGUGAGCCAUCGUGCACGCCGAUGACAACGGCGGUGAUGACCAGGACACAAGCAGGUCGAGCAAUAUGCCUGGGUGAGCAUUCUAGCACACGAUGUGGUUGUCGAUCUCACAGCAAAGGUAGAUGAGCAGCUCCACGUCCCGCGAGAUGCGGCCGAAGUAGAGCACUAGUAAAAUGAAAAAAGACGACCAUGGGCUCCGCAGAGGCAGAGCAAAAGUUGACGGGUGGUCUUCGGUCCCUCUCUCGCGCUAGGGUUCCCCCGCUCACCUCCCGCCGCCGCCGCCCCUCCCGCCGCCGCCGGCCCCGCCCCCCCGUCUCCGCCCCCUUCCGCCCUCCCCCCCCUUCGUCUUGGCCGCCUCGCGUCGCCUNNNNNNNNNNNNNNNNNNNNNNNNNNNNNNNNNNNNNNNNNNNNNNNNNNNNNNNNNNNNNNNNNNNNNNNNNNNNNNNNNNNNNNNNNNNNNNNNNNNNNNNNNNNNNNNNNNNNNNNNNNNNNNNNNNNNNNNNNNNNNNNNNNNNNNNNNNNNNNNNNNNNNNNNNNNNNNNNNNNNNNNNNNNNNNNNNNNNNNNNNNNNNNNNNNNNNNNNNNNNNNNNNNNNNNNNNNNNNNNNNNNNNNNNNNNNNNNNNNNNNNNNNNNNNNNNNNNNNNNNNNNNNNNNNNNNNNNNNNNNNNNNNNNNNNNNNNNNNNNNNNNNNNNNNNNNNNNNNNNNNNNNNNNNNNNNNNNNNNNNNNNNNNNNNNNNNNNNNNNNNNNNNNNNNNNNNNNNNNNNNNNNNNNNCGCCGCUGGCCCGGGUGGUGCCGGCGGCGGCGGGCCUUCCAGUCCCCGCGCGCCCGUGCUCCCUUCCCGGGGCAGGGAGGCGGCGGCGGUGCAGCCCGGCUUGGCUGCGGUCCGGCGGCCCUGCGGUGGCGGCCGGCGGCCGGCGUGGUGACGGCGCCGCUCCUUGGCGGCGGGGCGGCGUGGUGGUGCCGGGUGGCCGUCGACGCGCCCCCGGCCCAGAUCCGGGCACGUCGGGCCCAUCUGGGCCCCUGGGGGCCGGCCCCCCGGCAUGGUCUCGUUGUCUGCGGCGCGGUGAGGAGGAGGAGCGGCUCGGACUUGGGGCGUCGACGUCGAUGGCGUGCCGGCAGCAGCGCGAAGGCGGGAGCUUUACGGGCCCACGAGGGCUCGGNNNNNNNNNNNNNNNNNNNNNNNNNNNNNNNNNNNNNNNNNNNNNNNNNNNNNNNNNNNNNNNNNNNNNNNNNNNNNNNNNNNNGUGACGGCGCCGCUCCUCGGCGGCGGGGCGGCGUGGUGGUGCCGGGUGGCCGUCGACGCGCCCCCGGCCCAGAUCCGGGCACGUCGGGCCCCAUCUGGGCCCCUGGGGGCCGGCCCCCCGGCAUGGUCUCGUUGUCUGCGGCGCGGUGAGGAGGAGGAGCGGCUCGGACUUGGGGCGUCGGCGUCGAUGGCGUGCCGGCAGCAGCGCGAAGGCGGGAGCUUUACGGGCCCACGAGGGCUCGGCCGGGCCUGUGGGCCUACGGGCCUGGUGUGCUCCUGCUAUUGCGUCCGGACGGCUAUUGUCGCUGACGGUGGAGGUGGGGCCCUCCCGCGUGCCGAUGGUGCUGAUGCCCUAGUCCCGGCUCUGAUUCUUCGUCGUGUUGUUCUCACUUCGCGGUGCCGUGGUGAGACGGCGUGGAGGCCUCAUGACCGCGUUGGCGUAGGGUGGUGGUUGGUUUGGUGGCGGGAUCCGGAGCGCCCGAGGUGCGGGUUGGGAUCGGGGGAAACCCCUGUCGGCGUGGCCGACCCAGGCGCGGUGGCGCCUGUGGGUGCCGCCUGACCUUCCGGGAGGGCGUCGGGGGCUACUCUUCCUAUCGCCUCGUCGUGUACCGGGGGAAACCCUUGGCAGCAGCGUCGUCAUCGUCGCGAUCCUUCCUGGAGGUGUUGAUUGGUGUCGGCGCUUCGGAGUCUUGAAGCCUAGUGGAUAAGACUGGUGGGCCUAGCGAUCGCGAGGCUUCUUCGUUUUUGUUGAUCCGCCGUUGUCGGCAUUUGUUUCUUUUGCUCUUUCUCUGUUGUUUCUUUUGGGCGUGACUGUACUGCUUCUGCCCCAGCAUCUAUCCCUGUAUGACCCGGUUGGUUGCUUUGUAUACAAAGCAGGAGGAAACCCUUUUUCGGUAAAAAGACGACCAUGAGCCUAGCGAGGACAGGGUUAGCACGAACUAGCACGAGGUUCCACCACGAGCAAUGAUACACUUACAGGCAGUUUUUAACAGACUUAAGCUUACGGAAAGGGGUGUCAUUAAAAGAUUGGAGGGAAUGGAGCCCCACCCCAGGAUUUGAGGGGAGUGGGAUGAAUUAGUCGCUGCCACCUCGGUUCCACCACGCUCAGGCACUCACCUAGCCGCAGCUCUUCGGGCGUAUCCUGACCUCGUCGUCAACGGCGGCGACCUCGUCCGCGACACAGGGUGGUUUGGCAUGUGCUGCCGCCAUGCAUGAGGCACAGUAAGCGUGAUGCUAUGGGUGAUGAUGGGGUGCAUGGCGACGGGCCAUAACGUCAUAACCGUAGAAGCAUCUGUCCACGAUCAUGGUGGCGCAGCGGGCCGGCAGGCGUGCGGUCGAAGAGGAGACGAGCGGCCGGGGGCAUCUGUCAGAGGUGCAGAGAGUCACCGAUUUAACAAGGAGAACGGCUGGGUCAGGUUGAUCAAUCUCGCCGGGUGAAGACUGUGAUCUCCCCAUAAUAAACUGCAAGCACAUAUACCGGUGGACGAGAGUACUGCUGAUCCGGUUUCACCAGUACAGAUAUCUAACUAUCCUUGGAUCUUUGCCAUUGGACGGCCUGUAUUCAAUACAGGGUACCAUAAAAGAGCUCAAAAAUGUAUUCUAGUCGAUCCCGUUAUUUCUUUGCAGUGUGUUCAUCUCGGAAAACCGCCACACUUGGGUGCAUUUUCACCGCCGGUUUUCAUGAAACCGGUUGUGAUUGUGGAGGGGUCAAAAGUCCAUUUUUUCAGUAGUGAAAGAAUUAAAUAUUGCGAAAGUACUUUCCUACAGAAAUUCAUAUGCAAGUAUACAGCCUAAACAUAAAAAAUGUAAAUAUUUGUAGAGAUAUACUAUACUAGUCUAAAUUUCAAAUUUUAACCUUAUUCUUCCUGCAAAAGCGAGGGGAGUAAUAAUGUGAGACUCAUGGUAAUGUAUUGCAACGAAAUCAUGAAGUACUUCAACAUUACAACCGGGAUGCAUGCAUCCUGACAACCGAAGGUAACAAGAAAAACUAAAUUUGUGGCAACAAUAGCACACCCUACAUUGCCACACAGUACUUCUCACUGUAAUAUCUCCAUGCAUGUACUGCAGCAAUAUUUUGUUACUGCUGCAGUAACCUGCAUGUCAUAUUGCAAGCUAGAGAAUUAUUAAGGACUAGUACUACUAAAAGUAACCGAAGGGAAACCGUAGGUGGCAAUGAGACUACCACGGAUUAUUUGUCGUUGCAAUACUGCCAUGGCGAGAUCAUUCUUUGAGAAGCGUGGAGGUGGAGUUGGCGGCGAUGGCCUCGGCGAAUACAGCGCCACAGCCGCCGCUCUGGCAGCCUGCACCGCAGUAGGCCGGGCCAAUACCGCAGGAUCCCCACUGGCUACAACAAUAGUUGUUUGUGCAAGCCCUGCCACCGGCGUUCUUGCCACACGGCUUGUCGGUGCUGCAAGCGCCGUUCUGGCAGCCGACGCCGCAGAACUCGGAGCCGAGGCCACAGUAACCCCACUGGCUGCAGCAGAGGUUGUUCGGGCAUAGCUUGCCGCCGGCCUGGCUGCCGCACUUGAUGUCGGCGUGGCAGGGGCCGCCCUGGCAGCCGGCGCCACAGUACUCGGAGCCGAACCCGCAGUGCCCGUACUGGCUGCAGCAGUGGUUGUUGGGGCACACUGCGCCGCCGGCCUGGCUGCCGCAGCGCUUGCUGGUGUAGCAGGCGCCGUUCUGGCAGCCGUUGCCGCAGUAGUCGCCGCCCAUGCCGCAGUAGCCGUACUGGCUGCAGCAGAGGUUGUUGGGGCACUCCAUGCCGCUGCCCUGCUCGCCGCACCUCUGGGCGUGCGUGGUCACCGUGAAGGCGAGGACGACAGACACGCCGAGAGCGAGGGCCCUGGUGCUCAUCAUCUUCUUCCUUUUUACUUCCUCUCUUGUCGAUCUAGGGCUGGUUGUGUGCUUGUGUCUGUGGAGUAAACAGGUGAUGAUCCCCGCUUUAUAUAGGCGCUCUGAACUUCUCGUUACAGUCCAAUUCGAUGUGGCAGCUCUUGCCAUGCAAUUGCACGCAUACACGUGUUUCACUCAUUGUCAACGAUCUUAACCUGAUCGUCGUCUGACCGAGGAGAUUGUUAAUGGAUGCGAUGUGAUACGAUGCCGGAUCCGUUCUUGAUAGACGUGGCACUGCACUGUACGUAAGAUUCGUAAUGUUUAUAUGCUGUUUAUGCUUGCAUGGGACAUGCAUGGAGAGCGCGCUAUUAGACUAAUACUAACUUAGAGCAUCUCCAACAGCCGCCCAAUGCGCGGCGCCCAAAAAGACAGGUUUAUAGCACGUAAGUAGGUUUUUUAGGCGCUAGAAGACGUUUGCUCCAACAAACGCUGCAAAAUAUGUUGUGCGCGCGAGUCCAACGGUCCCAAUCAAGCGGUCUCAUCUGCAGCAGUCCAGAGUUUGCAGCGCGCGCGACCGGACGCACUAAAUAUGCUGCGCGCGCUGCAUUAGUUAUAGCGCGCGCGUUUUUUGUGCGGCUGCUGGAGACUUCAAACCGGAUCCGCGCGCGCUAAAAUAGGUUUUUAUACCGCGCGACGCUCAUAUAGCGUUUCUAUUGGAGAUGCUCUUAGAACUAAUACGUACGCAUACACAUGUGAUUACACCUCGUCGUCCCCAUCCACAGAAGCACCCCAACGGACACGUCGCGUGCAUAGCAUCUGAUCGAUGCGAACGUUGUGCUCUGCGUCCAUGAUAUUGAUCAUCUUAUCUUCUUUUUCUUCUCAUGAGAGCAAGUACUAUGAUGCGAGAUGUUAGAUGUAGUUUUGAGAGUCGUGUGGGCGUGACAUGCAUGGAGAGGAGAGCAAUGCAUGCACGUGACCAGUUAAUGGAAAAAAUGGCAGUGGCAUCUCGCACCGGAUAUCCUUUGUUAGGAAAAAUGGUCGGUUGUUAGGAAUAUUGCGAUGGUAAGGCAGGCCUGAUCCACAUCUUGGUUCAGUCGAUCGAACCAUCGAAGUAGUAGUUGGCUACAAUUUUUUUUCUCGGGAGAGUAAUUGGCUAGAGUACAAUUGAAUAUAAGCUCGAGUUUUUUUUAAUAUAAUACAGACGCAAAUGCCCAUAUACACACAGAUACUCCCUACAUCUAUGAUCACCUUCAAGAGACUGAGCGAGCACAUCAUCUUGAGAUUGACGAAGUCAUUACAGACACCUUCGUAGUUGGCGAGAACGUCUCCUCCUACUAAGAGCACAUUGUCGAAAGGCCUGAAAUAAAUCCAGAAAAUACUUAAAUUCUGGUGGGCUGGGAAUACCACUGUCCUUCUAAUCAUUCAACCACAUGUUGGUUCACCAAUAUAAGCUCGAGUUAAGACCUCCUGUAGUGUGAGUAUCAUAGCAAGUACUCUCAAAUUAAUGGGUUCAAAAUAUUCAUCUCUUUGGUUUACUCUACAGAUCUCAAAUAUUUUCAAUGCUUACUACUCCUUCCAUCCCAAAAUAAAUGUCGUUGAUUUAGUGCAAAGUUAGUAGAAGUUUGUACUAAAUCAGCGACACUUAUUUUGGGACGGAGGGAGCAUAUUAUUACUAUGCCCAAGACUUUGUUUUGCCGGGAUUGCUUUUAACAUGGAUUUGCUUGGAUUACCCGCUCAUUUGUGUGUCCAGAUGUAUUAUGUGUUGUCAUAUUGGUAACUAAAAAAUACAUUUGAGGCGAAACAAACAGUAGGUCUUGGCAUACUGCAUAUUUUCCCUGCAUUUUUAGUUAAAUGUUAAAUAUAGAGGGUAAAAAGAGCUAACAAACUCUAUUGUCUAGUUGACUAGGUGCAGAGUUGUACAAAUAAGCACACAUGUUAGAUAAAGGUCUUGGCCCAAUCAGAGAAUUGUGAGUAUGCUUUCCUUUCCUAUCAUUUUCAGCCAUGUAUUGUUAACUAUUAUUGGAUAUAUUAUCUCUAGCUUGGAUUUUAUGUGCCAAUCAAUAUACAUACAACAUUGUAGCCAAAGAUGCAUCUCAAAGAAACAUGGUAAAUUUUGAUAAAAUAAACUUCCAAUUUAAGUGUAUCUUUAGGCUUUAGUCCAAAGUACUUAUAUUUAAUGGCAAAUUUAUUUCAUAUAGUAACUUCUUUUAUCACCGUUUGUGCUGCCAUGCAAAAUUAUAGGCUUUGGUGAUUAUCUGUGCAUUAUAUCCUGCCUCCUUGUCCAAAAGUAUCCAUUCUUCCAUCAAUAUUUUUGAUGAGAAUUACUUUUCUUAAUGUACUUUGCACCUGUGUUGCGCCUUCCCGCUUUGUCAUUGUCAAACUAACUAAAUUUUUGUGGUCCUACAUCCUAUGGCACCAAAGCAUUUUGCCUAGUUUGGCUACUUAAAUCUUGUGUAUGUGUGGUCAUGCUUUGUUCUAUUCUUCAAGAAUCGAAAUUCAAAUGGCUCUCCAAUUUACUAUCUCUUAAUCAAGUGUUCCACCUCUCUAAAUACUACCAUCCUCAGAUUGUUGCAUCUCUUGACAAUCAUCAGUACAUGUGUAGCAGAUCUUAUUUGAAGCCUGAUCCUUUGCUACUCAACAUGUGUCAUGACUCACCACAUGAUCGGAAGGACAACUUGAGCAUGGAUGUAUAUUUGACGAAUAAAAACUGAAUUGCUAUUUGAAAAACAUUAUGAAUUUCAUGUCUUCUUGGAAUUCUUUUUAAAACCAACUAAUUAUUUUAGCUAUUUGCGAAAUAGAACUGUAGUACUCAUCCGCCUAGUACAUUGAUCAAAUUGUUCAUUUCAAAAGUUAAAUCCAAUAUUUAAUUUAGGGAAUCCAAUUAAACUGAUUUAAUUGAUCAAAUGUUUAGGCUGGUCAAAACCAUAGUAAAGGAGGUUUUUUUCAUAUUUAUUGUUUAAAAACCGCCAUGUGCCAGUCUUGGUAGCCCCAUUAUGUCAGAUAUGGCACACUUCUAUAGUUUACAGAAGGAGACAUGUGUUUACAAACCUCGUGAUGCGAUUUAGGGACUUAGAAAAACAUUUUCUUAGUUCAAUCACUAGAUUGAACCAUACUUAGAAGCCUUGUUUUGAGGAAUCAUGUGUGUGUGUUGGGCGGGGAGGUCCCCAACUAAAGAUAUUACUCAAGUUGGCCAAGGCCAAUUUGUUACAUCAUCAGAAGUAGGCAAGAAGAAAGGUAUAACCUCCAAGAAUUGGUGGUGUCCUUGUGUUCUAGUUUCCUAAACCUAUGAAACCAAAGGGUGAAGUCAUUUAACAUGUAUUGUAAUGUGGUAGAGCUAUCUUGAUCAAUGUCACUGAAUACAAGCAUAUUCCCAAAUCUUUCGAUGGGCGUUGAGAAUAGCGGUGUUCCAGACUUGGUGGAGCAGAGGUAUUGGCGGCUGGAAUUCCCAAAUACCAUUGAUAUCUUGGACAUUUAGGUCAAUUCCCAAGUGUUACCAUAUCCUGACAGUAAAGGAACAAUAGAGAAACAUGUGCUCUGUUGACUCAGUUUGAUGUUGACAUCUUAGGAAAGAACUUGACACGACAAUAUGCUUGUGGUGGAGGUUGAGCUUGUUGUUGAGGCACUUGCAGAAUAAGAGCUACACAAAUACCUUCACUUUAUUGAGCACAUACCCAAGACUCCCGGAUGAAGUCGACAUUUUGAUCUAUGAACCCCUCGUGCAUGAAAAGGCCAUAGGUGUGCUUGGUGGAGAAGGGAGCGCCUUUGUUGAGGAAACAUUUGUCUUGCCUAACACCAAACAGAAAGUCAUGCAACUAAGACAAGAGAAACUAUAAUUUAAAGGAAGGCACUUGGGGUUAGGCGAUUCCUCAGGUUUGGCGUUACAUUGUUCAACAUGACUGAGAUACCCAGAUUGUUUUGUCCAACGGAAUGGGUGAAAAACAGGUUUGGUAUCUAGCCCAAAGACGGUGUAGUGACCAUCUUUCAUCGUAACGAAAUAAACCCAUUGUAGUUUAGAUAUUUGUUGGUUAAUAGUAUUUGGAAGAAAAGAGUCAUGAUUCUGGGUGCAAGUGGCAUUAGGAUGCUGAAGUUGUGCCCAACACACCCAAGGAUUGUUGGUAGGUAGGAGAAAUUUAAUGAAAAAAUUCAUGAGUAUGCAGAUAUUCUAUGUAUGGAUACCUUUUAUUGUUAGACCAUCAAAUUAUCUUAGUUUGCAAACAUUAUCCCACGCGAUUAAGCAUUGUCUGGGUUUUUGUUUUGGAUUAUGAGUUGUUGAAGGAUGUCCGCAAUUAUGAUGAAUAUGUAGGGGGGUGAAGUGGAUUGCCCUGGUGUAGAUCAUGUUUGCAAGGGUAACAGAUGCAUGUGCAUUUACCCCGCAAAAAAAAGCAUGUGCAUUUAACUCUAAAACGAACUCCACUUAGUCAAAUCAAGACUUAGUAAAACAAACCAAAUAAUAUGAAAACACUAUAUACACAUUAUUAUAGCUCACCAAAGUGGAUCAUACGUUACACUACUUAAUUAGUGACCAAUUAGUUCGACAAAUCAUCUCAGUGCAACUGUCUACGCAUUUUUUUGAGAUAGUGUUCCGGAAGUUUACUCGACCAGAUUCAGCUGGGGAUAUAACUCCAAUGCUCGGAAAAGAGCACACAACGGAGCACCCAACAAAGUGUAACAUCGUCACUCACAACAUAUAUACAAAAAACCAGCUCCACUUAGUGAAAUCCAGGCCUAACAAAACAAAACAAAUCAAAUCAAAUUAGCAAAGCAGCGGAGCCGCCAAUCUUACCUUGUAGGAGUACACUAGCGUAGUGAAGUCGACGGUAUAUGUUACACUAAUUUAAUGAUCAGUUAGUCCGCCAAGUCCUCUCAGUGUAAACAUCAAGAAUAUAUUAGCUACUACGCUAAUUAGUUAAUGGUCACUUAGUCCGGCAAGUCCUCUUUAGUGUAAGCAUCAGGAAAAUAUUAUUUAAGCUUGCAGGAACACUAUAUAUUCGGCAGGGAGCUUGGUUACUUGCAGUUCAUCACAAGCCAUUUACCUACACGGCUACACGUGUAGAAUAACGCACGUACACACACAUGGCUCCUCACGCUCUCUCUUGGAUUAGUGUGUCUCUGCUCAUCUUCUUGGCGUCGUCGUCAUGCGUUGUGGCGAGGGGCGCUCGGGCACCCAAAACCAACGACCCGACGGCCGGGUUCACCGCGGUGAGGCUCGGCGAGAGCAACUUUGCGCUGCAGCGGCCGUUCGAUGAGACAAGCGGCGCCCGGUACAGUUUCGACGGCACCGUCCGGAAGCUGUGGGUGCUCUCCUCCGACAAGCCCCACGCCCGCCAGAGCCAUACCAGCCCAAGAACUGAGAUCAGAAUGGCAGUACGUGCCAACUAUUACUACUUCUACUCAAUAUGUAUUUGGGUAUACAUAAAAUCAGAGAUCUUACUGGUUGCUUUUGCUAUUCUUCUACCUGCUGCAGGGAUACGACUACAGCUCCGGCGUGUGGCAGUUUGAGGGCCACGGCUACGUCCCCUCAGGCACGACCGGAGUGUCCAUCAUGCAGGUGUUCGGCGCCGGCGAGACAGCCACCACCCUCAUGCUGCACGUCUACAACGGUGCGCUGCGGUACUACGACCGCCAGGUCGUGGAAGACGACAUCUAUGACAGAUGGUUCCGGCUUAACGUGGUCCACGAUGUCAAGGCGUCGACGGUGACCGUGUACAUCGACGGCAAGCAGAAGCUGCACGUCAAUGGCCGUGGCGGCGACUCACAUUACUUCAAGUUUGGUGUGUACGCGCAGAACCAUGACUCCAGCUGCAUGGAGUCUCGUUGGAAGGGGAUCAGGAUCCUCAAGAAAGACUGACGCUUUGAUUCAGACUUUACUGCCGAUUACAUAUUUUUCUCGUAUAUAUUUAUGUUUUCGCCUUAUCAUAGUGGCUGUGUAUUGUUUGUGGACUUAUGAUAUUUCUUUUGCGAGGUUGUGGACUUUUGAUUUGUAGACAUAUGAGCCUGAGAAUGUAUAUAUGUAUAUCAUCUGUUUGUGGUAAUUUAUUUUUCCUUUAAUGUCCGGAUGAUGUUUUUUAGGGGAACCGGAUGAUGUUUGAGAUGUGACGGAUCUAGAAAAUCUGUGCUCAAUUACAAGGCGUAUGAAUUUUGUAUGAAGUCAAACAGUGUAAAUUUGACAACAUUUUUAGUAAAAACUAUCAACAACUACAACAUUAAUUAAAUAGAUAUGAAAUAUAUUUACUGUAUAUUUAAUGAUGUUAUUUGGUACUACUGUAGUUUUAACCAAAUCCUUGAUGGAAUAUGCUUUAAUGACCUCAUGAUAUAUGUGAAAAGAAUAUUCAUCACAGUACGCAUACACAAUUACUAUUCGUGCGGAUGCAUAAGUUAGUAAAUAAUAUUCAAAAUGGUAACAAAUAUUAUUCCGGUUUCUAAGCAGUGUACAUUAAAACUUUUGUGAAACAUUCUCAAAUUUUUACCACAAUAAAUUGGUGUCAUCCGAGGAAACCAUGACAAGUUCAUGUUUUUCAGACUUCUUUUCAUUUUUUGGAAUUAAAAACCAAUAACCUCCAUGUUUGGGAUCGAGUCUUGACACCCCAUGUUUGGAAUUCUUUUCCUUUUCUUGGAUAAGGCCUAAACAUAGAUGAAAGAAAACAAACAUGAUUUUUUUUCAACCCAAUAUUGUCAACUUUUUUAUGCACUUGCAGUUUGUAUUCACUAAAUUUCAAUUAAAUACACGUUUACUUCCCAUUCGUGCCCAUUUUUUCAUACACCUGUACUUGGAAUCUGAAUUAUAUGCAUUAAAUGCCUAAAAAAUACACUUAAUGUCUUAAAAAAGGAAAGAGAGAGGGAGAAAGAAAAUAUAAGAAAAAUAAUGUAGAAAAGAACAAAGGAAAAAUGAAAACAAAUAGUGUACAAAAGAAAUGAAAUAAAAGAAAGGAGAAGAAAAAUAUAAAUAUUUUUUUUGCCGUGUACCGCGUGGUAGGAACUCGGCAAAGGAAUGCCACGCCGAGUGCCACGCGGGCAACACUCGACUAAGCAUGGCUUUUCCAAGUGUCCUAUCUUUGCUGAGCUUUUUUCUGCAGUAAGUAUCACGGACCUUUGUCGAGUGCCUGACAUUAUGCACUCGGCAAACACACUGGCACUCAACAAAGUUGCCGAUUCUGGUAGUGCAACUACAAUAUUAAAUAGGUAUGAAAGUGUAUUUUGUUAUGUAUUUGGUGAUACUAAUCCUACAUACCUAAAAAGCCCAUCCACACUAUCUGAUUUCUGCUUACAUGCAGCCUAUCCAUGUCAUCACAUAUGCCAUGUAAGCGAGGUCAGCUAAUCGACAAUUUCCCUUUAGUUUCUUAUGCCACCUCGGCAAAAAAUUGUCUCUGCUUCUGUCACUUCUUCGCUCUUUCUCUUCUCCGUAACAAACAAACGGAAGACCUUACGUUGCACAACACCACUUCCUCUCCUCCACAAUCUCUAGCAAGAAGGAACUAAUGGAAGAAUCGCGUAGCCCACGUCUAAAAUUGAUGAAGGGUCCAAGGGGACGUUUGUGCCAUUAAAACCAAUACUCAGCAUGACUCUUCAUCCCCAUGGACCGUCGGCCAUGCUCCACCCAAUUAUCCAUUCGUCCUUCACCACGGCUGGACAUUCCUUUUACUGCUCCUAUAUCCAUGGCUCUGGUGUGCUACUGCUACAUCUCUCCCUCCAUGAGCUCACUUUUCCAAUUUGUUAGCUACCAAAUGAUUUGGACAAUACAACUGCCACUAUUAAUUCAUCUACUCAAUACCGUUGAUGUGGUGUCGAGCUUUCCUCCGGGGGAGCAGGCUGGAGCUAUGGAGGUCGGGAGGAGGAGGCUAGCAACGGCGUGGUCCGUGGAGAGAAGGAGCCGAGGAUUCGACAACGUGAAGGAUGCGGUGUCGAGAUUUUUUUCCGGAGGAGCAUGCAACAACUCGAUGGAGCCAUGGAGGUCAGGAUGAGGAGGCCAGCGAUGGCAUGGUUCCGUGGAGAGAAGGAGCAGAGGACCCGAUGACGUGAAGAAGAGGGUGGCCAGCGGCCUGCCCGCGUCUUGCGGCGAGGCGCGGGGCGUGCUAUGAAUUCGGUACUGCCUAUUUGGGCAUCGAUUUCUCAUGUGCAUUAUGUUUUUUAGGGAAUCAUGUGCAUUAUGUCCCUUCUUCACCUAUGUUUAUUUCUACUUAGGUUUAUCAUUUUACGAUUAUCUGAUCUUUUUAUUUAGGAAAAGAUGCCAAGGUUUCUCUCUCUCUCUCUCUCUCUCUCUCUCUCUAUCUAUCUAUCUAUCUAUCUAUCUAUCUAUCUAUCUAUCUAUCUAUCUAUCUAUCUAUGUACACUUACCAAUAUCUAUUUGUGUUCUUAUGCAAUUCCAUUUUUAAUCUAUUAGUUUUUUCUCAUGUACUAGCCUUUUUCCUGCUCAACCUACGGAGCAAUGGUGACACAUGUAACACUAUUUUUGCGGCCACAAUUUUAGAGAUGAGGCAGAUUCCACAUGUUUUUGUUGCUUAUGAGGUACAAACAAUAGUCGUUGCUAGAUAUUUUUUCUUUGAGAAGGAACACAUUGCAUUCCAAUUACCUCGGAACAACCAAAUCAGUGGUCACAACACAGGAUGCAUUUACAGGGAGCUUUGACAGCCACACGUGCUGAGCAGCCAUUGCUAGAUCUUCUAAUAUGUGCAAUUGUUCCCUAAAAGUACUUUCGAAAUCUGCCAUGCAUUCAGGUUUGUUAUGUUCUUUACUUUAAGGGCUAAUAUUAUUUAUUCUUUUUUAUAUGGCUUAAUAUAUUUUUUGAGUAAUAUAGCUUAAUAACUGGACUAGAGCUUACACGCAGCUUUUUCCUUUUUUGCGUGAUUUAGGCUAUUUUAUUUUUUAUUAUACUUUUAUUGAUCUCCAGAGAGAAUUAUUGAAUUUUAGUAAAUCACAAAUGAAUUUUGCAUUCAUCAUCUAAAUGUUCACAUGUUAAAUAAGCUCUCAUGGGCACAAAACAUUCAUCAAGUCAUACUUCACCAUUAGCAAUAACAAGAAAAGCACGAACAAUAUCCAUCUUCAAGCAAAAAAGACUUCCAUCAGCAUUCUAAUAUGAUAAUAAGAGGACCACAUCCUAUUAUCCAAAUUAAACCAACAUUGGCUACAAGGCCUAGUAGCUUUGCUCCAUUGCACUAUGUUUUUUGAACUUUUACUCUCUACAAUUCCCCCUAAAUGAUAUGUAAUUAGAAAUAAAAAAAUAAGCUACUAGGGUUAGAAGGAUAAUCAUUGCUAAAGCAUGCAUCAUUAAGGGCUUUUGGAAGGGUCAAGAUAAGGGACGCUACACCAACAACCACUAAUUUAUAGACUUCGAAUUAAAGUUGUUGCAUCAUCUAGGAAGAUCAUCAAAACUAACAGGAAUAGAUGGCAAACUAAAUGCACAUCUAACUGUAUUCUAGAUAUGUUUAGCCACUGCACAUUGAAAAAAGAGAUGAUCAUGUUCAUCAUUGAUGUGGUGUUGUCUCCGUAAAGACAUUGAACAUUGUUGGUCUUUCCUCAGUGAGCUAGCACUGCACUAUCUCCAUGACGGUAGAUCCUAUUCCCCGAGUAGGUAGGUCCGGGAAUAGAGAUCAAUCGCGUACCCCCAGGUGCCUCGUCCUUUGAAUGGGUCGUCCCAUUACGGGGUUUCCCCAACGGUUUUGGGAAAGUUCUUGAAGCAGGUUUUCUUUUUUUCUUCUAUUUAUUCUUUCUUUUUAUGUUUUUAUUUUUCUUUUAUGAUUUUUAUAUGUUUCUUCUCUUCAUUUUUAUUUAUUUUCUUUACAAAUUUCUAAACUUUUUAAAAACUUGCAACAAAAACAUGAAAUCAUGAAACAAUUUUCAACUCAUAAUUUAUUUUUCUAAAAUCAUGAGCAAUUUUCAAAUUCACAGACAUGUUUUAAAAGUUGUGAACAUUUUUCGAAUUCACGAACAUUAUUCACAAACUAACAAACAUUUUUUUCAAAGUUGUGAAUAUUUUUUGGAUUCGUGAACAUUUUUUGAAUUUGUGAACAGUUUUUUAAUUUGCGAGCAUUUUCUGAAUCGGUGAACAAUUUUUUAAAUUCACAACAAUUUUUAAUAGGCAGCCAUUUUUAAAAAUUUGGGGAAAAACUGAAGCUCACAAACAUUUUUAAAAUUCACAAACAAUUUUUAAACAUGGGCAGUUUCCAAGUUCAUGGACAAUUUUCUAAAAUUCAGGAACAGUUUUUUAGGUUCACGACCAUUUUUUGAAUCGGCAAUUUUUUUAAACUGGGAACAAUUUGUAUUAAUUUAACAAAAAAGAUGAAUCGGUGAAGUUUUUAAAAAGUUUGAAGCAUUUUUCAAAAUUCAUGUUUUUUAAAAAUUCUGUGAGCAUUUUUAUUUUAUGAAGAUUUAAAUAGAAAGCGGGCCAAAAUCUAAAAAACUGGCAGAAACCUCAUUUCUGCAACAAAAAGAUGCUGGAAAACCAAGCAAAAAAAGCACAUCAGACAAGCUCGAUAGCUCUCACUGUCCUAGUUGGUCUGGUCAAUUCAGCUUUGNNNNNNNNNNNNNNNNNNNNNNNNNNNNNNNNNNNNNNNNNNNNNNNNNNNNNNNNNNNNNNNNNNNNNNNNNNNNNNNNNNNNNNNNNNNNNNNNNNNNNNNNNNNNNNNNNNNNNNNNNNNNNNNNNNNNNNNNNNNNNNNNNNNNNNNNNNNNNNNNNNNNNNNNNNNNNNNNNNNNNNNNNNNNNNNNNNNNNNNNNNNNNNNNNNNNNNNNNNNNNNNNNNNNNNNNNNNNNNNNNNNNNNNNNNNNNNNNNNNNNNNNNNNNNNNNNNNNNNNNNNNNNNNNNNNNNNNNNNNNNNNNNNNNNNNNNNNNNNNAUACGAGGUCCCCUACAUGACUUCUUUGGGUCAUCACAGUGGCAGAGCUUCAUGGGGUCAACCUGGGCCACCCACCCCCCGGCCCAUGAAGAAAUCUCCUAAUACUCCUUAGUAUUUGGGCCAUAAGUGCCCCUAAAAAAAUUGGUUCAUAAGUGUAGUAAAAAUAACCCAAACCUCAUAAUUUCGCCCACCCUCAGCCCAUUACCCCUCCAGAGAUUUGGCACUAGCUCCGCCACUAAGUCAUCACAUCUCUAUAUGAAUCCAUCAGAUGGCUUGAGUAAAUAUUAAUUGAACUUGUCCUCGUUUUUAUCCCAUGCUCUGGAUCAACCCAUCGCCUCUCCUCGUCGUGCCCAGGCGGCGACGCCUCUAUGCGGUGCAGCUCCUCGCCGCAUUGUAUGGAUGAAGGAGACAAUGGUUGGCUUCACCACCGGCAAUCGCAGGGCCACUGAGGUAGCCCACUGUGUAGGGACUACCCCCAAUCAUCAUAGCGUAUUGCGUGUACACAAAAAAAUAUCACCGUGAUGCUAACUAUUUCUCCCAGAACAUCCCAGAGAUAAUAAGUGAAUGAAUUUGAACAAAGAAGUUGAUAUGACAGGGAAUGACAGUAAUGGGUUGCCAUUCUUGAAGAGGAAGGUGUUAACGCGGGAAGUGACGAUGGGGCACACCGUCAUUGCCAUGAUGCCAAUCCUGGUCGUGCAAUCAGAUCUUCCUAAACAAGCUUUAAAAGGUAUUUUAGUCAGCCUCCUACUUAUUUUUGUGCUCAAUAUUUUUUGUAGACCGUACAUUUCGGAAAACUGCGGCAUUUGAGGGCAUUUUUGCUGCCGGUUUUCAUGAAACUGGCUAUAAUAAAAGUUUUAAAUAGCCGACUUUAUCGGUUUGAACAGUGUGUCACUAAAUAGUAUUAAUGUGUGAUUGUUCUAUAAAAUUACAAAAUAGCGACAUAUAGCCUCGCUAUGGCUGCGCUAUAGUUAUUUGAGCAGGGUGCCGCUAUUUGGCAUAGCCUGCUAUUUAAAACUAUGGUUGUAGCGAGGUAUCAAAAUUCAUUUUAUUAGUACUAAAAGAACUACAUAUUGGGAAAAUAUUUUUAUAAACUAAUCUAUAUGUAUACUUAUGGUUUUCAAGUAUGCAACCUAAACACAAAAUAUUUGAACAUUUGUACAAAUAUCUAACAAUACUUAUGCAAGACUACCACUUUUACUUUUACUGAGCAAAGGGAGUAAUGUCGUGAGAACCAUGGUAAUAUAUUGCAACGAAAUCACGAAGUACUCCAACAUUACAACAGCCAUGCAUGCAUCCUGACAACAGGUCAUAACAAGAAAACUAAUUUGCGGCAACAAUAGCACACCCUAUAUUGCCACACAGUACUUUCUCACUGCAAUAUUUCCAUGCAUGCACGACAGCAAUAUUUUGUUUCUGCUGCAGUAACCUGCACAUCAUAUUGCAAGCUAGAGAAUUAUUAAGGACUAGUACUCUAAAAGUAAGUGAAGGGAAACCGUAGGUGGCAAUGAGAUUGCCACGGAUUAUUCGUCGUUGCAAUACUGCCAUAGCAAGAUUGAUCAUCAUUCUUGGAGAAGAGUGGAGUUGGCGGUGAUGGCCUCGGCGAAGACACCAUCGCAGCCGCCACUCUGGCAGCCUGCACCGCAAUAGCCCGGGCCGAUGCCACAGGAUCCCCACUUGCUACAACAGUAGUUGUUAGUGCAAACCCUGCCGCCGGCGUCCUUGCCGCACGGUUUGUCGGUGCUGCAAGCACCGCUCUGGCAGCCGCCGCCGCAGAACUCGGAACCGAGGCCGCAGAAUCCCCACUGGCUGCAGCAGAGGUUGUUCGGGCACAGCUUGCCGCCGGCCUGGCUGCCGCACUUGAUGUCGGCGCGGCAGGGGCCGCCCUGGCAGCCGGCGCCGCAGUACUCGGCGCCGAAGCCGCAGUACCCGUACUGGCUGCAGCACUGGUUGUUGGUGCACGUCGCGCCGCCGGCCUGGCUGCCGCAGCGCUUGCUGGUCCAGCAGGCGCCGUUCUGGCAGCCCUUGCCGCAGUAGUCGCCGCCCAUCCCGCAGUAGCCGUACUGGCUGCAGCAGAGGUUGUUGGGGCACUCCAUGUUGCUGCCUUGCUCGCCGCACCUCUGGGCCUGAGCGGUCGCCGCGGCGAAGGCGAGGACGGCAGCCGCGCCGAGCGCGAGGGCCCUGGUGCUCAUCAUCUUCAUGCUUUUUGUUUUCUUGGUGCUGGUUGUGCACUUGUGUGUGUGUGUGUGGAGUAAACAGGUGAUGAUCCCCUCUUUAUAUAGGGGUUCUGAUCACAGUAGUCGAAUUCGACGUGGCAGCUUGCCAUGCAUGGGGCGCAGACACGUGUUCGCCCAUCGUCAACGAGAUUAACCUGAUCGAGGAGAGUACCUGUUAAUGCAUGCAUGUGAUAUGAUGCCAGAUCCGUUUUUGAUGGACGCGGCAGUACGACUACGUACUUGUGUAUGAAGUUUAGCGCUUGCAUGAGACAUGCAUGGAGCGCGGGCUAUUAGAGUAGUUAGGACUAGUACACAUAUGUACAUAUAUGAGUAAUGCUACACGUACAAACAAGUUACAAGAUUUUAUAAAAAGGGUUAAUUUAAUUGGUUAAUAGGUGGGGAGGCGGCCCACCCUCCCCUGAAAAUCAGGGAGGACAAGUUUGUGAUUGGUUAGUAGAUAAAAAAAAUCCUAGUCAACAUGUAAGUGCGUGUAACUCUUUGUAUGUUUAGCAUUAUUGGUACGUAUAUGUAUGUGCAUGUGAUUACGUGUAAGAAACUUCAUCGUCCUCAUCCACGGAAGCAGCGCCCCAACGGACACGUCGCGUACAUGUGCAUAGCAUCUGACCUGAUCGUUGUGAACUCUGAGAAACGUUGUGCUCUGCGUCCAUGCAUUAUGUGAUCCAGAUCUUAUCUUCGAUUUUCUUUUCAUGAGAGCACGAACUAUGAUGCGAGAUGUAGUUUUGAGAGUCGUGUGCGCGUGACAUGCAUGGGGCAUGGAGAGCAAUGCAUUCACGUGAUCAUUCAAUGGCAAUGGCAGUGGCAUCUCGCAUCGGAUAUCCUUCUCUCCUUUCUUUUGCGGUAUGAGAAAUUAGCUAGGUUCUUAUUAUAUUUCCUUACAUUUUACCACAUCCAUCAACAAAAAGAUGACCAAAGGCAAAAGAAAACUCGGUUUUGUUAGAGCAUCUCCAACAAACACGUAAAAAUAUCGAGCGCUAAAAUAGUUUUACAACGUCACUGUAGCAUUUUUAGCGCGCCGUGGCCAACAUUGGUUUUUCAGAUGUCCAAAAACGCGCGCCAAAAAAAACAAGCGGUAUAAAUUAUGAAGCGUGUGCGGUCCGGCUCCCCAAAUUUGCAGCGUGGGAUAGUGCUUUUUAACGCAUGCUCUAUACUUUUUUGCACGCGCACUUGUUUUACAACAUCUGCUGGAGCAUCUCCGCGCCCAAAAAGAACGGUUUUUAGCGCGCGGAGCAAUUUUUGCGCGUCUGUUGGAGAUGCUAUUAGGAGUGUUGUAAUGGCUAAGAGCAACUCUAGCGAAGUCGUCAUAUGGACGUUCGUCAUCCGCCACAUAGAGGUCAUGGCGGGUGUGAGCAAACACAGAGUCGUCAUAAUGCGGCCUUCGUUUAUUUGAUUUUUUUUUGUUGUUGUCUUUAUCAAAAGCAGGGACAAUUUAAGCUCAAAUUAGACAUACAGGACGCAUGUUUCAACAUGAUAGAUUAUAAACUAUAAGAGUGGCCAAAAUCCUUCGCAUUAAUUAGCGACUACAAAUGUUGUUUAACGGCAUUUUCAACCUAAGCAAGGUCGUUGUUCGAGCGACAUUGCUAUAUAUACUAUCUACACUACUAGGUGGUCGGCGCCCUCGUGGUCGCCGUUGCUGUCUUCCUCCUCCUUCAUAAAUGAGCUAUCCUCCAUCCAGGCAUAGGGGUCAGACUCACGAGCGGCAAUCGCAAGCCGCCGUUGUUCCUCCUAGUCAAUGUGUGUGGGCUAUCCGUGUCACGGAUGAUAUGUGCCUUGUUGCAAGCUUGGCGGGUAAUGAGCUCGAGCACGGCGUUGAUCGGGACCUCCGGCUCCGGUUGGGCCGCGACGAGGGUGGUGUCAUUCACCCGGACGAGGGAGCAAUUGGGCCGAUGGGGACGGCGUCCUCCUCAUCCUCCUCCUUCACCCGGACGAGGGGGCAGUCUCCCCCCACGGCCGUCGCCAAAAACCACUGGAUGCAUUGGGUUCACCGCCGCCGUGAGAGGAGGAGCCGAUGGCUGCCAUGGUUAAUUAGUGCUCUGUGGGAGUGUUCGCCCCGCGGUUGCACGACAUCUACGACAGGUCGUUCCACUCUGCCAGUGCAUUCGGCCAGUAGGUUGCGUUCUGACGUGACAAGAUUGCCGCUAAGAGAGGAUCGGAGGAGAUGAUUAGAGGGGGCGACGAGAAGGAGAUGGAGAUGAGGGGAAGCGGCUAGGGCUAGGUGGAUGAGAAGGCCUCGCUGUCGGGCUUUUAUAGUCGAGAAUGAAGUCGUGUGGCCAUUCGAAUGUCCACCUUGGGAAUCGAGGGAAGCAGUGGCCACCAUUAAUGGCUCGAUGGUUACCGAUCACGCACCCCACUCACCAGUGAUUAAUUGGGACACGGAUAUGCGUGUAUGGCGGUACCACGCUUCAAACCCGGAUGUGGCACUGGGUGAAAGAAGCUGAAACUUUCCUCUCGCACUGACGGUUGUUUAUGGAGCGAGCUUCAUAUUGGCAUCCCAGCUUCCAAAUAUGGAGGCUGCAAGAUUUCCGCAGACACUUCACAGCCAACUAAUAGUCAACUAGUGAUUGUGGUAUAUUUGGAACUGGCUCAAAUUUUGAGUGGUGCACUUGGAGCCGGGACUUUUUUGAGUGGCGUAUCUGGAACUGACCAAAUUCUCAGUAGUAUAUAUGGAUUUUUCACUUGUUAUUAAUGUAUCGAAGAGAAGAAUGUGUAAAACGAUAUGGGAAGCGUAGAACCCUUUGUCUCGGGCCGCAUGUAUAUAUUGGGCGAAAGCCUUGGCAUACAAGUUACAGAGAAAGAGAUCGAGAGAUUGACCAGGAAGGUCGUUACAGAGAGAUAGGGGAGAAGAAGAGAUAGGGAUGAGGUACAUGAUACGUCUCCGUCGUAUCUAUAAAUUUUUAUUAUUCCAUGCCAAUAUUAUACAACAUUCAUAUACUUUUGGUAACUUUUUAUACUAUUUUUUGGGACUAACAUAUUGAUCCAGUGCUCAGUGUCAGUUCAUGUUUGUUGCAUGUUUUUGUUUCGCAGAAAAUCCAUAUCAAACGGAGUCCAAACGGUAUAAAAACUGACGGAGAUUUUUUUGGGAAUAUAUGUGAUUUUUGGGAAGAAGAAUCAACGCGAGACGAUGCCCGAGGGGGGCACGAGGCAGGGGGCGCUCCCUGGGCCCUCAUGGCCACCCCGUAAGGCGGUUGGUGCCCUUCUUUCAUCGCAAGAAAGCUAAUAUCCAAAUAAAAAUCGUGUCCAAAAUUCAGCCCAAUCGGAGUUACGGAUCUCCGGAAAUUUAAGAAACGGUGAAAGGGCAGAAUCAGGGAACGCAAAAACACAGAGAGACAGAUAGACAGAUCCAAUCUAGGAGGGGCUCUCGCCCCUCCGCCGCCAUGGAGGCCAUGNNNNNNNNNNNNNNNNNNNNNNNNNNNNNNNNNNNNNNNNNNNNNNNNNNNNNNNNNNNNNNNNNNNNNNNNNNNNNNNNNNNNNNNNNNNNNNNNNNNNNNNNNNNNNNNNNNNNNNNNNNNNNNNNNNNNNNNNNNNNNNNNNNNNNNNNNNNNNNNNNNNNNNNNNNNNNNNNNNNNNNNNNNNNNNNNNNNNNNNNNNNNNNNNNNNNNNNNNNNNNNNNNNNNNNNNNNNNNNNNNNNNNNNNNNNNNNNNNNNNNNNNNNNNNNNNNNNNNNNNNNNNNNNNNNNNNNNNNNNNNNNNNNNNNNNNNNNNNNNNNNNNNNNGUAACCCCUAUUUUACCCGCUUUAAUCUCUACUUAAACAUGGUGCUCAACGCUAUAUAUUAUUUCCCAAUGAUGUAUGGCUAUCCUAUGAUGUUUGAGUAGAUCUGUUUUGUCCUAUGGGUUAAUUGAUGAUCGUGAUUGGUUUGAGUUGCAUGUUUUAUUAUUGGUGCUUUCCUAUGGUGCUCUUCGUGUCGCGCAAGCAUGAGGGAUCCUCAUUGUAGGGUUUGCAAUAUGUUCAUGAUUUGCUUAUGGUGGGUGGCGUGAGUGACAGAAGCACAAACCCGAGUAAGUAGGUUGUUUGCGUAUGGGAGUAAAGAGGACUUGAUGCCUUAUAAUGCUAUGGUUGGGUUUUACCUUAAUGAUCUUUAGUAGUUGCGGAUGCUUGCCGGAAUUCCAAUCAUAAGUGCAUAUGAUCCAAGAAGAGAAAGUAUGUUAGCUUAUGCCUCUCCCUCAAAUAAAAUUGCAAUAAUGAUUACCGGUCUAGUUAUCGAUAGCCUAGGGACAAAUAACUUUCUUGUGUGACAAAAAGCUCUCUACUAAACCUAACUUAGUUGUGUCUUCAUCUAAACAGUCCCUACUUUUUAUUUACGUGCUCUUUAUUAUCUUACAAACCUAUCCAACAACACUGCUACCUCUUGAGCACUGCGUUGGUUUUCCCUUGAAGAGGAAAGGGUGGUGCAGUAAAGCAGCAUAAGUAUUUCGCUCAGUUUUUGAGAACCAAGGUAUCAAUCCAGGAGGAGACUACGCGCGAGUCACCUCGUACCUACACACAAAAAUAAGAACCUCGCAACCAACGCGAUAAAGGGGUUGUCAAUCCCUUCACGACCACUUGCAAGAGUGAGAUCUGAUAGAGAUGAUAAUAAUAAGAUAAAUAUUUUUGGUAUUUUCAUGAUAUAGAUUGAAAGUAAAAGAUAGCAAAAUAAAGUAGAUUGGAAACUUGUAUGAUGGAGAAUAGACCGGGGGGCCAUAGGUUUCACUAGUGGCUUCUCUCAAGAUAGCAUAAGUAUUAUGGUGGGUGAACAAAUUACUAUCGAGCAAUUAAUAGAAAAGCGAAUAAUUAUGAGAAUAUCUAGGUAUGAUCAUGUAUAUAGGCAUCACGUUCGAGACAACUAGACCGAAACGAUUCUGCAUCUACUACUAUUACUCCACACAUCGACCGCUAUCCGGCAUGCAUCUAGAGUAUUAAGUUCAUAAGAACAGAGUAACGCCUUAAGCAAGAUGACAUGAUGUAGAGGGAUAAACUCAUGCAAUAUGAUGUAAACCCCAUCUUUUUAUCCUCAAUGGCAACAAUACAAUACGUGUCGUUUCCCUUUCUGUCACUGGGAUCGAGCACCGCAAGAUUGAACCCAAAGCUAAGCACUUCUCCCAUUGCAAGAAAGAUCAAUCUAGUAGGCCAAACCAAACUGAUAAUUCGAAAAGACUUGCAAAGAUAAACCAAUCAUACAUAAAAUAAUUCAGAGAAGAUUCAAAUAUUGUUCAUAGAUAAUCUGGAUCAUAAACCCACAAUUCAUCGGAUCUCGACAAACACACUGCAAAGGAAGAUUACAUCGAAUAGAUCUCAAAGAGAAUCGAGGAGAACCUUGUAUUGAGAUCCAAAGAGAGAGAAGAAGCCAUCUAGCUACUAGCUAUGGACCCGAAGGUCUGAAAUAAACUACUCACACAUCAUCGGAGGGGCCAUGGAGUUGAUGUAGAGGCCCUCUGUGAUCAAUGCCCCCUCCAGCGGAACUCCGGAAAAGGCCCCAAGAUGGGAUCUCUUGGGUACAGAAGGUUGCGGCAGUGGAAAUAGGGUUUCAUGGUACUCCUGGAUGUUUGCGGGGUAUAUAGAUAUAUAUAGAAGGAAGAAGUAGGUCGGUGGAGAAACGAGGGGCCCACGAGGGGCCCACGAGGGUGGAGGGCGCGCCCCCUGCCUCGUGGCCGCCUCGUUGAUUGCUUGACGUCCACUCCCAGUCCUCUGGAUCACGUUUGUUCCAAAAAUCACGUUCCCGAAGGUUUCAUUCCGUAUGGACUCCGUUUGAUAUUCCUUUUCUACGAAACACUGAAAUAGGCAAAAAAACAGCAAUUUGGGUUGGGCCUCCGGUUAAUAGGUUAGUCCCAAAAAUAAUAUAAAAGUGUAAAAUAAAGCCCAUUAACAUCCAAAACAAAUAAUAUAAUAGUAUGGAACAAUCAAAAAUUAUAGAUACGUUGGAGACGUAUCAAGCAUCCCCAAGCUUAAUUCGUGCUCGUCCUCGAGUAGGUAAAUGAUAAAAACAGAAUUUUUGAUUUGGAAUGCUUCCUAACAUAUUUCUCAAUGUAUUUUUUCUUUAUUGUGGCAUGAAUGUUCAGAUCCGAAAGAUUCAAGAUAAAAGUUUAAUACUGACAUAGAAAUAAUAAUAUUUCAAGCAUACUAACUAAGCAAUCAUGUCUUCUAAAAAUAACAUGGCCAAAGAAAGUUAUCCCUACAAAAUCAUAUAGUCUGGCUAUGCUCUGUCUUCAUCACAUAAAAUAUUAAAUCAUGCACAACCCCGAUGACAAGCCAAGCAAUUGUUUCAUACUUUUGAUGUUCUCAAAAUUUUUCAAUCUUCACGCAAUAUAUGAGCGUGAGCCAUGGAUAUAGCACUAUGGUGGAAUAGAAUGGUGGUUGUGGAGAAGACAAAAAGGAGAAGAUAGUCUCACAUCAACUAGGCGUAUCAACGGGCUAUGAGAUGCCCAUUAAUAGAUAUCAAUGUGAGUAAGUAGGGAUUGCCAUGCAACUGAUGCACUAGAGCUAUAAGUGUAUGAAAGCUCAACAAAAGAAACUAAGUGGGUGUGCAUCCAACUUGCUUUCUCACGAAGAUCUAGGGCAAUUCGAGGAAGCCCAUCAUUGGAAUAUACAAGCCAAGUUCUAUAAUGAAAAAUUCUCACUAGUUUAUGGAAGUGACAACAUAAGAGACUCUCUAUCAUGAAGAUCAUGGUGCUACUUUGAAGCACAAGUGUGGAAAAAGGAUAGUAACAUUGUCCCUUCUCUCUUUUUCUCUCAUUUCAUUUUUUAUUUUUUUAUUUGGGCCUUCUUUUUUUCUUUUUUUCGUCCGGAGUCCCAUCCCGACUUGUGGGGGAAUCAUAGUCUCCAUCAUCCUUUCCUCAUUGGGACAAUGCUCUAAUAAUGAUGAUCAUCACACUUUUUUUACUUACAACUCAAAAAUUACAACUCAAUACUUAGAACAAAAUAUGACUCUAUGUGAAUGCGUCCGGCGGUGUACCGGGAUAUGCAAUGAAUCAAGAGGGAUAUGUAUGAAAAAAUUAUAAACGGUGGCUUUGCCACAAAUACGAUGUCAACUACAUGAUCAUGCACAGCAGUAUGACAAUGAUGAAGCGUGUCAUAACAGACGGAACGGUGAAAAGUUGCAUGGCAAUAUAUCUCGGAAUGGCUAUGGAAAUGCCAUAAUAGGUAGGUAUGGUGGCUGUUUUGAGGAAGGUAUAUGGUGGGUUUAUGGUACCGGCGAAAGUUGCGCGGUACUAGAGAGGCUAGCAAUUGUGGAAGGGUGAGGAUGCGUAUAAUCCAUGGACUCAACAUUAGUCAUAAAGAACUCACAUACUUAUUGCAAAAAUCUAUUAGUUAUCGAAACAAAGUGAAAAAAAUAUGCCCUAGAGGCAAUAAUAAAGUUAUUAUUUAUUUCCUUAUAUCAUGAUAAAUGUUUAUUAUUCAUGCUAGAAUUGUAUUAACCGGAAACAUAAUACAUGUGUGAAUACAUAGACAACCAGAGUGUCACUAGUAUGCCUCUACUUGACUAGCUUGUUAAUCAAAGAUGGUUAUGUUUCCUAACCAUGAACAAAGAGUUGUUAUUUGAUUAACGGGAUCACAUCAUUAGUUGAAUGAUCUGAUUGACAUGACCCAUUCCAUUAGCUUAGCACCCGAUCGUUUAGUAUGUUGCUAUUGCUUUCUUCAUGACUUAUACAUGUUCCUAUGACUAUGAGAUUAUGCAACUCCCGUUUGCCAGAGGAACACUUUGUGUGCUACCUAACGUCACAACGUAACUGGGUGAUUAUAAAGAAGCUCUACAGGUGUCUCCAACGGUACAUGUUGGGUUGGCGUAUUUCGAGAUUAAGAUUUGUCACUCCGAUUGUCGGAGAGGUAUCUCUGGGCCCUCUCGGUAAUGCACAUCACUUAAGCCUUGCAAGCAUUGCAACUAAGGAGUUAGUUGCGGGAUGAUGUAUUACAGAACGAGUAAAGAGACUUGCCGGUAACGAGAUUGAACUAGGUAUGGGAUACCGACGAUCGAAUCUCGGGCAAGUAACAUACCGAUGACAAAGGGAACAACGUAUGUUGUUAUGCGGUCUGACCGAUAAAAGAUCUUCGUAGAAUAUGUAGGAGCCAAUAUGAGCAUCCAGGUUCCGCUAUUGGUUAUUGACCGGAGACGUGUCUCGGUCAUGUCUACAUUGUUCUCGAACCCGUAGGGUCCGCACGCUUAAGGUUACGAUGACAGUUAUAUUAUGAGUUUAUACAUUUUGAUGUACCGAAGGUUGUUCGGAGUCCCGGAUGUGAUCACGGACAUGACGAGGAGUCUCGAAAUGGUCGAGACAUAAAGAUUGAUAUAUUGGAAGCCUAUGUUUGGAUAUCGGAAGUGUUCCGGGUGAAAUCGGGAUUUUACCGGAGUACCGGGAGGUUACCGGAACCCCCCGGGAGCUAUAUGGGCCUAAGUGGGCCUUAGUGGAAAAGAGAAGGAGCAGCCCAAGAUGGGCCGCGCGCCCCUCCCCUCCCUUGGUCCGAAUAGGACAAGGAGAGGGGGCCGGCCCCCCUCUCUCUUUCCCCCCCUCCCGCGAAUCCUAUUCCAACUAGGAUUGGGGGGGGGAUCCUACUCCCAGAGGGAGUAGGACUCCUCCUGGCGCGCCUCUCCUAGGCCGCCCCCCCCCUUGAGCCUUUAUAUACGGAGACAGGGGCACCCCAGAACAACACAAGUUGAUCCACGUGAUCAUAUUCUUAGCCGUGUGCGGUGCCCCCUUCCACCAUAUUCCUCGAUAAUAUUGUAGCGGUGCUUAGGCGAAGCCCUGCUGCAGCAGUACAUCAAGAUCGUCACCACGCCGUCGUGCUGACGGAACUCUUCCCCGACACUUUGCUGGAUCGGAGUCCGGGGAUCGUCAUCGAGCUGAACGUGUGCUAGAACUCGGAGGUGCCGUAGGUUCGGUGCUUGAUCGGUCGGGCCGUGGAGACGUACGACUACAUCAACCAAACACUUCUCUUGUCGAUCUACAAGGGUACGUAGAUCAUACUCUCCCCUCUCGUUGCUAUGCAUCACCAUGAUCUUGCGUGAGCGUAGGAAAUUUUUUGAAAUUACUACAAAACCCAACAGUGGUAUCAGAGCCUAGGUUUUAUAUGUUGAUAUUAUAUGCACGAGUAGAACACAAGUGAGUUGUGGGUGAUAUAAGUCAUACUGCUUACCAGCAUGUCAUACUUUGGUUCGGCGGUAUUGUUGGACGAAGCGGCCCGGACCGACAUUACGCGUACGCUUACGCGAGACCGGUUCUCCCGACGUGCUUUGCACAUAGGUGGCUUGCGGAUGACAGUUUCUCCAACUUUAGUUGAACUGAGUGUGGCUACGCCCGGUCCUUGCGAAGGUUAAAACAACACCAACUUGACAAACUAUCGUUGUGGUUUUGAUGCGUAGGUAAGAUUGGUUCUUGCUUAAGCCCGUAGCAGCCACGUAAAACUUACAACAACAAAGUAGAGGACGUCUAACUUGUUUUUGCAAGGCAUGUUGUGAUGUGAUAUGGUCAAAACGUGAUGAGAUAUAAGUUGUUGUAUGAGAUGAUCAUGUUUUGUUGAAGUUAUCGGCAACUGGCAAAAGCCUUAUGGUUGUCUCUUUAUUGCAUAAGAUGCAAGCGCCAAAUAAUUGCUUUACUUUAUCGCUAUGCGAUAGCAAUAGUUGCAAGAGCAAUAGUUGGCGCGACGACCGUGUGACGACACAUUGAUAUAGAUCAAGAUGAUGGAGAUCAUGGUGUCAUGCUGGUGACGAUAGAGAUCAUGACAGUACUUUGGAGAUGGAGAUCAAAGGCGCAAGAUGAUGAUGGCCAUAUCAUGUCACAUAUUUUGAUUGCAUGUGAUGUUUAUCUUUUAUGCAUCUUAUCUUGCUUUGAUUGACGGUAGCAUUUUAAGAUGAUCUCUCACCAAUUAUCAAGAAGUGUUCUCCCUGAGUAUGCACCGUUGCGAAAGUUCUUCGUGCUGAGACACCACGUGAUGAUCGGGUGUGAUAGGCUCUACGUUGAAAUACAACGGGUGCAAAACAGUUGCACACGCGGAAUACUCAGGUUAUACUUGACGAGCCAAGCAUAUACAUAUAUUGGCCUCGGAACACGAAGACCGAAAGGUCGAGCGUGAAUCAUAUAGCAGAUAUGAUCAACAUAGCGAUGUUCACCAAUGAAACUACUCCAUCUCACGUGAUGAUCGGACAUGGUUUAGUUGAUUUGGAUCACGUAAUCACUUAGAGGAUUAGAGGGAUGUCUAUCUAAGUGGGAGUUCUUAAGUAAUAUGAUUAAUUGAACUUAAAUUUAUCAUGAACUUAGUCCUGGUAGUAUUUUGCAAAUUAUGUUGUAGAUCAAUAGCUCGCGUUGUUGCUUUCAUGUGUUUAUUUUGAUAUGUUCCUAGAGAAAAUUGUGUUGAAAGAUGUUAGUAGCAAUGAUGCGGAUUGGAUCCGGGAUCUGAGGUUUAUCCUCAUUGCUGCACAAAAGAAUUAUGUCCUUGAUGCACCGCUAGGUGACAGACCUAUUGCAGGAGCAGAUGCAGACGUUAUGAACGUUUGGCUAGCUCAAUAUGAUGACUACUUGAUAAGUUUAGUGCACCAUGCUUAACGGCUUAGAAUCGGGACUUCAAAGACGUUUUGAACGUCAUGGACCAUAUGAGAUGUUCUAGGAGUUGAAGUUAAUAUUUCAAGCAAAUACCCAAGUUGAGAGAUAUGAAGUCUCCAACAAGUUCUAUAGCUAAAAGAUGGAGGAGAAUCGCUCAACUAGUGAGCAUGUGCUCAUAUUGUCUGGGUACUACAAUCACUUGAAUCAAGUGGGAGUUGAUCUUCCAGAUAAGAUAGUGAUUGACAGAAUUCUCUAGUCACCAUCACCAAGUUAGUAGAACUUCGUGAUGAACUAUGAUAUGCAAGGGAUAAUGGAAACGAUUCCCAAGCUCUUCGUAAUGCGAAAAUUGACGAAGGUAGAAAUCGAGAAAAACAUCAAGUGUUUAUGGUAGACAAGACCACUAGUUUCAAGAAAAGGGCAAAAGGAAGAAGGGGAACUUCAAGAAGAACGGUAAGCAAGUUGCUGCUCAAGUGAAGAAACCCAAGUCUGGUCCUAAGCCUGAGACUAAGUGCUUCUACUGCAAAGGGAUUGGUCACUGGAAGCGGAACUACCUCAAGUAUUUGGUGGAUAAGAAAGGAUGGCAAAGUAAACAAAAAAGGUAUAUUUGAUAUACAUGUUAUUGAUGUGUACUUUACUAGUGUUCAUAGCAACCCCUCAGUAUUUGGUACUAGUUCAGUUGCUAAGAUUAGUAACUCGAAAUGGGAGUUGCAGAAUAAACAGAGACUAGUUAAGGGUGAAGUGACGAUGUGUGUUGGAAGUAGUUCCAAGAUUGAUAUGAUCAUCAUCGCACACUCCCCUAUACUUUCGGGAUUAGUGUUGAACCUAAAUAAGUGUUAUUUGGUUUUUGCGUUGAGCAUGAAUAUGAUUUGAUCAUGUUUAUUGCAAUACGGUUAUUCAUUAAAGUCAGAGAAUAAUUGUUGUUCUGUUUACAUGAAUAAAACCUUCGAUGGUCAUACACCCAAUGAAACAAGUUCAUUGGAUCUCGAUCGUAGUGAUACACAUAUUCAUAAUAUUGAAACCAAAAGAUGCAAAGUUAAUAAUGAUAGUGCAACUUAUUUGUGGCACUGCCGUUUAGGUCAUAUUGGUGUAAAGCGCAUGAAGAAACUCCAUGCUGAUGGGCUUUUGGAAUCACUUGAUUAUGAAUCACUUGAUGCUUGCGAACCAUGCCUUAUGGGCAAGAUGACUAAAACGUCGUUCUCUGGAACAAUGAAGCAAGCAACAGAUUUGUUGGAAAUCAUAUAUACUGAUGUAUGUGGUCCGAUGAAUAUUAAGGCUUGCAGCAGGUAUCAUUAUUUUCUGACCUUCACAGAUGAUUUGAGCAGAUAUGGGGAUAUCUACUUGAUGAAACAUAAGUCUGAAACAUUUGAACGGUUCAAAGAAUUUCAGAGUGAAGUGGAAAAUCAUCGUGACAAGAAAAUAAAAGUUUCUACGAUAUGAUCGCAGAGGUAAAAUAUUUGAGUUACGAGUUUGGCCUUCAAUUAAAACAAUGUGAAAUAGUUUCACUACUCACGCCACCUGGAACACCAUAGUGUAAUGGUGUGUCCGAACGUCAUAACCAUACUUUAUUAGAUAUAGUGCGAUCUAUGAUGUCUCUUACCGAUCUACCACUAUCGUUUUGGGGUUAUGCAUUAGAGACAGCUGCAUUCACGUUAAAUAGGGCACCAUCUAAAUCCGUUGAGACAACACCGUGUGAACUAUGGUUUGGCAAGAAACCUAAGCUGUCGUUUCUUAAAGUUUGGAGUUACGAUGCUUAUGUGAAAAAGUUUCAUCUCGAUAAGCUCAAACUCAAAUCGGAGAAAUAUGUCUUCAUAGGAUAUCCAAAGGAGACAGUUGGGUACACCUUCUAUCACAGAUCCAAAGGCAAGACAUUCGUUGCUGAGAACGGAUACUUUCUAGAGAAGGAGUUUCUCUCGAAAGAAGUGAGUGGGAGGAAAGUAGAACUUGAUGAGGUAACUGUACCUGCUCCCUUAUUGGAAAGUAGUUCAUCACAGAAAUCUGUUUCUGUGACACCUACACCAAUUAGUGAGGAAGCUAAUGAUAUUGAUCAUGAAACUUCAGAUCAAGUUACUACCAAAUCUCGUAGGUAAACCAGAGUGAGAUCCGCACCAAAGUGGUACGGUAAUCCUGUUCUGGAAGUCAUGUUGCUAGACCAUGACGAACUUGCGAACUAUGAGGAAGCGAUGAUGAGCCCAGAUUCCGCGAAAUGGUUUGAGGCCAUAAAAUCUGAGAUAUGAUCCAUGUAUGAGAACAAAGUAUGGACUUGAUGGAUUUGCCCGAUGAUCGGCAAGCCAUAGAAAAUAAAUGGAUCUUCAAGAAGAAGACUGACGCCGACGGUAAUAUUACUGUCUACAAAGCUCGACUUGUCGCAAAAGGGUUUCGGCAAGUUCAAGGGAUUGACUACGAUGAGACCUUCUCACCCGUAGCGAUGCUUAAGUCUGUCCGAAUCAUGUUAGCAAUUGCCGCAUUUUAUGAUUAUGAAAUUUGGCAGAUGGAAGUCAAAACUGCAUUCCUGAAUGGAUUUCUGGAAGAAGAGUUGUAUAUGAUGCAACCGGAGGGUUUUGUCGAUCCAAAGGGAGCUAACAAAGUGUACAAGCUCCAGCGAUCCAUUUAUGGACUGGUGCAAGCCUCUCAGAGUUGGAAUAAACGCUUUGAUAGUGUGAUCAAAGCAUUUGGUUUUAUACAGACUUUUGGAGAAGCUUGUAUUUACAAGAAAGUGAGUGGGAGCACUACAUCAUUUCUGAUAAGUAUAUGUGAAUGACAUAUUGUUGAUCGGAAAUAAUGUAGAAUUAUUCUGCAAAGCAUAAAGGAGUGUUUGAAAGGAGUCUUUCAAAGAAAGACCUCGGUGAAGCUGCUUACAUAUUGAGCAUCAAGAUCUAUAGAGAUAGAUCAAGACGCUUGAUAAGUUUUUUCAAUGAGUACAUACCUUGACAAGAUUUUGAAGUAGUUCAAAAUGGAACAGUCAAAAAGGGGUUCUUGUCUGUGUUACAAGGUGUGAAAUUGAGUAAGACUCAAAGCCCGACCACGGCAGAAGAUAGAAAGAGAAUGAAAGUCAUUCCCUAUGCCUUGGCCAUAGGUUCUAUAAAGUAUGCCAUGCUGUGUACCAGAUCUAUUGUAUACCCUACACUGAUUUUGGCAAGGGAGUACAAUAGUGAUCUAGGAAUAGAUCACUGGACAGCGGUCAAAAUUAUCCUUAGUGGAAUAAGGAUAUGUUUCUCGAUUAUGGACAUGACAAAAAGGGUUCGUCGUAAAGGGUUACGUCGAUGCAAGUUUUGACAUUGAUCCAGAUGACUCUAAGUCUCAAUCUGGAUACAUAUUGAAAGUGGGAGCAAUUAGCUAGAGUAGCUCUGUGCAGAGCAUUGUUGACAUAGAAAUUUGCAAAAUACAUACGGAUCUGAAUGUGGCAGACCCGUUGACUAAAUUUCUCUCACAAGCAAAACAUGAUCAUUCUUUGGGUGUUAAUCACAUAUCGAUGUGAACUAUAUUAUUGAAUCUAGUAAACCCUUUGGGUGUUAGUCACAUGGAGAUGUGAACCAAACACAUAAAGAUGUGAACUAUUGGUGUUAAAUCACAUGGUGAUGUGAACUAGAUUAUUGACUCUAGUGCAAGUGGGACACUGAAGGAAAUAUGCCCUAGAGGCAAUAAUAAAAUUAUUAUUAUUUCCUUAUAUCAUGAUAAAUGUUUAUUAUUCAUGCUAGAAUUGUAUUAACCGGAAACAUAAUACAUGUGUGAAUACAUAGACAAACAGAGUGUCACUAGUAUGCCUCUACUUGACUAGCUUGUUAAUCAAAGAUGGUUAUGUUUCCUAACCAUGAACAAAGAGUUGUUAUUUGAUUAACGGGAUCACAUCAUUAGUUGAAUGAUCUGAUUGAUAUGACCCAUUCCAUUAGCUUAGCACCCGAUCGUUUAGUAUGUUGCUAUUGCUUUCUUCAUGACUUAUACAUGUUCCUAUGACUAUGAGAUUAUGCAACUCCCGUUUGCCAGAGGAACACUUUGUGUGCUACCUAACGUCACAACGUAACUGGGUGAUUAUAAAGGAGCUCUACAGGUGUCUCCAAAGGUACAUGUUGGGUUGGCGUAUUUCGAGAUUAGGAUUUGUCACUCCGAUUGUCGGAGAGGUAUCUCUGGGCCCUCUCGGUAAUGCACAUCACUUAAGCCUUGCAAGCAUUGCAACUAAUGAGUUAGUUGCGGGAUGAUGUAUUACAGAACGAGUAAAGAGACUUGCCGGUAACGAGAUUGAACUAGGUAUGGGAUACCGACGAUCGAAUCUCGGGCAAGUAACAUACCGAUGACAAAGGGAACAACGUAUGUUGUUAUGCGGUCUGACCAAUAAAAGAUCUUCGUAGAAUAUGUAGGAGCCAAUAUGAGCAUCCAGGUUCUGCUAUUGGUUAUUGACCGGAGACGUGUCUCGGUCAUGUCUACAUUGUUCUCGAACCCGUAGGGUCCGCACGCUUAAGGUUACGAUGACAGUUAUAUUAUGAGUUUAUACAUUUUGAUGUACCGAAGGUUGUUCGGAGUCCCAGAUGUGAUCACGGACAUGACGAGGAGUCUCGAAAUGGUCGAGACAUAAAGAUUGAUAUGUUGGAAGCCUAUGUUUGGAUAUCGGAAGUGUUCCGGGUGAAAUCGGGAUUUUACCGGAGUACCGGGAGGUUACCGGAACCCCUCGGGAGCUAUAUGGGCCUAAGUGGGCCUUAGUGGAAAAGAGAAGGAGCAGCCCAAGAUGGGCCGCGCGCCCCUCCCCUCCCUUGGUCCGAAUAGGACAAGGAGAGGGGGCCGGCCCCCCUCUCUCUUUUCCCCCCCUCCCGCGAAUCCUAUUCCAACUAGGAUUGGGGGAGGAUCCUACUCCCAGAGGGAGUAGGACUCCUCCUGGCGCGCCUCUCCUAGGCCGGCNNNNNNNNNNNNNNNNNNNNNNNNNNNNNNNNNNNNNNNNNNNNNNNNNNNNNNNNNNNNNNNNNNNNNNNNNNNNNNNNNNNNNNNNNNNNNNNNNNNNNNNNNNNNNNNNNNNNNNNNNNNNNNNNNNNNNNNNNNNNNNNNNNNNNNNNNNNNNNNNNNNNNNNNNNNNNNNNNNNNNNNNNNNNNNNNNNNNNNNNNNNNNNNNNNNNNNNNNNNNNNNNNNNNNNNNNNNNNNNNNNNNNNNNNNNNNNNNNNNNNNNNNNNNNNNNNNNNNNNNNNNNNNNNNNNNNNNNNNNNNNNNNNNNNNNNNNNNNNNNNNNNNNNNNNNNNNNNNNNNNNNNNNNNNNNNNNNNNNNNNNNNNNNNNNNNNNNNNNNNNNNNNNNNNNNNNNNNNNNNNNNNNNNNNNNNAACAACACAAGUUGAUCCACGUGAUCAUAUUCUUAGCCGUGUGCGGUGCCCCCUUCCACCAUAUUCCUCGAUAAUAUUGUAGCGGUGCUUAGGCGAAGCCCUGCUGCAGUAGUACAUCAAGAUCGUCACCACGCCGUCGUGCUGACGGAACUCUUCCCCGACACUUUGCUGGAUCGGAGUCCGAGGAUCGUCAUCGAGCUGAAUGUGUGCUAGAACUCGGAGGUGCCGUAGGUUCGGUGCUUGAUCGGUCGGGCCGUGGAGACGUACGACUACAUCAACCAAACGCUUCCGUUGUCGAUCUACAAGGGUAUGUAGAUCAUACUCUCCCCUCUCAUUGCUAUGCAUCACCAUGAUUUUGCGUGAGCGUAGGAAAUUUUUUGAAAUUACUACGAAACCCAACACAAAGUACUACGCGCAUGCUCCUAUGGGGAUAGAUUGGUAGAAAAAAGACCAUCGCUCGUCCCCGACCGACACUCAUAAGGAAGGCAAUCAAUAAAUAAAUCAUGCUCCGACUUCAUCACAUAAUGAUUCACCAUACGUGCAUGCUACAGGAAUCACAAACUUCAACACAAGUAUUUCUCAAAUUCACAACUACUCAACUGGAAUGACUCUAAUAUCACCAUCUCCAUAUCUCAAAACAAUCAUCAAGUAUCAAACUUCUCUUAGUAUUCAAUGAACUUAUAUGAAAGUUCUUAUUAUGCCUAAAAGCAAAUUGCCAUGUUGUUCUAAAGGACUCUCAAAAUAAUAUAAGUGAAGCAUGAGAGAUCAAUUAUUUCUAUAAAAUAGAACCACCGCCGUGCUCCAAAAGAUAUAAGUGAAGCACUAGAGCAAAAACUAUAUAGCUCAAAAGAUAUAAUUGAAGCACAUAGAGUAUUCUAAUAGAUUCUAAUUCAUGUGUGUCUCUCUCAAAAGGUGUGUAUAACAAGGAUGAUUGUGGUAAACUAAAAAUCAAAGACUCAAAUCAUACAAGACGCUCCAAGCAAAACACAUAUCAUGUGGCGAAUAAAAAUAUAGUUCAAGUAAAGUUACCGAUGAACGAAGACAAAAGAGGGGAUGCCUUCCGGGGCAUCCCCAAGCUUAGGAUUUUUGGUGUCCUUGUACUUUAACUUAGGGUACCAUGGGCAUCCCCAAGCUUAGGCCCUUGCCACACCUUGUUCCAUAAUCCAUCAAAUCUUUACCCAAAACUUGAAAACUUCACAACACAAAACUUAACAAGAGAAUCUCGUGAGCUCCGUUAGCGAAAGAAAACAAAGCACCACUUCAAGGUACUGUAACGAACUCAUUAUUUAUUUAUAUUGGUGUUAAACCUACUGUAUUCCAACUUAUCUAUGGUUUAUAAACUCUUUUACUAGCCAUAGAUUCAUUAAAAUAAGCAAACAACACACGAAAAACAGAAUCUGUCAAAAACAAAACAGUCUGUAGUAAUUUGUAACUAACGCAAACUUCUGGAACCCCAAAAAUUCUAAAAUAAAUUUCUGGAAGUGAGUAAUUUAUCUAUUAAUCAUCUGCAAAAAGAAUUAACUAAAUACGACUCUCCAAUAAAAAAUGGCAGCAAUUCUCGUGGGCGCUAAAGUUUCUGUUUUUUACAGCAAGAUCAAAAGGACUUUCCCCAGGUCUUCCCAACAGUUCUACUUGGCACAAACACUAAUUAAACACCAAAAACACAACCAAAACAGAGGCUAGAUAAAUUAUUUAUUACUAAACAGGAGCAAAAAGCAAGGAAUAAAAAUAAAAUUGGGUUGCCUCCCAACAAGCGCUAUCGUUUAACGCCCUUAGCUAGGCAUAAAAGCAAGGAUAGAUCUAGGUAUUGUCAUCUUUGGUAUUAGGAAAGAAAAGAGAAAAUUUCUUUUCUAUAGCAUUUAUCUUUCUAUUUUGAGAUAGCACGUGGCCAUUGAUAGUGGAAGAGAGAUUAAGCACGUUACGGAAAUUGGCAUCUAAGCUAGCCCUCAUUUCUAUGAUAGUUUCAUUUUGGUAAAAGCACAAAAGAGAGGUAGAUUCAACCUUCUCACUCAUGGGGUGCCCAAAUAUAGUUUUCAUCCUUUCAUAAGUAUCAAUGGGAUCCCCCACAAGAAAACCUUCUUCAAAGAUAGAAUCUAGAACUUGCUUGAAUGAAGAGGGUAAACCAAUAUAAAAGCUUUUCAGGUAAACCUCAAUUUGAUAUUGGAGCACAUAGCUAGCUCGAAUUCUUAAUAGCCUAUCCCAAGCGUCUUUCAAAGAUUCAUCAAGUAAAUAACGAAAAAUUCCGGGAUCAUAUUCAUCAAAAUUAUUCAAACUCUCAUUGAUUACCCCAGUAGGUCUCUCCAUAGCAUCAUUAUUUAUGAGCUUAGAGAGGACAGAGGGACUAUCCAAGGUAAAACCCGGGAGAGAACCCUUAGCCCUUUUCGAAUCGGCCAUGGUACAAGAAAACAAAUGGGAAAGAGAUGAAUAAAAUGGCAAGGGUGAAGUGGGGGAGAGGAAAACGAGAGGCAAAUGACAAAUAAUGUAAUGCGAAGGAUAAGAGUUGUGAUGGGUACUUGGUAUGCCUUGACUUGGCGUAGAUCUCCCCGGCAAUGGCGCCAAAAAUCCUUCUUGCUACCUCUUGAGCACUGCGUUGGUUUUCCCUUGAAGAGGAAAGGGUGGUGUAGUAAAGCAGCGUAAGUAUUUCCCUCAGUUUUUGAGAACCAAGGUAUCAAUCCAGUAGGAGACCACACGCGAGUCACCUCGUACCUACACACACAAAUAAGAACCUCGCAACCAACGUGACAAAGGGGUUGUCAAUCCCUUCAUUGCCACUUGCAAGAGUGAGAUCUGAUAGAGAUGAUAAUAAUAAGAUAAAUAUUUUUAGUAUUUUUAUGAUAUAGAUUGAAAGUAAAAGAUAACAAAAUAAAGUAGAUUGGAAACUUGUAUGAUGGAGAAUAGACCCGAGCCAUAGGUUUCACUAGUGGCUUCUCUCAAGAUAGCAUAACUAUUACGGAGGGUGAAUAAAUUACUGUCGAGCAAUUGAUAGAAAAGCGAAUAAUUAUGAGAAUAUCUAGGUAUGAUCAUGUAUAUAGGCAUCACGUCCGAGACAAGUAGACCGAAACGAUUCUGCAUCUACUACUAUUACUCCGCACAUCAACCGCUAUCCAGCAUGCAUCUAGAGUAUUAAGUUCAUAAGAACAGAGUAACACCUUAAGCAACAUGACAUGAUGUAGAGAGAUAAACUCAUGCAAUAUGAUGUAAACUCCAUCUUUUUAUACUCGAUGGCAACAAUACAAUACGUGUCGUUUCCCUUUCUGUCACUGGGAUCGAGCACUGCAAGAUUGAACCCAAAGCUAAGCACUUCUCCCAUUGCAAGAAAGAUCAAUCUAGUAGGCCAAACCAAACUGAUAAUUCGAAGACACUUACAAAGAUAAACCAACCAUACAUAAAAGAAUUCAGAGGAGAUUCAAAUAUUGUUCAUAGAUAAUCUGGAUCAUAAACCCACAAUUCAUUGGAUCUCGACAAACACACCGCAAAAGAAGAUUACAUCGAAUAGAUCUCCAAGAGAAUCGAGGAGAACUUUGUAUUGAGAUCCAAAGAGAGAGAAGAAGCCAUCUAGCUACUAGCUAUGGACCCGAAGGUCUGAAAUAAACUACUCACACAUCAUCGGAGGGGCCAUGGAGUUGAUGUAGAGGCCCUCCGUGAUCAAUGCCCCCUCCGGUGGAGCUCUAGAAAAGGCCCCAAGAUGGGGAUCUCUUGGGUAUAGAAGGUUGCGGCGGUGGAAAUAGGGUUUCGUGGUGCUCUUGGAUGUUUGCAGGGUAUAUGAAUAUACAUAGGAGGAAGAAGUAGGUCGGUGGAGCAACGAGGGGCCCACGAGGGUGGAGGGCGCGCCCAGGGGGUGGCGCGCCCCCCUGCCUUGUGGCCGCCUCGUUGAUUGUUGACGUCCACUCCAAGUUCUCUGGAUCACAUUUGUUCCAAAAAUCAAGUUUCCGAAGAUUUCAUUCCGUUUGGACUCCGUUUGAUAUUCCUUUUCUACGAAACACCGAAAUAAGCAAAAAACAACAAUUUGGGUUGGGCCUCCGGUUAAUAGGUUAGUCCCAAAAAUAAUAUAAAAGUGUAAAAUAAAGCCCAUUAACAUCCAAAACAGAUAAUAUAAUAGCAUGAAAUAAUCAAAAAUUAUAGAUAUGUUGGAGACGUAUCAAACACCUACAAAGCACUUCUAGUUUCAUACUUGUUCUAGGUAAAGCGAACAUUAAGCGUGCGUAGAGUUGUAUCGGUGGUCGAUAGAACUUGAGGGAAUAUUUGUUCUACCUUUAGCUUCUCGUUGGGUUCGACACUCUUAUUUAUCAAAAGAGGCUACAAUUGAUCCCCUAUACUUGUGGGUUAUUAAGACCUUUUUCGGACGCCGUUGCCGGGGAGUUAUAGCGUGGGGUGAAUAUUCUCGUGUGUGCUUCACUACUAGAGAAAACCCUAGCAGUAGCACGGGUAUUUUUGCCUAUCAGUAGCGCGGGAGGACGCGCUACUGAUAAGGCGCUACAACUAUUCCUUAGUAGUAGCACGUGCUACGUGCGCUGCUGCUAAGACAUAUAGCAGCAGCGUUUCUUCGCUCCAGCGCUACUGUUAAUACAGCUAGUUGUAGCGUGUUUAAUCUCCAUCGCUACUAGUAUUCUUUUUCUCAUUUUUUUAUUUUUAGUGUAUUUAUACGCCGUUAUAUAAAUUUUGGUACAAUACCAAUUAUGAGGUUAUUAUAUCAAUAUGUCCAUAACAGUGUGUCAAAUGAAGGUGGAUUAGGUUUAAGUGGAGGGAACAUCUGGUGCAUGUCAAAAGUAUACUACUAAUCCAAACUUGAUCUAGUUUGGACUAGUAGUACUUUCAAUGUGCACCACAUGUUGCCUCCACUUGAAUCUAAUCCGCCAACACAAGCUAUUUAAUCAUCAUCAUAGUCAUUACCACCAACAGUAGCUAUUUAAUCAUCAUAGUCAUAGUGCAUCACACAUCAUCAUCUUCAAACUCAUUCUAGCUAGCUAAUCACCAUCAACACUAGCCGCGGUAGCUAUCUAAUCACCACCAACACUAGCUAAUAAUAAUCAUCAUAGUCAUUACCACCAACACUAGCUAUUUAAUCAUCAGAACUCAUUUCUAGCUAGCUAAUCACUCCUACUGCUCUCUCUCAACUAAAAUAACAUAAAACAUGUGUAGCACUCCUGCUUCAUCAAGUUGGAGCAUGCAGAUGAACCUGUCUCCUAAUCAUGGGCUGCGCUUCUGAUUGCUGCCCCCUAGUACUUCUCUACGAUCGUUCACAAUUUUACUUCAUUCUUUCACUAUUAAGCAUUUCUCGCUAUUAGAAAUCCUGAAUGCACUAAAGUGCAUUGUAGGAAAUCUUGGCAGUAAGCUAACAAUUCUCAUGCGACCUUUAGUCUCGAUCCAAUGAGGCACAACAUUCAUCGGGAGUCCCUGUUGAAGAACAUCAUAUAGUAACAUACUUAGCAAUGAAGUUUAGCUUAAAAAUAAUGUAUGCAAAAGAUGCACUAAGGACAAAUAGUAAAAAUCUUACCAUCUUUCCUAAAUAGAUGUGACCGUAGUUCAGUACGAACACUAUUGGUCGCACGUUUUGAGUACUAAGAUUUUUAAGUCCAAAAAAACAAUUUGUCUUGACAGUAUGAAGAUCCUCAAGCCAUGAAAUAUAAUGACUUAUCUCCUCGCAGUUUAGUUCAGCCCCGGGACAGUAGUAGGUCAUGUCUACCAAGCGUUGGACAGGUUUGCUUGAACGGAAAUAAGUUGUCAAUAGAAAUUAGUUGUCAACUAUUUUUUAAUAAACAAUAUCAAAGACAUAAAUAUGGUUGAGAAACUCACAUAAUGGUAUAACUGGAGGCGUCUGCACAUCGACCCAGAUGUCGAUAUUACCUUUAAUAUCAUCUUCCGGACGAAUAUCAAAGGUGAUAACAAUAUUAGGCUUAAAUGCAUAAGUCUUGCAUAGUACUUGUCAAGUUUUGCAUUCAAAAUAGGUGUAGGUGUCUGCGUUGUAUAAUUUUGCGUGGAAAGUAUAACCAUGCUCGGUCUUCAAGUAAACUCUCUUUACCUCCAUAGUAUUUUUUUAUAGAACUGAAACCUAUCAUAUCCAAGACAAAAACUCUUGCAUGGCAGGGGAUACGCUAGUAGAAUAGUAAAAAUUUAAAUUAUAAGUUGAAGCAAAUGAAGCAGAUGUCAUGCUUAAUUACGAAAAAAGACUUGUCGUUGUGAUUUACUGUAUCCACUUCGAAGUUCUCGUCCAGCUUGAUUCUGAAGCGCCUAUCAUCAUCUAGGAAGAUUCUGUCGUACAGGUCGUGCUCGUCUUCGUAGUAUUCGCAAAUACUGAAAUCCAUUUCGUCGUUUGACAUUUCCUAUGUUCAUAGUUGAAACAUUAAUUGAAAAUCGAUCGAAGGCAACUACCAGGAUACUCCCUGAGGAGCGAGCGUCGCUGGUGUUGUUGUUGAAACCGCUGCCGCCGCUGGUGUUGUCCCCUCCCCCACCAGAGCGAGCGCCAUCUCCCUGAGGAGCGUCGCGUCCGCGCCCACCGCCACGUUGCCCCUGGAGGGCGGCCAUGGGAGGCAGAGUUGACGGAGGAUUGCCGAAGGUCGCCGCCAUGGAGGAGGGUGAGGCGGGCAUCAAAACUGAGCAGCUGGUUGUAGAGCUCCUAGACGAUGAUGGGCUCCACCCUGGCGGCGAGCGGAGAGACCAGCGGGUUGUACUCCAUGUCCAGGCCGGCGAGAAUUUUGGAGACGAUCUCCGGAUCAGAGAGCACCGCAGCAGUGCUUGUGACUUCAUCGGUGAGGCUUUUGAUCUUACCAAGGUAGUCAGCCAUGGACAUAUUACCUUUCUUGAGGUUGGUGAGCUCGAUGCGAGUGUUGAUCGCUUGGGCUUAGCUCUGAGCAGCGAACAUGGCGUGGAUGGUGCGCCACACCUCGGCCGACGUCUGGAGCAUGGCGAUCUGGGCAAGAAUCUCAUGGGAAAAGGAACCCAUCAAGUAUCCUUGAAGUUGUUGCUGCUGUGCAUACCAGAGGGAUCUCGCAAAGUUGACAACUUGUUCUUCUUUGCCGUCCUUGGUGAUGGUGAGAGUGGCCGGCGGUGGCGGGCUCUUCUCGUCUAGGUGGUGCUCCAUCUAUCCGCCGGUGGUCGUUACUCCUGGCGGGAUCUAGACUGGCCCCACAGAUCAAUACUAGUCUUUUCUGCGCACUUUGUCCUCACUCGUGCGCACCCGGGAGCAACUUCCCGGUCGGUCACCCAUCCUGAAACUACUCCAAGCUGAGCACGCUUAACUUUGGAGUUCUGUCUGAAUGGGCUCCUGAAAAAGAAGAAAUUCCUUAUUGAUAUGAGUAGUCUAUCAUCCCUAUUAAGCCAGGCUAUCACAUUGGCGUCAUGGCAGCGGCGGUGGUGGACAUGAUCUCGGUCGCGGAGGUAGCUAGAUGCAAUCUCUUUCGAUCUAAUGAGGAAGAUGCUCUGUUACCAUGUAAAGAAGCAUAGAACCCUUUGUCUCGGGCCGCAUGUAUAUAUUGGGCAAAAGCCUUGGCAUACAAGUUACAGAGAAAGAGAUCGAGAGAUUGACCAGGAAGGUCGUUACAGAGAGAUAUGGGGAAAGGAGAUAGAGAUGAUGUACAUAAUUUAAACAAACUCCUAACCCUAUACAUCUCCUAUAUGUUUAUUCUAACAGAAUGAAGCAGGAUACAAUAAUGUACUACAAACUGAUCAGGUAAAGGAGGCAAGUAAUGAGAAAUAGAUGUGUUGUUGCCAAAGCAUGCAAGAAACACCAGGUCAUACCGGGACAGCAGCAGAGUAUCACCCCAAAAUGUAUGUGUUCCUUGUAAAUGCUGACAUUUAUGUGCAUAGAAAAAAAUCCAUUUACUCGUACUGUCUCAGUAUAAGAUAGAUCUCAAUUAAUUAAUAGGAACUGCUAUAUGGUUUUCUCAACUCAACUAGCACAAUUUUUCAUAGUUUCAAGUUAUAUGCCUUUGAAAGCUUCAUCAACUUCAAUGAUAAUCCACUGAGCAUUCUAGUCCUCAGAGCCAGAUCAUCGAAAUCUUAUCGAAAGUGGAAAGUAACACUAUCAAUAAUAACUAUCCUCACCUGUAAAGCAUAAAGAAAAAUAAUGGUUAUUUGGUAACACUCAACCAAUUUUGGUAGAUCCUACUAAGAACGGAAGGGUGGAAAACCAUUUCUGUAAACAUAGAACUGCCGGAAAACUCAUCUUGGGGGAAAAUAGAGGUGAGGGACAAAACAUUGGACAUAAUUCAGGUGAUUAAACUUUAAGACUCAGUUGUUCAAGAAUACUCCCUCCAUUCCAAAAUAUAGUGCGCCCGCGCUUCCCGAGGUCCAACUUUGACCAUAAAUUUAACCAACGAGACCAACUGCGGCGGGAGAAAAAAAUAUAUAAUUGAAAACUUUUUCCGAAUACGAAUUCACUGAUAUAAUAUUUGCUCCCGCCACAAUCGGUCUUGAUAGUUAAAUUUACGGUCAAAGUUGAAGCACGGGGAUAAAGGAAGCACUACAUUGUGGAAUGGAGGGAGUAUUACAUCUUUAUGUUCUCCGAGGAAUUUCUUCAGAUAGUUCCUCACCACAAUGUAUUCAGUGUAGCUGCAUCUAUACCUCUAUAAAAAGACCCAAAAGGGCAGAUCCAAACCAUCUCGACCAUCAAAUCAUGUUAUCUAGCGGUUCAAAUCGCUUCAAUGGUGAGCACCAAACACGUUUAAUGCUCUAAUUACCCACCACUGCCAUUGGUUAUAAACACGUUUUGACUCAACGAUAUCUCAUGAAAUCUGACAUGUAAUUAACAUCCUACCAUUUCCCGCGAAAAAGUAAUUGAUGCCUUACCAAAUACCAACAUGCAACAGAUAUAUCUUACCUAAUAUAACGUGCAACUAAUAUCCUACCUAAUAUAAACGUGCAUUAUAUGUACAUUAUUACUAGUAUUCAGAAGUAGUAGAUGCCUGCUAGGAAAGGCUCAGGCUGCAGAUUUUCUUGUCCAGAUGAAGCCUUGUCAUGGUGGCACGGAAAAAUACUCCAUUAUGUCACUGAUACACCCUUCAGCAGUUUGAUAGACACGUUCAACCAUGAAACUGCCCUCUGUGUCUGUUACAAUGACAGUAAAUAUUGUUAACAGUUUCUCAACAGACACAUGACACAAUCACUCUCUGUCAAACAAGUAUACCAAUAUAAAAUGCUUUGUCGCCAAGGCCACCAUAGCGCACGAGAAUUUGGACGUUGAUUGCUAGCUGAAUCCUCCAAAAGUUGGCACUUAGCACGGUAAUUUUCUUCUGAAAUUGCAAUGAUUCGGUAGUAGGAGCAACAUACCCCAGUUGAGUUUUACCCAUUCCUGGAACACCACCUGAAUAAAUCUAGUAGCUGAUUAGUCUAGUCACCACAGAUACAUCAAUGGACAUGGCAUUUUACAUAAAUAACUCAACAGAAAAGAAUUGAAAGCCCUUACUCAACAGAUUAGUCUAGUCACCACAGAUACAUCAAUGGAGUAUGAGAUGUUGAUGCACAAGUGAGAACAAGAGUAGAACAAAGACUCACUAACUUUACACGAUUACUCAGAACAGUAGAAAAAUUUGACAACACUAUUGCUAGAAGACAGGAGACCAAGAAACAAGAUAUAGAAACAGAGCUGAAUGAUAAACUGACUAUUAUAUGGUUAUUAACCAAGAGUGCAAUGCAUUCCUAAAGCAAGAAAGGUGUUAACUAUCUCAGUAACUUCCUUUCAAUGAAUCCCUCCACCAAGUAUGUCGUUCAGGUCACCAGAGCCAGUAGUGAUGUGUUUCCGUGAUUGCUCCUCGGGCAACACGUCCCACGCCUUUUGGGCUGCUGUCACAUACUAGUAUUUGAGUGAGUGAGAAGCAGUGCUAUUACAAUCCGUUAUCAUAUCAAGGAUAUACAAAACAUGAAGAGAAUUAAGAGCAACAGGUACAACGGUUCGCAAAGCUAUCGAAUCGCGUGACAAGUUACCAGCAGGACAUAUCACAGUUCACAUAUGGGUAGAAAAUAAAUUCACAUGUUGUUAGCCAGUUAAGACAGAUCAAGGUGAACUAUAUUGGCCUCGGAUAAAUCCACAAGAACAUCUAAAUAACUAAGACUAGAACAUGAAUGCAAUUAUAUAAAAUAUAUCAUUAUCAUAGCUUCACAAUUACCUUACUCGAUUCCCAAAGGGAUCUGCAUGCAGGUGCGGGAUCCCAGGCGCAGUCUGGCGCUGCAUGCGUUCCAGAGGGAUGGGUGGCCAACAACCACCAGGUGCGGAGCCCACUGGCCAAAUCGAUGCGGGUGGGGACGACUCGUCCGAUUCCACGCACUCGCCUGCUGGGCCCAGCGGAGCCCGCGAUGGGGUGUGCACGCCCGACCACGUCUCUGGCGCCACCCUGAGCGGCGCUCUUGGGCGGAGAAGUCCGAGGUCGAUCUCACCUACGGCACAUAUGACCUUGGAUCUGGCGAUGGAUGCUGGGGCUGAUGUGUCAGGAUCUUCUGUGGCAGGAUCACCAGCUACAGAACCUGCCUCCUUUGGAUCUUUUGUGGUGAGGUCUACAACAACACGAACAGCAGCACCCGUGCUUCCUCUUCGACAUACAAGAUCUCAGUCAGGCAUUAUAAAGGAAAAAAAGUACACCGAUGGUACGGUCAGGUAUGAUAAAAUCAAGCGUGCAUUUUUUACUAGCACCGGUGAGCCAACUCAUUUACAUGAUGCACUUGCUCAUAAAGAUUGGAAGAAGGCUAUGGAUAAUGAAUAUGAUGCACUUGUUAAAAACAAAACUUGGCAUUUAGUACCACCAAAAAAGGGUGAUAAUGUGAUUGAUUGUAAGUGGGUUUAUAAAAUCAAAAGAAAGGCUGAUGGCAGUAUAGACAGAUACAAGGCUAGAUUAGUUGCAAAGGGUUUUAAGCAAAGGUUUGGUAUUGACUAUGAUGAUACCUUUAGCCCUGUUAUUAAAGGAGCUACUAUUCGAUUUGUUCUGUCUAUCGCUGUUUCCAGAGGAUGGAGUUUGCGACAGCUAGAUGUUCAGAACGCGUUUCUUCAUGGUGUUCUUGAGGAAGAAGUGUUCAUGCGGCAGCCACCAGGAUAUGUAAAUAAAAGCACACCACAUUAUGUUUGCAAGCUGGAUAAAGCUUUGUAUGGGUUAAAAUAGGCCCCAAGAGCCUGGUACUCAAGAUUGAAUACACAGUUGCAGAAGCUUGGGUUCACACCAUCAAAGGCAGAUACCUCAUUAUUCUUCUACAGUAAGAACAAUAUUACCAUGUUUGUUCUUGUUUAUGUUGAUGAUAUAAUUGUUGCCAGCUCAAAUCCAGAUGCCACUACUUGUCUACUCAAGGAUCUGAAACUAGAGUUUGCUCUUAAGGACUUGGGAGAUCUUCAUUACUUUCUUGGAAUCGAGGUCAAGAAGGUAACAGAUGGCAUACUUCUUACUCAGGAAAAAUAUACCACGGAUAUUCUCAGAAGGGUAGGCACGGAAAAGUGUAAGUCUGUUAGUACACCCAUCUCUACUUCAGAAAAACUUACUGUUGAAACUGAAGAAGCACUUGGUUCAGAGGAUGCAACAAAUUAUAGAAAUGUUGUAGGUGCAUUACAGUAUUUAACUCUUACACGUCCUGAUAUUUCCUACUCGGUGAACAAAGUAUGUCAGUAUUUACAUGCUCCUACUACAACUCAUUGGACUGCAGUAAAACGGAUCCUAAGGUAUCUUAAAUUUACAAAGGGACUUGGUCUUCAGACUGUCAAGUCUCCAUCUCUUUUUGUAUCUGCCUAUUCUGAUGCAGAUUGGGCAGGGUGUGCUGAUGAUAGGAGGUCCACAGGUGGCUUUGCUGUGUUUCUGGGAACAAAUCUUGUGUCAUGGAGUGCAAGAAAACAGGCUACAGUCUCAAGGUCAAGUACCGAGGCAGAGUAUAAGGCUUUAGCUAAUGCUACAGCUGAAGUGAUGUGGAUUCAGACAUUGCUUCAUGAACUUGGAAUUAAAGUUCCACAAGCUGCAAGAUUGUGGUGUGACAACAUUGGUGCAACCUAUCUUUCAGCUAAUCCUGUUUUCCAUGCACGUACAAAGCAUAUUGAGGUUGAUUUUCAUUUUGUCAGAGAAAGAGUAGCACGCAAGUUGCUUGAUAUAAGGUUUAUUCCAACAGGUGAUCAACUUGCUGAUGGCUUCACAAAACCUCUUACGAUGAGAAGGUUAGAUGACUUCAAAUACAAUCUCAACCUUGGUAAACUUUCAUAGGGUUUAGAUUGAGGGGGGGUGUUAGACAAGUUGUAUAGGAUAGGGACACUAGUUUAAACUUGUACUCUGUUCUAUCCUUUCUUCUGUCCAAACUCUUCUGUAAUCUUGAUCGAUCUGUCUACGAUCGACUUCUUUCUUGUACGCCACGGCAAACCUUCUAUAUAAUACAAUGCGGCCCAGACGAAGGGUUCACGCUUCCACAAAUCCUUACACAGGUCGCCAGAGCCAGCAGUGAUGUGUUUCCGUGAUUGCUCCUCGGGCAACACGUCCCAUGCCUUUUGGGCUGCUGCCACAUACUAGUAUUUGAGUGAGUGAGAAGCAGUGCUAUUACAAUCCGUUAUCAUAUUAAGGAUAUAUAAAACAUGAAGAGAAUUAAGAGCAACAGGUACAACGGCUCGCAAAGCUAUCGAAUCACGUGACACGUUACCAGCAAGAGGUAUCACAGUUCACACAUGGGUAGAAAAUAAAUUCACAUGUUGUUAGCCAGUUAAGACAGUUCAAUUAGAUGAACUAUAUCGGCCUCGCAUAAAUCCACAAGAACAUUUAAAUGACUAAGACUAGAACAUGAAUGCCAAUUAUAUAAAAUAUCUCAUUAUCAUAGAUUCACAAUUACCUUACUCGAUUCCCAAAGGGAAAAUCAACCGGGCAAGCAUAACAAAACAGGGCGAGCGGAAUCAUAACACGUUUUACAAGCAAAAAAAUAGCCAAGAAACGGCAUCUUACAAGGAGUGCGUUUCUCUGAGAACGCCGCUAGGCUCCUCCGGUCCCUUGAACAUAUUAGACUUUUUUUUGUUGAUAGCCUACCAAGAUGACCACUUGGUUUGAACAUAUUAGACUUGGGGCAGCGGGCAGAUAAAUCAAGAAAGAGAGGUCACCUUCGGCAGCGGCGACCUGGCCAUCGCGUCCAGCCGGGGUUGAGGAAGGAGAAGCUGCGAGGCGGGGGAGGGGCCAGGUGCGGCGGCCUGCACCGCGGCGCCUCCUCAACAGAAAGGGGCUGGCUGGUGGGUUCUAUGGGCUAAUAGGCCCAGCCCACUUAAUUCCGUUCCUGUCCAAUCGGAGCCCACUAAAGCAAUGUCAGUGGGUGGGCUGGCUAGUCCCACUUUCACGUCGACGUGCCCUUGUUGUUGGCCGGUAAGGAGAGGUCGGUCUCUCACACACAAGCCAAGCGACCACCCGCCGAUACCACCACCGCCGCUCCCUCGCUGGCCGCCAUGCUGCCCCCGGCCGCCCGCCUCGCGGCCCGCCGCCUCCUCGGCCUCGCCUCCGCCUCCGCCUCACAGUCGGCCGCCCGACGCCUCUCCCCGUCUCCGGUUUGCGCGCCUCCUCCCCCUCCCCUCUCGAAUCCAUUCCCCUCCAUUUCCCCCAAGCCGAUCCCCUGAUCCCGUUCGCCGAAAUUUCCUUGCAGAUCUCCUCCCCCGCGGCCGCGGCCGCCACGGGUUACUUCUCCCGGACCUUCUCUUCCGCGCUUAACUACGUGAGCGCUCUCGGAUCCGCUUCUGCGGUUGUCUGAUCUGUUUUGCCGCCGACGACGAUUGAGCUAGAUUUAUAUGUUGUGUUGUUUCUGUAGCACAUCGAUUCGCCGGACAACAACCCGAACAUGCCGUGGGAGUUCACCAAGGCCAACAUGGAGAAGGUACUGUUCUCCCCCCGGUCUGGGUCUGCGAUGCGUGUGUAGCGGGGGACUGUUGGGGUCAAUUGGCUGGAUUUGAAAUAACUGUGACAUACCUUGUUAAAUUGUGUGCUCAGAUGUUCAGAUAUGGUUCUUAGGUUAAUAUUUGCACUGGUAAUGCUGCAUCCAUUAGAUAGAUACUCUUGAAUGAUAGUCUCCAGUUUAACAUCCUUUUUUUCGGCUAGUGCAACGGGGCAGUCUUGUUAAUUUCGUUUAUUCCUGAAUGAACUAUUGUAACAGCACUAUGGGUCGUAAUGUUCCAUUUCUUACAGGAGAAAUGGGCUUAGUGAAUGCAGUUAAUAUGGCUCAUCCGACUACUGACACGCUUCAAGUUUGUUAUUACCUGGACUAAUUUUCCGUUGAAUUGUUGCAGGUUAACGAAAUCCUAUCUCAUUACCCAAGCAACUACAAGCAAUCUGGUAUUAUUCCAAUGCUUGAUCUUGCACAGCAGCAGCAUGGUGGAUGGGUCCCGGUUGCAGCAAUGGACGCUGUAAGUUCAAAUUCGCGCAAAAUUGUGACCUUCCAACGUCAGCAUGUUAUGUUGUAUUCCGUUUCCAUAUAAAGGGUGAAAUUGUUAUGAGUUAAUGUACCUUCUUUAGUUAAAAACAUGUGUCUUGUACUUGUAGAAACUAUGCAAAACCUUAUUGCCCCUUGUUUAUCGUUGUAUAUGCUGUUCUUUUCUGCAUACUCUUCUGUCCAUACACUAUGUCUGGAACACUAAAUUAUAUUCUGUAUAGGUGAACAGAAAGAUAUCAUGUGUAUAUUGAGUAGUCGGUUUAGCUUAUGACUUGCACAGGUUUGUUGGUCUUUAAUUUUGACACCCUAGAAUCAAGUUACAUCUUGUAGAACAAAACAUUUGGAAGUGGCAGUUACAACCAUUGGGUAACUACAAAUUUAUCCUGGAUUUGAUAAUCAAGAAAAAUAGCUUUAUUAGGAGACAUGGGGUCCCUAUUUUUAAUUAAGAAAGAACAUGUUUGUUUGUCGACAUACUAGUUGAAACCUCUUAUGAUCAUGUUUUUUUUUUCUUUUCUGAUGAAGCUGAUUUGAUGGAAGUCUAAUAUAUUCAUCUGGCAGGUCAUAUUAUUGAUAUAGCAUAUUAACAUAUAAUGCAUUCAAAGCUGCAGCAUAUCCUUUCUCACCAUGACCAUUAUGUUCACAAUUUUGCUUCAAGUAUCAUAGUCUUUGUUACACACUGAUCUAAUAUAUUUUAUGCUUUCUUAAAAUUUCUGUUGUUUUCCCCCCUAUCUUGGAAAAGUGAACACUUGACAUUUUCAGCGUUCCUGACAAUAAUUUGUCUUCUUUUCAGAUUGCUAAAAUAGUUGGAGUUGCACCGAUCAGGGUCUAUGAAGUUGCAACAUUUUACUCAAUGUUCAAUCGGACCAAGGUACCUUGAUGCACGACUGCCUACUCUGUACUCAUUACUACCAUCUUUUUUUACCAUGAAGUCGUUUCAUGCUAUGUAGGUGGGAAAAUACCACCUUUUGGUGUGUGGAACUACACCUUGUAUGAUUCGUGGUUCGCGUGAUAUCGAAGAUGCCCUGUUAAAACACCUUGGAGUUAAACGGAACGGUUUGUAUAUUGCGUAAUUAUUCUGAUAUCUGUAAAAUUGUUACCACAAACUUUGUCCUCUGAGCAAGAGCUUCUUAUUCUGUUUCUGUGAUGUAAUUAACAUUUUUUUUCAUUUGCAGAGGUGACAAGCGAUGGUUUAUUUUCUGUUGGGGAAAUGGAAUGCAUGGUAACACCGUGAUCUUUAAAUAUUUGUUUUUACUUGAGUUUAUACUUUCCAAUAUAUAACUGUACCUUCUUCUUUGUCUGUAGUAUGUUUGUAACGAAUAGUUUUAAAUGUUUGGUUAUGAUAUAUCCUUAAAACCACUUUUAUUCACCUUCUGCUCGUUUGUUCACAGGGUUGCUGUGUGAACGCUCCCAUGAUUGCUGUGGCUGACUAUACCAAAGGUUCAGAUGGUUACACAUACAAUUAUUAUGUAAGUUUAUUUUGCUCUUGAUAAUCAUACAAUUCAACGUUUCACUAUUCUGUUAUCCUAAAUUGUAUCCUCUAGUACUUGCACUUGCUGGUAUUAGUCAGUAUCAAUGACUUUAUGCUGGCAUAAUGCGGGGUGAACUGUGCCAGAAACAGCAUGACACAUCUUAUAGGACAAUUGGUUCAACGUGAUCACUGAUCAGAAACAAAAAUUGGGUAAUGGAAGAACGUAAUCACUGUAUAGGAGUAUAUUGUUAGGAAAGGGGUGAUGUGAUUACAAGUGGUGCAUGUUUGAACAGUAGUUUUACUUCUAAAUUCAUGUAUAUGCAUAGAUCAGAACUUGUCUACUCGAUACACUCAACUUGUAUGUCAUUGCUUGUUGGCUCUGUACUGUACCUUCUUCUUUGGGGACAUUAGAGAGGUAGAAAGUUGCCGUAGUUAUCUUUUAAACUAAAUUUCUGUUCAAUAGAAUUACUGCAUCACUAGAGACGUAAAGUUGCUAGCCUACCAGGAUGGUUUAUUAAAACUCGCAUGCCUUUUGCUAAUGGAAGAGGCUUUGAAGUAAACUUUUCUGUCUGAUGUAACUUGAGCUUCUUUUUUUCUACUUGCCCUUCACAGGAAGACCUCACUCCCAAGCGAGUCGUUGAGCUUGUUGAAAUGCUGAGAAGAGGGGAAACGCCCCCUGUAAGCUUUAGCCCAACUUAACAAGAUUCUCUUACUAUGUCUGGCCACAUGUUUUAUCUGGUCUAAUUCCAAUAUACACCUGUUCUGACGAUCUGAUAAACAUUUGCAGCGUGGCACCCAGAACCCAGAGCGGAAAAACUGUGGUCCUGCUGGAGGGAUGACCACCUUGCUAGGCGAGCCAAAGCCUCCCCCAUGCAGGGACCUAGAUGCCUGCUAGGUUUGCUUUGAGUUGCAAGCACACAAAUAAGUAGGCCCGGUUGCACUGUAUGUUGCGGAAACCGCGAAAGCGAUUUGAUCUCCUGUUGUUCUCAAAGCUUUCUUGUGGCCAACAAUGGACAUGCGAUUUGAUUGAUCUUGUUGUUGUCGAAGCUUUCUUUUGUCUGACAAUUGGAUGCGUCAACCUGUCACACACCAUCUCUUCUUUUUUCCUUAUCAUCAGCUAGACUGCCCACUGAUAAAGAUAGUGCUCUUCUGAAGCUGCAGCUUUGUAUCCGGCAUAAGAAUCUGGGGCACUGGAUCAAUUGCUGUUAUGCUACUCCUGCAGUGUUAUAUUCCUGUUGUUCAUGCAUUAAUGUUUGAAUGAACACGGACCUGGUACAUUGCUGAUUUUCGGGGAGAAACUUUUUGAUAUACUAAUUUUCUUAUUCUGUCAUCGUAUUACGUUUUCUCUUCGAUAUAAGAGUGUUAUAAACAUCGAUUUAUAUGGUGUGUACUGCACAAUGCGCCCGGUGUCGCAAAGUCCCUGCUCUUUCCCAUCUCUUCCCAGCACCUAGUGGACAUUGUUUGACUGUUCUGACCUAACAUUUUGCACCACUUCCUCUUUACAGCAUGUAAGCAUGCAGAUUUAGAACCUUGAGGGUACCCUCCAACCCUCUUUUGUUCAACUAAAUGAAAUAAAAUAUUAGAAUUCACUUCAUCUUUGAAACUUAGUUCAUCUGAUUGAACUAAGUAGGUACCCUGAAGGUUUCAAAUUUGCAUCCCCAACCGCGUCCUUGUGUGCUCGCAACAGGUGAUGAUCCUUAUUAACACUUCGCCUCAGAUGAGCCCUUGAGCCUUCUUCUGUUGAAAGUGCUUGUUGGACCUCUAACCGGGUUCCCAUGAUAGCAUCAAAUGAUUAAUGGACAAAUAGUUACAUUGAAUGAUGAUCAGAUUUCAAUCCCUCAGAGCGAUAAACCGGCAUUUGUGGCCACCCAAAAAACUAAAAAAGGGACAAUAUUGUUUUGCAUCUUCCCCAAUGGUAAUAUCGACACCAACAGGGAGUUGGGGAGGAGAGUGGGGAAGGCAGUUUUGUUUGGUUGCCAUUCAAUUGAUCUAGGCCAUCCACGAUGAUCCAACGGCAGAGAAGGUCGCCAGUGGCCGAUGCGGCCCCACCUAUCAGAGGUACAGCCAGCGGCUUUCCCCCCGGCUAAACCCUCUCCGCCAUUUCCCUCCCAAAACCCUAGCCCCCAAAUCAGCCCACCCCGCUCCCAUGGCGCGCUCGAGCUCCGUCACCGAGGCCGAGGUCGGCAUCGCCUGCUUCACCUCCGCCCUCCCGGGCUUCCGCGGCGUCCUCAAGCACCGCUACUCCGACUUCAUCGUCCACGAGGUCGCCCGCGACGGCUCCGUCGUCCGCCUCACCUCCCUCGAUCUCCCCGACCAGGUAGGUACUCGCGCCCCCCCCCCCGCGACGUCUGCUCGGUGAUUCCGCGCGCCCGGUCCCGGUUUCACCCACGGCUCGUGCAUUGCAGUGCGUGGAUGCCAAGGAGGAGGAGAAGGCGGCGCCGGCGGCCGACGCCGACCACUCCAAGGCUCUCGAGUCGUUCAGCGGGCUCUGCGGCGAGGCCGACUGCCACGCGCUGAGGGGGCUUCUGGAGAAGGUCGCGGCCGGCGGCGAGGGCGAAUUCUUGCCGGUCAUGCUCUCGCCCGAUGCCGACAAGGCUCAUCGAUCGGUGGGUUUGGUUCGGCGGUGCUGCUUGUCUUGUGUGGCUGAAUUUGGGGGAACUGUCUGAUUUGGAGUGUUUAUUUGCUUGCAGGAGGUGCACAACUUUUUCAAAAGAAACUUCAAGUUCUUGGUCACAGACACAGUGGAACACAGCGACGGGGUUCAGAAAUACAUCAGGGUACGCGUGGGGUCUGAAGCUGGAGGAGGGCGGGGCCGUGGCGGUGGAGGGAGGGGCGGUGGUGGGAGGGGUGCUGGUGGCAGAGGAAGGAAGAGGAAGAACAUGAAUGGUUCUGAUUGGGGAGACGACAGGCCAUUUGACAGUAGAGGGUCGUCUAGUUGGCCAGCUCAUGCUGGGAAGUUCCUGAGGUGAUGAAAUUCUGUUUGAAUUGAUCAUCUGUUGUCCUACCCAAAUUGUUAUUAGUGUUUGCGCUAUAACACAUUCAUUCCUCGUGUUUGGCAUAGUUGACAGGCUUGUUUGAAUUUGGUAACAUGAGUAAUGUAGCUAUAACAACUCCUCUAUAUUUGUGUAGUAAGGAAUAUAAAUGUAAUGUUUGCGUCGUGUCUAGUUUUGCUGCUAACUAGUUCUGUAACUGGAGCUACCAUUCUGUGACACUGAUCAGGUUUCACCUUUGCAAAGAAAACAAGGACACCCAAGAUGCAUUGGGAGUAAUAGGAAAAAUGUUAGGACUCCAGGUACAUCUUGGUUGCUAUUUAUCUCAUUGAUGGCAUCAUUCAGUAACCGUUCUUUGCCAACCGAGUAAUGACUUGAUUAUGCUUUUUGCAGUCACGCUCAUUUGGGUUUUCUGGAACAAAGGAUAAACGUGCUGUUACGACGCAACAGGUGUUUAUUAUUCCUAUGUAAACCAUCUCUCUGAAUUUAAUUCAUGUAAUGAUGGAUUUGCGUUUUGGGAUAAAAUAGCUAAACUUUCAUACAUGGGUGUGGACGAAAAAUACUUUAGGUGAUUUUAUCUAUAGCUAUAAGUGAACUGUAUCUGUAUGUGUAAUUAUGUAUGCUAUUAUGGUGUUACAACCAGUUAAUAAUUUCGUGUAAAAUUUAAUAUGCAUUCGUUCUAGAUUUUAUUAUUAGUAUCAUUGAUCAAACUAGGUUAUGUAGUUUGUUUCAUGAUUUUCUGGCUAUUUGGUAGAUUUGGUUAUAAUUUCUGUUUCAUGGUUAUGACCCUUUGCAUGUAAUUGCCUUGGCUACUGAUCUAAUUCUUUUCCUAUUAGGUUACCGUUUUCAAGGUGCCAGCAAAUAAAAUCGCUGCACUUAAUAAGCGACUAUAUGGCAUCAAAGUUGGAAACUUCUGGUAGGUGAUCAAUUGAUUUUUGUAGGAUCACUGGAAUAUAGCUGUCCUAAGUGAUACUUUAGCAACUAACGUAUCCUCUCUAGUUAUGUAAAGGAGGGACUUGGUCUUGGUCAACUCAUGGGAAAUCGGUUUACAAUUACCCUGAGGUAUCAUAUCUUCUCUUUUUUCCAUAUAAUUUAGUAUAUAGAAGCGCUCCUGCUCCAAUGCUCUUCUGAAAGUGUAACACAAAAUUUAGUGCUAUUGUAGGCCUGAUUUGAUUUGCAUCUACACAGUAGACAGUACACACUACCUCACCACUAUCAGUUAUUUUAUAGUUUUGCCCUUUGUGGUGUAGUAUUAGUAUAUUUUUUGAAAAUAGUAGUAUUAAUAUAUUACUUAAGCCCACAUGCAUGGAACCUUGUAUAUUUUGCUUUAACAAACUGAGAAAAUUGGGUAACUUAUGUUUACCUGCAUUUCUUUAGAGGUGUUGUUGCAGAAUCGGAAGACAUGAUAAAGGCUGCUGUGGAUGGCUUAGGAAAGAACGGAUUUAUCAACUACUAUGGUUUGCAGGUACAGGCCUAGGAACUUCUGCGUGUGCUCCAGAAUUUAUUUUGCUGUUAUUUGUGAACCUUAUUGAGUUCAUCUAUUUUGUAUGGUUAGCGCUUUGGAAGUGGUUCAGUACCAACCCACCGUAUUGGAGCUGCUUUGCUUAGAGGAGAAUGGAAAAAUGCUGUAAACUUGGUUCUUGAUCCAAGGGAAGGAGAUAUCCUCAAAUUAUUUUGUUUGUAUCUAAUUAGGAUUGCAUGUUGUGCUGUGCCAACUUUUGUUCAACAUAACUCGAUACUCCGAACAGCGUGAUGACAUAAAGGAGGUGCGUGAACAUUACAAGCAACAUGGUGAUAUUGAUAUGGCUCUGAGGAACUUUCCUCGCCAUCUUGUGGCUGAGAAGGCUAUUGUAAGUGUAGUCCUUUAUCAUUUACAUCAAAAUAUCCUUGUAUUAGAUGAAUAAGUGCGCCUUUUGUGGAAAUUAAACUAAUAUCCAUCCAUGCACUAUUUUCAGCUUCAGUGUUUGAGGAAAUGCCCUGAGAACUAUCUACAAGCAUUAAAGGGUAUACCAAGACCGUUAAGAAUGAUGUAUGCCAUAUAUCUUUAUCUUGUAUGGAUUGCUUUUUCUUGAUAUAACUAGUUACUUCAAAUUAAACGACAUUGGUGGUUUUCUUCUCCGAGAAUAUGAUAAUUGUAGAAUGCAGAAAAUUGUUUUAUAGUAAGUAUAUACUCCCUCCGUCGCAAAAUAAGUGACUCAACUUUGUACUAGUUUUAGUACUAAGUUGAGUCACGUAUUUUGGGACGGAGGGAGUAUAUUUCUUUAUAAUCAGUCACUUUAGAUGUAAUCUGACAUCAACAGUAGUACAUCCACUUUACAUGUUAGUCAACAGUAUUGUGCUACUCUAGUUACAUAUCACUUGCUAAAUCGAAUAUUUCUGCUAUUCACUUUUCUGCGUUUUUUUGAAUAAUUCUACUUUGUUUCUGUCCUUUUACUUAUUACUGAUUACUGAUUGGCUUCUGUAGGUAUGUCCAUUCUUACCAAAGUUACCUUUGGAAUCAUGCUGCCAGCAUGAGAGUUGAAAAGUAUGGUCAGUCUACUUCGUCCUUGUACAGUUACUCAGUUUCAAUUGAAUCAUUGUACAAUUUGAUGUUUUGGGCUAACCGUUACUAUUUCAUGAGGUGUGUUAUCCCGUGGUUUUUAUGGUGGACUUCACGCUCCCUUUUUAUAUUCUAACUGGUGAUUUGACAGGCAUUUCACAGGUCGUAGAGGGUGAUCUAAUCUAUACCAAAGAAAGCCAUCCUGGAGAAGCAACUUCUGUGGGUACUUCAGAAGUUGAUGGCCUUACAAAUUCUUCUGAAAUUGAUAUUUGUCCUGAAGCAAUUCCAGAAGAAAAUAUCCAGUCUGUGAAGGUUUGCUACAAACCUACAUGCUCAUACACAGAAAAUGUUCCUUCUCAUAUGCCUACUCCUGCACCUUUGUUUCUCUUGUAGCUAGUUGAUUCUGAAGAUUUAUCGAAAGGGAUCUACUCGUUUGAAGAUGUCGUCCUUCCUUUGCCUGGGUAAAUGACCAAUUCCCUUAUUCAUAUAUUCAUUUUGUUCCUGUCAUGAUUCCACUUGUCAAGAAAACAAAUAGAUUCAGCUUGUUAUUGUUAUUACACAGUUCACAAGCAUUGUUCCCUGGGAAUGAAGUUGCUGAGAUUUACCACGAAAUGGCUAAAAAGGUAAAUACUACUCCCUCCGUCCCAAAAUAAGUGUCUCAGCUUUGUACUAACUCUAGUACAAAGUUAUACUAAAGUUGAGACACUUAUUUUGGGACGGAAGGAGUAUAUUGCAGUGUGUAUUUGGAGAUUCUUGUUUGGUAUGGUCAAAACUUGCGCACUGUUGAAUUUCUGUUACAAGCAUUCCCAGUUCCUAUUUCAUUGAAUCAGAUAUUGCAAUGCUGUGGCCUUUGGACUAUGCUGACUAAAAUGUGUUUGAUUUAUCCUUUUCCUUUGUGGAUAUUAGCUGUCAUACUGUAAUAUCACUGGUUUUAUUAGCAAAUGUGUUAUGAGUCACACAAUUUCUUAGUGGCUUCUGCCAUGACGAGAAUCAUAAUGUUACUUUGGAUUUCAUGUCUCAGGAUGGCAUUAGCUUGACAGAGAAUGCUCAUGGUGUGAAGUAAGUUUCUUCAUAUUGCUCCCAGAAUUCUUUCUAGCCUAUGCAUAGUCCUUGAAUCAAGGGCAGCUGUAAAUAGUGCAGCCUAAUGCAUUGAGCAAUGACAAUUUAUUUUUUCUUCUGCGGUGUAUUAAUCAUUUCAUAUACAUUGCAUCUACACAUGCUUGUUUUACUGCUACAUCAUAUCCUAAUUUUUGCGCUGUAUGAUGCAAACACCAUUUGUUAGGGAGUUCUCAAUUACAAGCAUGAAAGGAGGUUACCGUAGGGUGUUCCAGAAGCCUAUUGAUUUUGAGUGGUAUGUGUAUUUCCAUCAAUAGUUUACUGUGUUAAUCCAUCAAAGUCAUUCUCUUAACUCUAUCCAUUGGGCUUGCUUGAAGUGUUAAUCUGACCGCAUGAGUUAUUUUAGAGGAGUAACACUGCCGUGUAUUAAUUCUUAUUCCUUUUUGUUGAAUCUAGUAUGACUGCACCAUUUUGAUAAAAUGCUUUGAUGACUGCAGGGAACUCAUGACAUACACGGAUGACAGUGCAUCUUUAGCAGAAACCGAUUUGGAUAUUCUCUCCAAAAGCAAGCUUACAGAAGCAAAGGUAGCUAAUGAGCCUGCUGCAUCUAGUGAAAAUUCCGCCUCCAAUCCACCUGAUUGCAAGAUGGAAGAGCCAUUGGAGACCUCCAUGCCAACCAGUGAAACUAGCUUAGUAGAAAACAAGUCUAUUGGCAGCUCAGAUACAUUGCCAAGCAAACUGGCCGUGAAAUUAGCAUUUACUUUACCUGCAUCAUCCUAUGCUACAAUGGCAAUCAGGGAGUUGCUGAAGGAUUCAACCUCGGUAUGUUUAUCCUCUGUCGAUAUAUUAUGCUUUUACGAUUUAAUUUUGAAGACUAGUGAGUCGACUGAUGCCCAUACUUAUACAGUAAAUUUUAGUUCAUCAACUAAACUUGUGGUGCUUUCCACAUGACCUGCUGUUGUUAUAGUUGGGUUGAAGUUGUGUAUAAGCAUGGCUCUUGAUGAUUGCUGAUAGAUUCUUUGGUGUGUUUAGCCACUACGGUGUUUGGUUAAUAUAAAAAUAAGGCAUAUACAACCGAGAAAUUCAUCAACUGAGAAACACUGCUGAUAAAAGAUUUCUAUUUGUCGGUUAUUUCUGGCACGACUUGUUACAUUUGUUGCGUAACCUCCUUUGGGGUACCUGCAGGUUGCGUACCAGAAAACACUUGAUUGCUAAGUUUCUCGCUGAUGUCAGUUCUCAAGGGAAACUGAUCUGUCAUCUCACCAAUUGAGGAUGUGACAUGGCUGAAGGUAUGGUGCUUCGAAGACCCGAUAACUCUGAAUUAAAUGGCACUGUUUAUGGGCUCCUAAUUCCUGCUUCUGUGUUUCUAUUUUAGCUAGAGCUUCAGCUGGAUCCAUGAAUCAGCAAACUGACCACGCGGCUGAGGCUCCCGCUUGGUGCAUGCAAGCAAUAUGACCGUUCAAAACUAUGUACUGAGCGCAAAAUUUAUGGUCCCUAUUCUGUACUAGAAUGCGCCGUGCCGCAAUAAAGCUUGUAUAACCCUAUUAUGACCUCUGUAAUGAAAUCGAGAUAUAAAAUCGUGCUGUGUUGGUUACCUCGACGAGGCUGAGGUUUUGCUGGAUGAUUCGAUGAUUCCCCAUCAUUUUGUUUUGCAUUUUAAGCUUCCUGCUUAUCUCGGUUCUGUUUUUCGUUGUUUUAUUUCGAUUCUGCUGGACUUGGUCCGGCCACGGACGCCUGGACCUCUGAAACGUUCCAUGGUCUGGUGUCGAUAGGUGAUCCACAGGAACUCCAGGCCCUGUUUGAUACACGAGGAAAGGACAUUCCAUGUACACUUUCUGUAUACAAUUCUUAUACUCCCUCUGAUCCAAACUACUCCCUCUCUCAUAAUAAACGUUCUUAUUAUUCUUCAUAAUAAAUGUUCUUAUAUUAUGAGACGGAGGGAGUAUGCUCUUAUAUUAUGAGACUAUGAGACGGAGGGAGUAAUUGACGCAGCAGCUUUGGUACAACAACUUUGUACUGUGUCAAUUAAUUUGGAUUGAAGGGAGUACAUUUGGAUAGGAGCCAAGAACUCUUCUAGAUUUUCAUUUUGUCAAUUAAUUUGGAUUGGAGGGAGUACAUUCCAACAACUCUCCUAUAUUUUCAUAGGACCCUGCCAGACCACGAGAAUAUUCCUAGCUCUGUUUGACGCAUAUAUUCCAUGUUUCGUACGGAGAACUUCAACUCUAGACAGCAUUUCAUCUCAGACACAACAUCACAUUAGCUAAAUACAGGUGCAUAAUAACAAAUCAUCAAUUAUUGCAACAUGUCACCAGGUACUCAGCCGCUAAGCUCUCUACAACGACAGGCGGUGCAGAUCCGGGAUACACAUCUCAGUAUACAGGAAAAACCCUAAACAUCCUGCGAAUUCCAAUCGGCCAGCAGGGCAUCCAUCACCAUCAUCAUCUAUAAACGCAACAUCCAAUGCUCCCCCUCAAACCUCACCCGGAGGCCCCAACAACACUAGAGAAAAAAACACUGCUGCCCUAAGUCAGGUGCUGGAUCUUGCGCUUGAGCCACAGGGCGCGGACGUCGAGCCCCAGGGAGACGAAUAUCUCCCGGUUGCCCGGCUGCAGGAACACGUCGGGGGCCACCGACUUCUCCACCUGCGACAGCUCCACCAUGCCGUUCAGGAUCUGGACGCACCGCGAGAUGCUGUAGGCGUCCUCCUGGACCUGGUGCUUCGCCAGCUGCCACUCGUGGCUCGAGCUCUUGUGGUUCUCUCCCGAGUCGUCGACCGCCCGGUGGUCGUUGCCCUGCCUCUUCAAGGACAGCUGCCAUGAGCGCGGCUGCCACUGCGACAGCACCUGCGGCAGCAGGUGCGUGUCUCUGCUCGAGGCCUUGCUGCGAGGCGGGGUGUGUUGGAAAGAGGACUCCUUUGAGAUGGGCGAUUGCAGGCGAGGCGAACGCUCCACGACAAAGUCGUGUUCGUCCUCGCUAUGGUCCAGAUCCGCACCGGUGUAUAUAAAACGCUUGCUUUCGUCCGCCAUAAAACCUUCUGCAGUAGGAGAGACAGUCAUUAGCCAGCAAACGAUGAUAUUGCACAAGGGGAUAUUUACACAGGUUUCACUGAAGAACGAAAUCAUCACAAGCACUCCGUACUUACCAUUUUUCCCAUAAGGAUUCUUGCAAUCCUCGCAUCGACAAAAUAAGGAGCAUCCAGUCCCAUCCUGUUCACACGAAUCAACUUGAGAAUAAAUUUGCACCCGAAAGAUAUAGUAAAGUGUUUGGAGCUAAGAUGGAACCUGGUAGCAAUCACAGUAUUUCUUUAGGCAACUUGAUUUCUUGCAAUUGCAACCUCGCCUUGGUGGAGUUGAAGAAGAAGAAUUGUGUGCAUCUUCCUGCAGGUGACAAAGACAUAGUAUGGAAAUUAUUGUUAUGAGCCAAAGGGAACUUAGAAAAUGCAACAUCGUCUAACUGAGUCAAGAAAACAACCAUAGUUUCAGCAUUAGCCUCCAGUCUUCUAUUAAUUUUCAGAGACAUCCGUUUCUGACGUGAAAGUAGCACCUUGCGAGUGGUCUGAACUGUCUCUGCAAAAUCAGACUUGUUGAAACAUGGCACGCAUCCACAUUUUUCAGAACAAUAACCUCCACCAGCAAAACAUGGACAAUACCUGCAUACGCAGAUAAUCAUGAUUUAUGUUAAUAGUUCGUUACAAAUCUUAGCUCAUAAAAAAAUAUCGGCACAUACAUGUAUAGAUACGAUUUCAUUUAAACUAAUCAUUAAAGAAAAAAUUAGACCAGCAGGGGGAGGAGCCCCUGUGGUUUUUUAAUUAAGGAAUUUUGUGAGACACACGUCCAAUACCGUGAUAUUAACCAGGAUGGUUAAAUGACGGCCACUGGGAUCAAACCCGCGCCGGCGGGAAUGCGCCACUGCACUCCCACCACUGGGGCUAGGAAACCAUCCACAUUUAAACUAAUCAUCAUAUACUGAUAAACAUUUUCACCAAUAUAAUGUGUCCCAGUAGAUGAGAAACGACUUGGGAUUCUAAAACACUUCGAUAGCAAAAUCUGAGUCAUUUUUUAUCUACUGGAACACAUUAUAAGCUGCUUAGUCUGGCCACACAGAUAUAAUCUGCUCCAUGAGCUAUGUUUCAAAGGAGGAAUUGAGGUAACUUAGGAAGCGGAAUCGCAGUAUAAUCAAAUAGCGCACAAACGAAUGCUAAAACAAGUGAUGCACUCCCCAUCAUGAAAAACUAAUUCUGAAUUUGGGAACCUCUGCAGCAAGCACAUAUAUCAGGAAAAUAAUUUCCUUAAUUUCUCACUGCAUGCUACGAGAGGCAAGCUGCUACGAGUUCACUAGAGAACCCAGCAUACCAAAGGGAUUUUUGAAACUGAAGCAGAUAUGUGACCAGGAUAUCAAAUUAGACAGGAUGAUUAAACCAUCCCACCCUCGCGCAGAUGCCCCUCUCUAGCACCUAAACGGAAGCAAAUCUGAGCAGCGAAACCGCACGGCACCCAACAUUUCAAAAUUGGCCGUCCCUGUCUAGAAACCCGAAGCACCGGAGGCGAAACAGGGCACAUCCUAGGGCCCGGCGGCGAAAUCGGGAGGGACAGGGGGGCUGCUUACAGCUUCAGGCAUCUGGACUUUUUGCAGGCGCAAUGCUUGCACCCAUCCGCGGCGUCCUCCAGCUUCUGCCUGCUCAAACAACAAACGUCCGCCUCAGUCAGAUCAGCCGGCCGGAUAACCCCCGGCGAGACGCCGGAACCGGGGAACGGAGACGCACGGGGCCGGGGCGGGGGGGACCUCACCUCUUGGGCGUGGUGGCGAGCGCGAGCUGGUUCAUGCUGGUGGGAUCCGGCAGCGCGUCGGGGCCCUCCGGGGCCGCCGCCACGGCCGGCGGCGGCGAGGGCGGGGGCUCCACGGCCGAGAGGGGCACCGCCGCCGUGAGGUGCGGGGGCGGGGGCGGGGGCGGCGAGGGGGGCUUGACGGAGAUCGGGGUGGCCUCCAUGGGCGGAGCACGGGGCGAACGAGGGCACACGCGGGGUCCGGCUGGGGGCAGGAGGGUGGCUCGGCUCUUUUGAGUCUGUGGCGCGGGGCCCCCGCCUUGAAGAGCCAGGAGCCUCCCUGUCCCUGCGGGGUUUUUGUUUUGUGGUUUUUUUGGUGGUUUCUGGAAAAGGUUUUACGGUUUCGAACGAAAUCCGGGGCAGUUUCGUUCGGACUCCUUUUUGAUGGAUGGAUGGGUGGGGGUUGGUGGCCAGAGGAGAUUUUUUUGGUUUGGGCAGGGUUUGAGAUUUGAAUCCGAUGUGGUUUGUGGGUUUUAAUUUUUUUUAAUGGGUUUUUAUUUACUAGAGGCUUUGUUUCAGUGCUGGAUUAGAGGUCAGUUUUUUUUUUAGUUUUUUGCGCUUUUAGAAUAGUCUGCUUCCUAUCAACCAAACUAUUUUUUUAACAGUCUUGCUAAGUCUCAGUCGAUGCUAUACCCGUGAGAUCUUACGUUGAUUCAUGCAAAAAAUUAUUUUUAGUUUUUCUUUUUCUCUAUUGCAUGUUAUGUUACUUGACUGAGACUUUGUUAAAUCUCAGGCGACUGAGACCUAGUCAUACCCUUUUUUUAAGGCUACUAGUCAAGUCUUAAUAAAGUAGGCUUGUGACAUAAAUAAAUUUUGUCGGGCUUUUAAAAUAAACUGGUUAGGGGACGACUUACGUCAACUUAUUUUAGAUGCCAACAGAAGAACUGGCCCAAGGAAAAUGUUUGUAGUUUGACAAAACUACUCUAAACCUCGUCGUUGUCGUUUUGUUGUGACACACGCCCAGUCAGCUAGAAUGCACCGAGUCUAAUCUACUGUAUCGUAGAUAUUGCCCAAUUUAAAUUUUGCUCGAGCGCGUGUUAUUCUCUUAUCCUUAUGUACUCUGAAACACUUCGCUUUACUCCAUGCCAUUAUGUAUGUUAGAUACAAUUCUUCUUCCAUUUCUUUCUUCCUAUACAAGAAAAGCUCUUCUCCUCUCGUCGGCGCCGCCCCCGCCCCCGCCGGUCCGCCCCCAUCUCUUUCCUCCUCUAGAGAUAAAGAAUGUUUCCCUAAAAAACAAUAUGGUGCCUUACUAUUGUUUCUCCCCCAGCAUGAAACGUCUCUUACAACGCACGCAUGUAAAAUCUAGGCCUAACAGUCCUGAGAUGUUAGUUCAUCUGUGCGCCCAACUUAUCAAUAUAGUGCACUGACUCACACAGAACUUCAUUCUCCUCUUUGCACUAAUCGCCAAAAAGUAGGAACUUUCAAUGUGAAACGCUCUAGCAUUAAACGGCACAACGAUUGGAUUUCAGACUUAAAAUUUUAACUCUGGAUUUUAGACUUCAAAUUUGAGUUCAGACUUAUUUUAGAGAGAAAUAUGUGGGUUUGUUAGUUAAAUGAGAAGUGAUUUAUGGCACCGUGAUGAAUCUAGUCGUGUGUCAUCGCUUUGUAAAAUGGUUCGAUAAACACAAAUCAAGGCAUGGUUUUCUAUAUAAACAAAUAAAUUCCCAUUUAGCAAAUGAACUAUCCCCAUCGAGCAAGAUAUUCUGAUUUGACUAGACAUGUUUGCAAAAAUAAAUAAAUGAAUAGAUUAAACAUAGCAAGUCGUUUUCUAUGGGAAUGCUCACCAGCACACUUCAUUGCAAAUUUAACAUAGUUACAUCGUUCCACAAAAGAGGUGAAACGGAACUAGGAGGAUCAUCCUCCCAAAACAAUUUUCGACUUAAAAUCAUAUGAGUGUCUAGCUAGCUUGCGCGCCACCCUGUUGGCCUCCCUUGGACAGUAACGGAUGCCACUGAACCAACCCUGGCAAAUUUCAUUAACUCCUUCGUUUUCUCAAAGUAGCAAAUUUCAUGAACUCCUUGAUUUUCUCAAAGUAAAAGAGGCCGUCGGCAAAUUUCACAAAAAUAAUCAGAGAUAACUAGUGACUAAUUGUGAAAUUGGUGUGCAUCAGACAAGUGUCUCUUGAGUGGAGUUAAAAGGCAUUGUGCAGUGUAUGUGUAUGUAGCUUUACGUUUUCUUUAGCGCAGUUAGUGUCAUGUCGCGUGCUUUAUUUUGCAGUAGUAGAUGGUAAAGCAUGGUGCCUUACUAAACAUACUAGUACCAGAGAUAAAGUCUAUGUUUCCCUCAGAAAAAGUAUGGUGCCUUGCUGCUGUCUUUAUUACUAAUUUCGCCCCCAGCAUGAAACGUCUCUUACAACGCACGGCAAUCCCAAAGUUGGCACUAAUUAGGCAAUCAUGUGCUGUUAAAUCUAGACCUAAAAGGUCUUGAAACAUUAGUGCGUCGAAAUUAUCAGUACACUGACUCACAUAACUUCAUUCUCCGCUUUGCACUAAUCGCCGAAAAGUACUCCCUCCGUUCCUAAAUAUUUGUCUUUCUAAAGAUUUCAACAAGUGACUACAUACGAAGCAAAAUGAGUGAAUCUACACUCUAAAAUAGGUUUACAUACAUCCUUAUGUUGUAAUCAUUUGAAAUGUCUAGAAAGACAAAUGUUUAGAAACGGAGGGAGUAAUACAUUAAACAGUGAAACGCUUUAGACUUCAGACAUCAAAUUUUAACUCUGGGUUUCAGGCUCUCCAGAUCCAGAAGACCGCAUGAUUCAUAAAACAAGUAUACCAAGCGAGGAACGCGACGACGCAACAAAUUCACAGAAGCUACACUACCUGUAAAUUUGAUGACCUUACUAGAUGUUAGUUCCAGAGAAAUUUCAAAUGAUUUUUUCAAGAGUUGAGGACUAUAUUUGUCAGGAUGGGAAAUCUUUUGAGAUCUAUAUAAAUAUAGCAAACUCUGACAACGCAGCAAGCACACCACCUAUGCCCAGAAGAAACUCUACCUACAUUUGCCAGGCUAA